rnacentral:lncRNA from 1 species
CAAAAGCGCAUGCCAGAGAUGGAAUUUCAAUUUAAUAUCGCUAGGUGUGCUGAAUGGAAAGAGUUCCUCGAGCCUAAACCUCCUGGUGUGCAGAAACAUGUUUCUUCCUGGCUGAAAACCCCUACUAGUUUUAUCAAACUGAACGUGGAUGUAGUGUUCCGAGGCGAGUCAAAGGAGGGUGGGUGGGGCCAAAUUGCUAGGGAUGCUGAUGGAGACAUCCUUUGUGCUGCAGCCAGCAUCUAACAGCUUAGUCUGGCGCUUUGCAAGCUGAGGCUACGACCCUUCUGCAGGCAAUCCAACUUGUUGAAAUACAAGUUAUGGGGCGUGUGAUUUUGGAAACUGAUUCCCUGGGCCUGCAACAAUAAGUUACCUCUACAUUGUUAGACCGAUCUCUGUUGGGGGUGUUGUUCCGUGAAGCCAAAUGUCUCCAGUUAGGUAUCAUAGAGGCCAAAGUCAUGUACUGCCUGAGAACUUGUAAAAAAUCAGCACAUGUGCUGGCAAAUCUUGGUAGCCAGAGUGCCUAUGUGAACCCGUGUUGUGACCGCCGAUUGUGUCAGUCCGUCGUAAGUUUGGAAUGCAUGGUGUUUCAGUUCAACAAAAAAAGAUACUACCAUAAUCGUAGAGAGGAGAUCAAGUAUUUAAUAGUCGUCGGUAGGAUUGAGCAAGUGUUGCAUAAUUCAAUUUUUUGCUUUCAUGUGCUCACGACUAACCUGCUGACCAUGUGUAAAUUCAUAUUGAAAAUCAGUUUGUUCAAAAGGCUUGGUUAUAGUGGCCAGGCAGAUUCUUCAAUUGGUUGCUGGAUCACAAUGGUGACUCAUUUUUAAAAAUACAACUUGAGUGACAUGCUAUUUUGUAUCCAUUUCAUCUAUAAUUUUUUUGUAAAAAUUAUUUUGAAUUUGUAACAUGUGAAAUAACUUUAUCAACAUUUUAGACCCGCGUUGCACGUGCAAGCUUACUAGUGAGGGUAAAGAGAAGAGGAAAGUGAUUUGUAUUGCUUACCACGGUAAUACCACGUGCAAGAAAAAGUAACGGGUUUAAAUUGGUUAUGACUCCACGACACCCCGCUCCAUAGAUGAGUUGUUCUUCUAAUCAAGGUAAAGUAGCAAUGAAAUAUGGUAAUAUAAUUUAAUCCAUUACUAUGCACCAUUCUCCGUGAGGAAAACCAACCAAUCUUCUAACCUGGUAAAAAAACUUGAAAUAUAGUAAUGGAAUUACUAUAUUACAUUUUACUUUACGUUGUAGUAAAAGAAUAGACUUUAUUACUAUAUUUUACACCAAUUUUACUACGAAGCGGAUAAUUAUGUAGAGAGCAGGAAGAAUAGGUGCAACAGUAACAUAUUUCGUUUCGUUGCUACUUUUCCCAUGACUGAUUACUAUGUAUCAUGUGGACUAUUUCUUUUUAGGUUACCAUGUGGACUAAUUAUGUGGUCUAGGCGAGGCGGGGAAUAGAUGGGUCCAGUGGUAAUGAAAUCAAUUCAGUUACUAUAGUGUCCAUCAAUUUCAAAAAAAAUUACCACCGUGCGGGAGAAAAAUUGCUGUUUUUUUUCAACGACUAGUGCGACAAAUGCAUAGCCUAGGGUGUGGUGUCCAGCCAGAGUGUAGAAUUACCGCUUUGCGCUCCGGCUCACAUUAGCGAGCCUAUAUAUAUACAUACUUUUUCCUUCUCUGUGAAAUGGUGCUCAAAAUCUUCAUUGCCUUCUUCAAAUAUAAAACGAGCUUCAGUUGACGUGGUCAACUUAGUAGAGACAUUGUCAGUUUGCACCACCUUAAUUGGGUCAUCUCUGGAAUAAUGAAUGAUGAUUUUUCUAGUGAGAUAAAAGGGAUGAGGAUAAUAAACCAGAGAAGCUAUCAAGAUCUCCAUAGUUGAAAAUGACACCGCCCCGCCGCAACGAAGACCUGCUCAAAGCAGCAUCGAUCAAGUCAUCGACUCAAGGAGGAUGGCUAGACAGGUUCUCUUCACUCGCCCAGAUAGCAGAUCACUUGUUAAUUCGUGCUAGAUUAAGUACCUACGCGUCCGAAUCAUGCAUACGCAUCAGGCAGCAAUAUCAAUGGCGAAAUGUUAAGGAUCGGUGCAUGCUGCACGGGGAACGGGCUUGACAGACCAAGUUUGAAUUGGAGUCCUUCCGCACAGCAGGAUGGGUCGAUUCGAAAUGUCGUGUGAAAAAUUUUCAGCUUGAUACAGUGAAACGGAGUGGAUCUUGUAUUUUUGGGUCAAUGCUGGGGGUCAUUGUAGAUAUCGUCGGACAUAACUUUGACACUAAACUCCCCAGCUAAGCCUCAUAAGUCAUAACCAUCCGCACCUUUCUCUCGGUUCACACAAUGCAAGGUGGGCUGGCUAAUUUUGUUUUGCUAGUUUGUGUGCUGCUACAUGUGAAUCCAUUCCAUACUUUUCCUGCCUAGAGCACCACUCAGUUAGAGGAGGUGAUUUGUGACACGCAGGGGGAAGGGGCUCGCCAAUUGUGGACCGCCGAUGAGUGCCAAGAUUUAUUUAAUUUUUACGGGGAAAUCAGAGAGCUUUAUUCAUAUGAAAGCAUUCUUAGGACAAUCAGCCAAGAGGCUGGUCACCAAGAAGCUAGGAGUCUCCUCAAACCAACUAUCGGUCACAUUCAGAGUGCAAACACGCUUUGCACAAAGAUGCGUUGGAACGUUAGCUGACCUGUUUACAUGCUGAAAUCGAACAAAGUAAAAUUAUUACAUAGCUCUCCUAUCUCUACUAAUAAAGGAGCCACAAUUGAACGAGAAUUAUGGCGAGUGGUCCAGAGCGUCACCAUCUCCAAGCAAUCAGUUUCCAUUAUCACAUGCGAUAAACCUCGGAGAGAAGCGAACCGAACUCCGUCUCGCAGUGACAAAACCUCCAUAAUCAAGGGAUCAGAGAUACCCAAGUAUGGCUUGCACCAUGCUCCCAGGAACGCCGAAGAGGAUCGAGCCACCCCUCCCGCACCGCCCGUGCCAUCAGAAAAAUUCAACGCUCCAUCCAUGGUGAUCUUGACAACACCUUCAUCAGGUGGUCUCCAGCCAAAACCAGGCAAGAUCAUCGCAUCUCUCUGUGGUAAAUGAAGAAGGGCGAUCACCUCCUUAGUGGCCCUGAUCGUAGCCGUAGGAUUCCUUCCCUCUUCGCCAUGUUUGAUUCGGUUCCGGGAGUGCCAUAUAGACCACAUUAUCGUGGUGAUCUUGGCACGGUCAUCAUCUGUGAAUCUAGGAUCGCAUGUGAUAUCCCGCGCCCAUGAGUCUAGAUGAAGCCGAGGCAAUCUAAGGCCAAACCAUGCAACCGCUUCCUCCCAGAAGCAUUUUGCAUGUGAACAGUGUAUGAGUGCAUGCUCCAAAUUUUCAUCCAUAGCCAAACAAACUUUGCAUCGACGAAUCUCUGCAAUAUGUCGAUAGUUAAGAGUGUCUUCAUCCGGGAGAAUUCCACGAAGAACCCUCCACCAAAACACUCUCACCUUCGGAAUGACAUUCAAUUUCCAUGGGGAUUUCCACAUCUGUGUAUUAUCCUCUGAGGUCCUGGUAGCCGUCCCUUCCUCUCGAUCAACAUGCACUUUCUGAGUCACGAGAGCACGGUACGCCGACUUCACAGUGUAGUUCCCCGAUCUUUCAAAUGCCCAUGCAAGAAAAUCAUGUCCACCUCCUUGCCGAAUAGGGAUGUUCAAUAUUGCUUCAGCAUCAGGCGCAAUGAAAUUGUACCGAACAAGAUCUUGUCUCCACGACCAGUUAGAUGGAUCAAUAAGCUCAGACACACGCUCAAUAGUCGUAUGCUGAGGUUGAAACAUAGGAGACAUAGAUAUUGUACCUGGGAUCCACUUAUUGUUCCAGGCUGAUAUAGAGGAGCCAUCGCCCACUCGAAAGAUCAACCCGGCUUGAAGGGCUUCUCUCCCCGCCAUGAUCGCCUUCCAAGUGGCCGACGCUGACUUGGGUAUAGUAGCAUUCAUGAAAUCAGUGUCGGGAAAGUAACGGCCCUUCAAAACUCUUGCACGGAGGGAAUUCGGGUUGGUGAGGAAUCGCCAUCCGUGUUUGCCCAGCAUAGCAAGAUUGAAAAGAUGCAGAUCUCUGAACCCCAUCCCGCCCUUGCACUUGGGUGUAGCUAGAUCCUUCCAGGACACCCAAUGCAAUGAUUUCUUGUCAAGAGAACUCCAAAAAUACUUGGCCAUUGGUAAAGUAAGACUCUUACAAACUUUCUUGGUCAGAAGGAAUGUACUCAUUGGAUAAGUAGGAAUUGAUUGAACAACAGAUUUGAGAAGAGUUUCUCGAGCUGCACACGCCAAUAAUUUUUCCGACCAGCCUUGUAUUUUCCCACGAGCUCUUUCGCUGAUAUGAUCAAAUGUGCCGCUGGUAAUCCGACCCAUAGCAGUAGGGAGCCCCAGGCAUUUCUCACUGAAUGCUUGCACAUGGAUAUUUAAUGUUGCUUGCAGAACCUGCCUCAACGAAUCAGGAGUGUUAGUACUAAAGUAUAUUGAGCUUUUGUCACGAUUAACACUUUGUCCCGAAGCCUCUCCAUAAAUCCGGAGAAUCUCAUUGAGUCUGAGAGCACUUGGGUUACUUGCAUUGAUGAAAAUCAAACUAUCAUCCGCGAAUAAUAAAUGUGUGACCCAUGGUGAUCUAUAACUCAACCUCAAACCCCUGUCUAUGGUUACUCCACUGUAAUAUUUCAACAGCGAGGAAAAGCCUUCCGCACAUAGCAGAAAAAGAAAUGGUGAAACUGGAUCACCUUGUCGGAAACCUCUGGAUGGUGUGAAGUAUGGUAAAAGUUCACCGUUAACCCGCACCAAGAAGCGCACUGAGGAGACGCACUUCAUUAUCAAUCUAACAAAGCUCAUACAGAGGCCAAGCCGAACUAGUAUAGCUUCGAGAUAAUGCCACUCAACGCGAUCAUAUGCUUUCAUCAUAUCGAGCUUGACCGCACACGAAUAAUUCUUGCCCUUCUUCCUCCGCCUCAUCGUAUGUACACUUUCAUACGCAACUAGCACAUUGUCCGUAAUGAGGCGGCCGGGAACGAAAGCACUUUGCUCUUCACUUAUAACCUCAUCCAUAAAACAUCUCAAACGAUUGGUGAUUGCCUUAGCAGCAAUCUUAUACAAAACUGGGCACAAUGCAAUAGGACGGUAUUGUGAAAUUGUUUAGGGGUGUCUAACCUUGGGGAUCAGGGUAAUAGAGGUGUCAUUCAGUCCCGCUAGCAGCUCCCCCCAUUGAGAAAAUCAAGUACUGCCUCGGUUACGUCAUUGCCAAGUAAAUCCCAAUGACGCUGAUAAAAACCUGCAGUAAAACCAUCAACACCGGGUGCCUUCGAAGGAGCCAUUUGGAACAGCGCCACUUUGACUUCCUCCGGAGUAUAGGGUUUGAAUAGUUCUAUGUUCAUCGCUUGUGUCACAUUAACUGGCACAUGCGAUAACAACAGCUGGGGAUCCACAAAACCUUGUGAUUCAUAAAGUUGCUGAUAGAAGUUCUGCACCUCCACCUUGUCCUCAUCUCCACUAGCGCAAAUCGUGCCAUCCGCUCGGCGAAGAUCUGAGAUCUUAUUCAUACGUUGGCACUGAGCUGCUUGCGCUUGGAAAUAUGAUGUGUUACGAUCGCCCUCUCGGAGCCACAGAACUCUCAAACGCUGUCGAGUCCAAAUCUCCUCUUGAUGCAAGGCCUCUUUCAGUUUUUUAACAAUACUUUUCUCCUCAUCCAAAGGCUCGGUGCCUAUAGCCUGACACCGAACACGGUUCAGUCGUUGUUGGAGUUGUCUGACAGUACGUGCCAAACACCCAAACUCCUUCAAACUCCAUGGCUCUAGGGUUGCCUGCAGGGUACCAAGCACCGAUGCAAUGCCUUGGAGGCCCGAAGUGCGUGUUAUGCCCCGCCAUGUCUGCUCAACUAGGCGGUCAUAAUCAGUAUGAGUUUGCCAUAUGUUUUCAUAAUGGAAUUGUUUCUUCGCCCUAGGACACUCCGGCAUUACCUCUUUGAUUUCUGCUAACACAAAACAAUGGUCAGACUCAACUGAAGGAAGAUGUCGAACCCGUAUAUGAUGAAAAUACUGCCGAAAUUCCUCAUUCGCAAAAGCUCGAUCUAGCCGUGCCUUGACAUUUGAUUCUCCCAUUUGAUGAUUGUCCCAUGUGUAGGUCGUGCCAGACCAGCCUAGAUCAUGGAAAGAUAUCUCAUCCACAACCUCCCUAAAUGAUCUCAUAUGAGUUUCAGACCGAGCCGCUCUACUGAAGUGCUCACACGCAGACAAAGUUUCGUUAAAAUAUCCCAUGCACAACCAGGCACUAUGGGGAAUGUUAUGUAAAGUACGCAACCGCCAACUGUGGUGUCUCUCCUCUGCUCGCGGUGCUCCGUAAAAACCCGUGAAACGCCAAACAUAAGCGUUCUGAUUAUUGCUAUGAAGCAGUACAUCAAUAUGAUUCUUACUGAAAUUUUUCAAAUCAACGAUCACAUCUCUGGACCAGAAAAGACCUAUGCCGCCACUAAGGCUAACACAGUCAACUGCAAAACUGCCUGCAAAACCAAGCGUAAACUUCAGAUGCUCAACUCUUUUUGCUUUGAUUUUAGUUUCCAUUACAAAGAGAAGGGAGGGGCCUUCAAGCUUCACAAUAUUGCGAAGCUCCCGAACUGCCUCGGGGUUCCCAAGCCCCCCGGCAGUUCUAGCUUAAAACACUCAUUGUGAAUGGCAGGACCGCGACGCGGUCUCUGCCGAGUUAUCUUGUGUGGGCUUUUUCUUCUUUAGUUCACGAGCAAAGCCAUCUCCCUCUGUAUCGUUGCUAGCUGUGGUUGGGUCCCUAAUGCUUGCACCCGCGUCCCCCACUGGAUCGACCGAACUCCCAUCUGUAAGCAACAAGGGUUUAGCCACGGGUUUGUACACUUGAUGAGGGGCAUCUUUUCGCUUUGGUGGCUGCUUGUUCUUCUUAGGAGAUGUCACUUCCACCCCAGGUUCCUUGUUAGUAAUAGAGUUCCUCGUGGUUGGUUUGCUUUGAGACUUUGUAUCCCUGGAGGAAUUGUCGCUGGCCGGCGCCUUCUUCGCAUCAUCCGAUGCACGGAGUUUAGAACCAAACGGCAGCUCACCCUUGUCAUCGCGUGAGCCCGUAGUAGCACAAUAUAGUUCUGAGUGCCCUAAUCUAUCACAGGAGAAACAAAAGUAGGGCAACUAUUCAUAUUGGAUGUCAUACAAGUCCGUCUUCUUUCUCCUGGCAGACUCGAUCAAAAUCCACCUUCUCAAAGGCUUAUCUACCUCAAUUGAUAUCCUUGCUUGCAGAAAACCACCAUUAUGAUCAAACUUGACAAAUUGGGCGUUUUUAUCCAUCUGCUUAGCGAUCGGCAUCCACCACACUUCAUCCCUUAGGUUAUAGGGUAGAUCCAUAACCCUAGCCCAAAUCUGCAGAUGAUCAAACUGGACCUCAUCAGGCCGCAUACAUUCGUCAAACUCAGCCAGCACCACGGCGUUCUUACUGAUAUGCCAUGGCGAGCCACUCCACACCCUAUCUCUGUCCCUCUGAUUCUCAAAUUCUGCUACAAACGCGUUGACGCCCGCUGAUCUAAACUGCAAACCACGCGGAUUGCCCCAUGCCGGCCGAAGCGCAUUAGUGAUGGUCUAGAUGUGUAGAUGGUUCCGGUGGAGCACCUUCCCGGCCAAAAGCCACUUCGCCGGCCUCCCCUCGACGCGAUCGUCGAGAAUCAGUGGAGUAGCCUCUUCUUCGGAUAUGUCAAGUUUCCCCAAGGCCUCCUCUAGUUUCCUUCUGGCGGCAUAGCUCGCCUAGGGAUCGCUUCCCUCCCCCGAGCCCGCGGCACUAGGUGCAGCCAUGAGCCCGGAGCACUUGCCUCUUCCUCUCUCUCUUGCACCGGCGACGAGUCGUUGGGCAAAGUCGAGUCCACGUCAAACCCUAAUCGCCGCCAGCGCCGCCAGGGGUUUUAGGGUUUGGGGAAAAGCUCUUUGAGCUGAGAUAAUGAGUGCCAAGAUUCAGCAGUAUGUUUUUGUAUAUCCCUCGAUAUAUAUACCUAUAAUUAUUUCAUAAACGUGAAGCGGUAUACAUGUUGUUGUGGGGAUGGUUAGAUAUUUCGGUAAAUAGUGGAUGCAAAUUGUCUUGUACGGAAAUGGUGACAUUUUGGGAAAUUAUUCAUUUUGUUCUUCUUCUUCACUCUCUGUUCUUCAAAUAGGUUAUUCAUUUCCAACAACUCUUAAGUUCGAACACCAAUGUUGUAGAGUCAAAAAGACAGAUCCAAUUCUGUUGUUGGCAAUUGAAAGACAUCGAGGAUAGUUACAACAAUAGAAGAGGUAUAUCCAAACCUUUUGCGGAAGAGAUUAGCUAUAUUCAUAUUGUUGAUCUACAUUUGGGUUUUGUGUUGGUAGGACCGUUGCAUCAUGUUUAGUAUGUGUUUUCAUUUUAUUGUUGAUGUUUUAUGCUGCUAGCUAUUUGUGCUUGUACUUGCAUGUUAUCAUCCAUGAACUCGCAUGUUGGAACAAUUCAAUCUUUGUUCCUUGAAUGUUUAUAUGUUGAAUCUUCAAACGCAAAUUAAAAUGGAUGUACUAAGUCAAUGUAUGUAAACCGUGUUGUGCUAAGUUUGGCACACGGAUUUGAAAGUACAACUUACUUACAGAAAAUGAAACUUAAUCUCUAUGUUUCUCUCCCUUUAAUUUAGAGUAAACCCUAGACCUUAGACCUUACACAGUAAAUAUUAAAAUGAUAUAACAUAAACCCUAACACCUAAACCCAAAACGCUAAACCCCUAAUCCUUAAACCCUUGUAAAAUCAGUAAACCCUUAACCCAAAAAGGUAAUUCCAUAAGCGUUAUAACUUAAAAAUAAUGAAAUCCUAACAUUAAAACCUAAACCCUAUAUCAUAAAUCAUCAUCGCUAAAUGUUCUAAACGCUUAUAGUAAACGAUACGGCUAAACCCUAUACGCUAUGAAAGUUAAACCAUUAUCCCUAAACCAAAACCCUAAAACAUAAGAGCCAUAAUACCGUAAACCCUAAAAUGUUAAACCUAAAGACUAAACUAUAACUUUACAAAACUUAAAGUACCCUCAAAAACCUAAACCCUCAUCUUAAACAGCAAGCCUAUGCUUUGUCCUAAAUAAUAAUGUACACCCUAAUGGUAACAUGAAAUUGAUUUCAAAACUUAUUUAGAAAUAUAAUAUAAUCUAUUAUGUAACAUGACGAUGUUCAUUAUUUAUUGGAAUGGUAGUUCUUCUAAAUUUGAAGGAUUUCGAAGAAUGCUAAAAGGUAUAAAGGCUUCACAAAGUAGUAUGUAGAACAACUUUAAUGAUUUGUCGAUGUAACAUAGUGGUUAGCCUCGUAAUAGUUACCAAGUUUCAUCGAACAAAACUUAUGGAUUAUGGGUAUAUAAACUGGAGGGUUUAGUCCGUGGAGGCUAUCAGAACAAUCAUAGGCUAGACAACUAGGGUUUAGCCAUUACGAUCUCGAGGUAGAUCAACUCUUGUAACCCCUAUACUCAUCGAUUAUAAUCAAGCAGGACGUAGCGUUUUACCUCCUUUAACAGGUCCUGAACCUGGGUAAACAUCGUGUCCCCAUUGUCCCUUGUUACCAUUGAUCCUUAGACUCACAACUUGGGCCCCCUAUCCGAGAUCUGCCGGCUUUGACACCGACAGACCACAACUGGGAGAAGGACAUCUCUUUGACGAAAGUAGUGCCCGGACGACGAGGAGAGGAAUCGAAGGCUGGCACACGCCGCCUACGAGCAACCAGACGCCGGAACAAGCCAACCGGCAUUUUAACCAACCUGCCACCUCGUGAGCCGCUCGCCGACAGGCCGACGCCGAAGAAGACCUGCUGCCGCCAUGGAAUGGCCCGGACCAUCGCCAUGAGCCACCACCAUGUCGUGGCAGUCCACAUCCACACCAAGACCCCGAGGGCCAGCCCCGAGCUGCUCGCCGGCAGCCAUGGGCUAGAUCUGAGCCGAUCUGGCCGGCAACGACCACCGCCAGCAGCAGCAGCUGGUGCACCGCCGUGGUCCACGACUAUAGCCACGACAGCACCAGGUCGCAGCCCGCCCCUGCGUCGCCUGACGCCCACACGCCCGCCAGACCAAAUCGGAUCUGGACGGGGCCGCCGCCGCCAAGAGCGCCCCACCGCCUCGGUCACCAGCCGAGGCCUUACCGCUGCCAAGGACGACCACCGCCGCACCACAACCACGGCGCCGUCCGCGGCCCGCGUUGCCAUGUGGCCAGAUCUGGCGGGGCCGCACUGCACCAACCCCGCCCGCCGCCCCCGCCCGCCCAGCACGCUCCGCCAGCACAACGCCCGUGGCACAGCCAGCAAGCUGUCGUCGCCGCACAGCUCCGGCGCCCCGCCACGCUGCAGCACCCGCCNNNNNNNNNNNNNNNNNNNNNNNNNNNNNNNNNNNNNNNNNNNNNNNNNNNNNNNNNNNNNNNNNNNNNNNNNNNNNNNNNNNNNNNNNNNNNNNNNNNNNNNNNNNNNNNNNNNNNNNNNNNNNNNNNNNNNNNNNNNNNNNNNNNNNNNNNNNNNNNNNNNNNNNNNNNNNNNNNNNNNNNNNNNNNNNNNNNNNNNNNNNNNNNNNNNNNNNNNNNNNNNNNNNNNNNNNNNNNNNNNNNNNNNNNNNNNNNNNNNNNNNNNNNNNNNNNNNNNNNNNNNNNNNNNNNNNNNNNNNNNNNNNNNNNNNNNNNNNNNNNNNNNNNNNNNNNNNNNNNNNNNNNNNNCCGUGAACCCGUGUUUUGACAGUCGAGGUAUGUCUUCAUACUAGUUGACGUGUGAUUUUCUUGUAGUGAUCAAAUGUUUGGGUCAUUAUUCUAAUUUACCAUUAGAAUUGUUGGUGUUUUAUCCACACAAAAAAUGAUGUGCUAUUGCAACUCAAGGAACAACGAACAAAGGAUUUAGCAGGUUACUGAGUAAAACAGACUCAUCAGGCUAAAAGGUGUUAUCAGGCUUUCAGUCCUUGAUCAAGUCAACCUUUCGGCCCCAUCAUUUGUCCCUCGGGUACCUGGAGAAAAUUCUCUCGUUGUUGCCAGCCAAUGCGCACGUGAAACUGAGCCAGCAACAAGGGUCAACUCAGCCGACGAACUUUCCCUCAAAGAAAAAAAAACUCAGCCGACGAACUUCGAGGCCAAAUGGCCCCUUCGUUUGUCCACGUUCGGCCAGGCCGCUCGCCUGUUCUACCGCGAAUGCUAGCGAGAAAUAUGAACAUAACCAAUCUUCUCAUUAAAUCUGUGACAAACUCUGCAUAUCACCAGCCUGCAUGAACAGUGUGACCCAGAAGUCCAUCUCAUUGUUUCUCGACGACGGCGAUACACUAUCUGCGCCGAAGGUGUCGCCGGUUUCCAUCCCGGAACCGGAGCUGUCCACCGACAUCGCCAGUGUCUCCGACCAGAAGCUGUCGUCAAUCUGGAACUCCUCCGACUCCGAGUAAGAGCAGCCCGUGUUCUCCAACGACGAGGCCAUCGAGUAGCCGGUGGCGGACGACGUCGAGAGGGACUGCUCCGGCGAAAUCGAGAGGGACUGCCCCGGUGACGACGCCGGCUCGGAGGUCGGUCCCUCGAGCGCGCUCGCAGCCACAGCGGGCUUCUUGGCUUUGCGCUUAGGCGCUGCCUGGCCCGACGGCUUGGACGAGGACUCGAGUCGCUUUUUGAGGUGCGUGUGCCAGACGUUCUUGAUCUCGUUGUCCGUCCUGCCAGGCAGCCUGGCGGCAAUGGUGGACCAUCUGUUGCCGAGCAUGGCGUGGAGUUGGAUGAUGGCGUCUUCCUCCUCGCUGGUGAAGUUGCCGCGCUUGAUGUCGGGGCGCAGGUAGUUGAUCCACCGGAGGCGGCAGCUCUUGCCGCAGCGCAGCAGGCCGGCCUGCUUCGGCAGCGCUCGCCAGUUGCUGUGCCCGUGCUGCUCGAUGUGAGCCACCAGGGUCAUGUCCUCCUCCGCCGUCCACGGGCCCCUCUUGAGCCCCAUCUUCUCGCAGCAAGGAGCCCUCACCAUUGCUGUUGAUUACUCUGUGUGCUUCUCUGCACCCUUCUCUUCUCUUCGCGCAGGCCCGGGUAAGACGCUCGCGCUGUGUGGGGGUCGGAGGCGAGGGAAGGAGUCGAUGCUCGGAGGAAGCUGAUGAUGGUGUGUGGAUUGCGAGGGCGUUGGGCUAUUUAUGCUCGCUCGCGUCGACAGCAAAACGUGGUCAAUUGGGGUUCUUGGGCAGCUUCUCGGAAGGAUCGAGCCGAAUGGCCACACCGCUGGGUGACAAUACGAAGCGGAAUAGCAACGUUCGCUCCUACGGUGUUUGUUUCCUUGAUUAUUACUCGCUUUGGUUCUACUUUAGUUACUAUAUAGUACUCCUGUGCUCAUUCUAAAAUCCACAUGUUGGAAAAGAAUUCUAUGAGAUCAGGUCUCACGGAUUAGCAGAUGAGACCCAUCCUGAUGGAUGACACGUGGCAUUCACAAAUCACAAAGCAUCUACCUCACCCCUCACCUAAAAUCAGGGAGAAGAGAUUAGAUGCUUUGUGAUUUAUGAAUGUCACGUGUCAUCCAUCAAGGCGGGUCUCACCUGCUAAUCGUGAGACCUGGUCUCAUAUAAUUUUUUUUUCCCGUUUCUGAUGGCAUUGUUCUCUCUGAAUUGAUUAGUGAACUGCUGCCUCGUUUGUCUCAGGAGCGAGCGUACUUAUCUUUUUUUUUAAAUGGAGGAGGACCCCAGCCUCUGCAUCUGGACGAUGCAUGCAGCCACUUUAUUAAUUAUUCAUAUAAAACCUUACAAAGUCAUACAACAAUAAGACUAAAGCCACCGUCUCUCUACUUUAUUCUUCUUCCUUCUCCAUGUAGCUUUCCUAUGGAAAAAUUCCGUGUUCCUAUCUCCUUCAUGCAGCCAAGAGAAUCUAGAUCUUUGCCUCCACAUAACCUCCUCCCUAUGCACCCAUUCAUCAAGUUCGGACUUGGCUCAUACUAUUUUCAGUUUCCCUCGAGCGUGGCUGCAGUCUUAGUUUCUGUAAUUUUGCUCUCAAGGAUCUGAUACUGUUUGUCACCGAAUUAAAUUCCUGUUGAGCCCAAUGCCCCAAUAUGUCUCCCAUAGACUUUAGUUUGGUCGCUAUGCUCCCGAGGGAUGAAGCGCAACCCCCCUUUUCCAAGUGUUCUGGACGGUAUCUUCGAGAGAGUCAGCUCGUUCCCACAUGGCUUCAUAUCUGAAGAUUUUUGUGACUCUUCUCCAUUCUUUCCUCUUUCCAAAAUGCAGCAGCAAGGGAGCAUGGUCUGACCUCGAAGAGCAUAUGUGUUCAAUUGAGGCUCCAGGAAAGGUUCUGUUCCAGUCAGGCAUUGCUACCCCUCUGUCUAGCCGUGCUCUGACAUUUUUAUCUCCACGUUGUUUGUUGUCAUAUGUCCAUUUAGUUCCUUUAAAGCCCAAGUCCUGCAGGUUGCACUCAUCAAGAACCUUACGGAAUUCAGCCAUGUUUGUUUUAGAUCUUUUUGCUUUCGAGAAAUGCUCACUUUGCCACAUGGUUUCGUUGAAAUCACCGAUCAUGAACCAUGGUUCAGACGAGUUGUGCCUAAUCCUUCGUAGCAGCUCCCACAUGUGGUGCCUCUCAUGUGCUUUGGGUUCACCAUAAACAAAAGUUCCUCUCCACUGUACACCAUUUGGGUUUAAGCGAAUGAGCACAUCGAUAUACCUCGGUCCAACAGCGAUUUCUUUUAUUUCAACUUCCUCAUCAUAGAACAAUGCAAUCCCGGUGCUCUUGCCAAUUCCAGGUUGCACAAUACAAUGCCGAAGGCCUAGCCUCCAUCUCAGUUUAUUCACAUAAUCAUCGCUUUUCUGAGUUUCAGAAAGAAAGACUAGCUUAGGCUUAUCCGUGUGCACUAGAAGGAAGAUGGCUCUUGGACCGAAAGUACAUGGAAGAUGCAUACUGAAAUAAAUAGAUUCUUCAAAGAUCUGUACAAGAAGGAUGAGACAGUGGAACCUGACAGAUUAAUUGGUCUUAUAUAGAGGAGAGCGGAUGACCACAUGAAUGAUGCUUUGAUCAAACCCAUCUCUGACAUGGAAGUGAGUGACCCCCUCUUCCAAAUCGGGCCGCUUAAGGCACCGGGGCCUGACGGUUUCCCGGCGAGGUUUUUUCAAAGGAAUUGGGCUACUCUGCGGGAGGAUGUAAUCAAGGGAGUGCAGAAUUUUUUCAGUAAUGAGGAGAUGCCUGACGGUGUCAACGAGACCACGAUCGUUCUGAUCCCGAAGAGCAAUGACCCUCAAAGUAUCAAAGACUAUCGGCCAAUUAGCUUGUGCAAUGUCAUAUACAAGGUCAUAUCUAAGGUUCUGGUUAAUCGGCUGCGACCAUUCCUAAAUGACAUCAUCUCUGAAUCGCAAAGUGCCUUCAUCCCAGGUAGGCUGAUCACUGACAAUGCGAUAAUUGCUUUUGAAUGCUUCCAUAAGAUCCAGCGUAGUAAGAACCAAAGAAACACCCACUGCGCCUACAAGCUGGACCUUGUGAAAGCUUAUGACCGCGUUGAAUGUGACUUCUUGGAAGGAAUGCUAAGAAAGAUGGGUUUUGAUCAUAAGUUCACAAAGUGGGUGAUGUCUUGCGUGAGAUCGGUAAAAUUUGAUGUUAGAUGCAACAGAGAGCUUUUGGAACAUUUCCUCCCUUCUAGAGGACUGAGACAAGGUGAUCCCCUAAGCCCAUAUUUAUUCCUUUUUGUGGCUGAUUGCUUAGCACUCCUGCUUACCAAAGAGGUGAACAACAAUGACAUAACACCGAUCAAGAUAGCUCGUGGAUGUCCGGGGAUUUCAAACCUGCUUUUCGCCGAUGACAACCUCCUUUUCUUCAAAGCCAUGACUCAGCAAGCAAGAAGAGUGAAAGAGGUUGUGUUCGAGUUCCAAAGGGCCACGGGCCAGUUGCUAAGCCCAUCGAAAUGCUCAAUACUAUUCAGUGAGGCAAUCAUGGAUCGGGAUAGAGAGGAGAUCAAAAGAAUUUUGGGAGUGGAGUCCACCUGUUUUGAGAGCAAAUAUCUGGGACUACCGACACCAGAGGGCAGAAUGAAAAAUGAUAAUUUCCAACCCAUAAUGGGGAGGUUUGGAAAAAGAUGCAAUAACUGGAACGAGAGAUUCAUGUCACAAGCAGCAAAAGAGGUAAAUGUCAAAGCAGUGGCUCAAUCCUUGCCGUCAUGGGGGUUUUCAAACUCAAUCAAAGUUUAUGCGAUAAAUAUGAGAAAAUCAUCAGAGACUUUUGGUGGGGCGACAAGGACAAUAAGCGCAAGGUCCAUUGGAUAUCGUGGGAAAAUAUGACAAAACCAAAAUGUGAUGGGGGGGAUAGGCUUCCGUGAUAUGCAUCUGUUCAACCAGGCUCUACUUGCAAGGCAAGGGUGGAGAUUGCUUCAUAAUCCUGAAAGUCUUUGUGCUAGGGUACUGAAAUCGAAAUACUACCCUAAUGGGAACCUUCUUGACACCGUCUUCUCGUUGGAUGCAUCCCCGGUGUGGAGAGGAAUUGAGUUUGGGCUGGAGCUCCUGAAGAAGGGCCUCGUUUGGCGAAUGGGCAAUGGCAGAAGCGUUUAGAUCACUAGGGACCAGUGGAUCCCAAGAGAGGAGGGUCUGAAGGUGGCAUCCUUCAUAAGGAGGUCCAGACUAAGAUGGGUGAACCAGCUGGUUGUCGCACAAACUAAGGAAUGGAACGUUGCACUAGUGAGGCAGAUCUUCCAUCCUUUUGACGCAGAUGAGAUAUGCAAGUUGAAAAUCCCAUAGACUGAGGUUGAGGAUUGUGUUGCUUGGCAUUAUGAGAAAACAGGUAUAUUUACGGUCAGGAGCGCCUACAAGCUUGCUCACUCCCUAAAAACAAAUGGCAUAGGCAGAGCAACUAGUUCCUCUCGGGCACCGGGGGACUGUAGCAUCUGGGAUGCGAUCUGGAAGGCGAAGGUACCCGAAAAGGUAAGGUUUUCGGAUGAAGAGUUGCCACAAACUCGCUAGCGACAAAACAUAAUGCGUUCAGGAGGACGAUGGCUAGGGAUAGUGUGUGUGAGAUCUGUGGGAUAUGGGAUGAAGAUGAGCACCACGCUGUUAUCGCUUUCACCAGAAGCUUGGCUCUCCGACAAGGACUAAGACCCUACUGGCAGUUGCCAAAGGAAUUUGAUCUCACAUGCACGGGCGAGGACUGGUUACAACUGUUGCUACUAUCUUAGAGAGAAGAAGCCAGGACCAAGCUAAUGCUAAUUAUGUGGCAAGCCUGGAGUCUUAGAAACAACGUAAUCCAUGGUGAUGGAAAAGACACAGUGUCGGACUCGGUGCAAUUCUUACUGAGGCUACAUGAUGACAUACAGAGGGCGGCGGAAAAUCCUUUGAAUGAAGGAGAUAAAUGAAAAAGGGCUCUAUUCCCAUCCAAACCCUACACGCCGACCAUCUCUGAACCUAGGGUGUGGAGAGGCCCUCCCCCGGACAGCGUUAAGUUAAACACGGACGUGGCCUUCCUUGCGGAAACGGGUGAAGCAUGGGGCGGGGCAGUUGCCAGAGACCAUAAGGGCCAUAUUUUCUUAUCGGUGGGAAGAAAGUUACCCUAUUGCAGCUCUGUAGAAGAGGCAAAAGCUACGGCUGCAGAGAUGGGGUUAAAGGAAUUCGCCAAGUAUUUCAAUGGGAAUCUAGUCCUAGAGACGGAUUGCGCGAGCCUAGCUCGGGACCUGAAUGGAAAGGAGAAAUGCAGAACAGCUUGUCAUGCCAAUAUUUCUGAUAUCAAAGGGCUCCUCCAGGGCUUCUUGUGAACGGAAGUUAGUGCCAUCACAAGGGAGAAGAACAAGCUGGCACAUGAACUGGCAUCGAGGGCAAGAGCGUCAGAAGCUUUUCUGAUCAUUGCAAACGUCUCGGUUGACAUAAGAGGUGUAAUGAGGAACGAGUAUACAUCCAACAUGGUUUAGUUCGUGUAACCAUGGUUCUAAAAAAACUAAAGCCACCGUCUAGGCAACACCUGUCGCUACUCCUAUCCAGUUGAUGUAGGGAUGCUAAUAGUCUGGGCCUAAUACCAAACAGACCUCGCAGCCAAACCUAACAUCUAAGACCUGAGGUCCCAACCAGGACGCCUACCGGGUAUGGGGCACCCACCAGUCCGGCGCACUUCUCAACCAAGACGCAUGCCAGGUAUGAGGCCGCCGCAGCCACCUGCUCCCAAUCCAUCUUCAGAGCUGUAUUGUUGCAUCUACCGUGCCAGGUCUCUCUGCCAUUGACGCCACCACGACGCCAAACGACAUCGUGCUCCUGCGCGAGUCCAUCUAGACGUGUCCGUCGCCGAAACUCUGCAGCUCCAUGCCGCCGGGAUCCGUCGUCGGCCUUGCGGUAGAUGAAACACUGCUCCUCCUCGUCCCCUCCAGCCAGCUCCUGCUCCAAAACGAUGCCCUCAGGAGGGAGCACGCCAUCGAAGGCGUUGUCAUCGUCCGAUCCGGUAGACCCAGAUCUAGGGUUUCCCCCGAAACAUCCCGAUCCCGUUGACGUAGUUUACAACGACGAUGCCUCAACAGGGGGCAUCAGAGACGUCGUCAUCGUCCGCCAUGACCGAAGUCGGCGCGAUUUUCACCGGAAGUAGCGCCACCAUGAUCUCACCGCUGACUGGGUCCUAGCACACCCUCGCCAUGUAGACGCAUGGUGUCAUCGGAAAGCCGGUUGAGGACCUCCAGCCGCCUCACCCCAGCCCUAUCACGUGCCGCCGGCCGGCCAUAGCCGAACCACGACGGAUCUGGCAGGGACACCAGAUCCGCAACAACCGCCGCCACCCAACACCCGGCCAGGAAAUCCAACGACUCAACCCACCGUCCAUGGGGAAACGGCUGCCGUCGCAAGCCAGAGUCGCCGCCCUGACCGCGUCGGCUGAAGACGAAGGCGCCAACGCGAGAUAAAUCCAGACGACCUGAGUCCCUUGCCCGCGACCCCGGUCGGCCACGCAGAACCUCCUCGUCGCGCUGACGAGAGGUUCACCGCCGGCGCCGGAUCAACCACUCCGGCUUCCGCCACCACACCGUCCAGGGCAACGCACCGCCGCGAGGAGAAGAGUGCCCUGCCGCUGCCGUCCUCCAAGGCGGGCUUCGCCCAUCGGCCUCCUCCUGCAGCGGCCAGGCCGCGGGCUGCAGAUGUGAGGGACGGGGCGGCGGCGGCAAGGGUUCGCUCGUGCCGCCCCCUGGAGAGCGACACAAGCGCCGGAUGUGUCAGACGCGAGCGUACUUACCUUUGCUGCAACAAAAACAUCAAUGUGAUUCUCAAUCAGAUUCAGGGGCCCUCUGCAAGACUAGCACUACAGCCAUCCUUGAGUAAACUGCAGUUUGCACCAAGCAAAUUGUACUAGCAAUUGUUUCAGUAACAACGCCUAUUUUGAAAAAUCUAAAAAAUCAUACAUGUAUAUCGUGCGACGCAGUAUAUACCAACACAUCUUGGUUAAGGAAUAUGAACAUUUCUGAAAAAUCGUACUACCUUAUUUAUACCCCUUGGAAGUGUUUAUGUGGUUGGGAGAUUACUCAAUUGAUCGUUUUAAAGGUUUUUGUACUCCAUCCCUCCAUCAAAACCCUAGGAGCUAGUGCGGUGAUGUUGAUCUACCUUCUCAUCGACGAGAUCAUGAGCCUUCUCUCCCUCCCUUCACCACUUCGACGCCGGGAGGGGCAGGGACCUGUUGUUAAAACCAUAGAUGAUAGGGUGAGGUUUUAGUUUAGGUUUCAUCCCUAGUCGCUAGUGGUAAGGCGAUGGCGCCACCAUCAUCAUGGAAUAAGUUAUUCCUGCUUCGUCCUCUUCUCCUGGUGCUUCCUGGCAUCGUUGGAUGACGUUCCAAGGGUGGUGUGUCCACAAAUUUUGUUCUCCGAGUCGGUGGUUUUCUUCUGCUUGUUUAUACCGGUGGCAAUGUUCUACGAGGCAGAUGGCGCGACUGAGCAUCUUGGUCCACCGGUUAGUUUCGAUUAACAAAGGUUGGUCAGCUUCGACGUCGUUGGGGAGCGUGUGAGAGUUGUAUUCUCCAAAAUAGUGUCAUCGGACCUGGGGCAUUAUAUAUGCCCUCUUCGAUGUUUUCUUCUCCGGGGCUACGGUUGGGUACGCAGAUCGUGGUCACCGGCAACUUUUGGUCUGUGUCUUCGACUUCCUAGCCACCGUUUCUACAAGCUACUAGAUUUCAACAAGUUUGCUCCAUUGCAACGGAGGCUCAAACGCGGCAGCAGCUUUGGUCACGGUCGUCUGCGGUUUUCUUCGGGGCACCAAAUGAUUUGGAUUUGGGUCUAUUUUCCAAUUUCUAUAGGGUGUCUUCAUAACGGUUAAUUCUACUCAAUAUAUAGCCUUUGGCCUUUCCAAAAAGAAAAAAAAACAUUUGUGACCUAAACAAGCAGAAUAUGUUUUUUUCGAAAAGGAGGAAUACCUCCGGCCUCUGCAUCUGGACGAUGCAUACGGCCAAUUUAUUAAUUAUUAACACAAGACUUUACAAAGUCGUACAACAGUAAGACCAAAGCCACCAUCUUCGCAACCUCUGUCGCUACUCCUAUCUAACUGAUGAAGGGGCGCUGAUGGUCUGGGCCUAAUACCAAACAGACCUCGCAGCCAAACCUAACAUCUAAGACCUGAUGUCCCAACCAGGACGCCUGCCGGGUAUGGGCACCCACCAGUCCGGCGUGCUCUUCAACCAGGACCCCUGCCGGGUAUGAGGCCGCCGCAGCCACGUACCAUCAAUCCAUCUUCAGACUUGUACUGUUGCAUGAACCGUGCCAGGACACUCUGCCAUCGACGCCACCACGACGCCAGACAGCGCCAUCAUCCUUCGCUCGUCCAUCAUCACACGCCCACCGGCGAUACCCCUACUGCUCCAUGCCGCUGAGACUCGCCGUUGUCGACGUGCCAGAUGCCACGCCGCUCCUCCGACGCGAACACCAAAAACAGGCAACGCCCUAAAGAUACAAGGGUCACUCUGCACAACAUAAAAGCCGCCGCGAGCAGCUGCAGAGAUCCAGCCGGCGGCCAAAGCCCCCACCUUCAUGAGCCCACACCCGAGUCCUAACUCCCUAGGCAACGCCUCCAAGGAGGGGAUGACGCCCAUGGCGCCACCGCUGCCCAAUCCAGGCCGGAUUUUGGGUUUUCACCCGGGAGAGGACCGGAGGUGACAAGAAUAAGGACCACGACACCGCCUUCAGGAAGGAUGCGUCGCCCGAAGCCGACGCCGCUGUCGAGCCGAACCAGCUGUUCUUAAACUGCAACUUUUACAUUACCCAGAGUGCCUGACCAAGCGAUUUUUUGGAUAAGAAAAACGAUGCCUCCCGUAAAAGAAAGCGGAAAGGUGGUGGCAACAUUUUACUUUCUUCCUUUCGCUCUCCUUGAGACGAACCGGCCGUAUGGUCCGUAUCUGAUUAGUACUAGUAUGACGAAGCAAAGUGCGCUGGAGAUGUCUGAUUAGUUAUCAACCACCUCCCAAUCUCUCUGAAUGGGUUUCAGUUCAGUCAAGUCCAAACCACCUUUAGGCCUUUGGGACUUCUGUGAUCAUCAAGUGGGCGAUUUUAGACGAGGAUGCAUGAUCUUACGAGCUGAUUCGGUCUUUGCUAAGUCGUAGCAAAUCGGCGCGUUGCUUGCCGUCGACACGACGUCGAGGUGUCAUCAGCAAUCACUCUUUCAAAAUCUUUUACAGUAAUUGUUUUACUGAAUACUGAUCGAUUCAACAAGAGACGCGGUUUCAUCUGCAGAAGAAAAGGAGAGGCCUAUCUUUUGCAGCGUUGUUUGAUCGAUUAAAAGAACACUACAUGUGACUCAAUUAAACUUUUGCAUCAUCUAUCUUGUACUCUUGUGACGGUUUCAAUGUUUGUUACUUGUAGUAUUUACCACGCAAACGUAUGAACUGUUACGCAACGUACAAGAUGAAUCAGUAAUCACAUCGGUAUCCUGGCUGUGGAUGAACUGGUAUCACACCAGCUUUGUCCUGGUCACUCUUAUGGCAAAUGUGGGUGACGUUAGCUAAGUAGAGGCUCCAGCAGACACGUUAACGCUUCAAGGUUCGAAAAUUAGAGAAAGUUGAAUACUGUACCAGGUUGAUUCAAUGGCCAUACCGGAUGUUACACAUACAUAUACUUUUUCCUUCUCCGAGAAAUGGUGCUCAAAACCUUCAUUCCCUACUUAUAAAAAACAAAACGAGCUUCAGUUGACGUGGUCCAGUUAAUAAAGACAUUGUCAUAUGACUAUCCGUCCGUCACAUCUCCGGAAUAAUGAAUGAUGAUUUUUCUAGUGAGAUAAAAGGGAUGAGGAUAAUAAACCAGAGAAGCUAUCAAGAUCUCCAUAGUUGAAAAUGACACCGCCCCGCCGCAACGAAGAUCUGCUCAAAGCAACAUCCAUGAAGUCAUCGACUCAAGGAGGAAAGCGAGACGGGUUCCCUGCACUCCCCCUGAUAGAGGAUUAGUUAUUAAUUCGUGCUUAUGUUAAGUACCUACGCGUCGCAAUCAUGCAUGCGCAUCAGACAGCAAUAUCAUGGCGAAAAGGAUCGGGGAACGAGCUUGAUAGACCAAGUUCGAAUUGGAGUCCUUCCGCCCGGCAGGAGGGAUCGAUUCGAAAUUAUGUGUGACAAAUUCAGCUUUGAUACAGCAAAAUAGAGCGGAUCUUGGUCAAUGCUGGGGUUUUCACUGUACAUAUCGUCGAACAUAACUUUGACACUAAACUCCCCAAGCCUCAUAAGUCAUAACUAUCCGCACCUUUCUCUCGGUUCACACCACGCAAGGUGGGCUGGCUAAUUUUGUUUUGCUAGUUUGUGUGCCGCUACAUGUGAAUCCGUUCCAUACUUUUUCUGCCUGGGGCUCCACUGAGUUAGGAGAGGCGAUUUGUUUUUUUUUCAAAACGGAGGCAAAAUAUCUGCCUCAUCGAUUAAUUAAGAAGAAGAGAAUUGCCUAGUUAAUUUUUAAAAAAACCGGAUGAAAAUCGAUACAAACAACCCAAAACAGGCUAUUCGGAAAGCACGAAACACCAUGACCAUACAGACAACCUGUCACAUGCUCCUAACACACAACAAUCGUACCUCACCACACUUGCACAACUCAACAUAACCCUGACAAGAACACCAACAACGAUGACUCGGACAAUCAAAGCCACAUCGACAACACAAGAAACUGAGCAUCAUCCAUCAAGAAACCGCAUACGCCAUCCCAUUAGCGCACACACCGGCCACAUCAAUAUCCUCAACCACAUGCACCUCCGACCCGAAGGACUCAGAAGACGCCUCUGGAUGCUCACAUGACAGACAUGAAUCAUCUCCCUCACACGAGGUCACUAGUGAGACCACCUUCAUGUGCUUCACUGACAAAAGCGAAGCAAAGCUCAUACAUAGCCCCUAAUCUCGGGCAUGAUUUGCAGCAACGGAGCCACGAGCAUGGCGAUAGACUCGUCUUGAGUGGUACAUAACACAAGGGGCGAGGCAGACAUCGAUGACGAAAUGUCCCCAACACGGGGGGGAGAAAAAACCAUAUAACUUUGCCUCCGUGUCCUCCUCGGAGCAACCACCAACUGCAAUACGAGGAUGUGACGUCAUAGCAGUCUGCAGCAUAGCCGGCACAAGCGAGAGUCUACUCAGAGCAACCUCCGCCCACUCCAAAAAGCUCCCAACCCGCACCAGGCAACCUUGCAGCAACGCAAUCUGAUCAGCUAGAGCGGACUGCGGCACCACUUCAGAUGAGGUUGUCGAGUCUGCCCUAGCAGAUACAACAGACGCCCAGGACCCACGGUGAAGCGCCUUGGAGGGGGGGCGCGAAUUUCACUGGACCCUUGUGUAAAGCUGAUGUAGGACCAUGCAUGAUGUUGACGCUGGCCACGGGCGGCGUGGCAAAGCAUGCCAGCGAGCUUAGAGGACGCCAGGGAUUGCGACAUCCGUGCGCACGAUAACCAUUCUCCAAACAACGUGAGCACUGCAACAGAUCUCUACAAUGAGCCGCAUGAUGCCCAUGAGCAAAGCAUCUGUAGCAUCUACCGUGAAGCCAAGCAGGAACGGGAGGCGAUUUGUGAUGUGCAAGGGGAAGGAGCUUGCCGAUUGUGGACCGCUGAUGAGUGCCAAGAUUCGGAAGUAUGUUAAUAUAUAUCACCUAUUUCCCUUGGUAUAGCCCUCGAUGUAUAUCUAUAAUUAUUUCGUAAUGUGAAGCGAUAUACAUGUUGUGGGGCUGGUUUCAUGGGUAAAGAUAUUUUCGUAAAUAGUAGAAGCAAAUUUUUUUGUACAGAAACGGUGACGUUUUGGGAAAUUAUUCAUUUUGCUCUUCUUCUUCUUCCUCCUCGCUCUUUGUUCUUCAAAUAGCUUAUUCACUUCCAACAACUCUUAAGUUCGAACACCUAUGUUGUAGAGUAAAAAAGACAGAUCUAGUUCCAUUGUUAGAGGUUGAAAAACGUCAAGGAUAGUAACAACACUAGUAGAGGUCUUUUCAAACCUUCUUCAGAAGACAUUAUUUAUAUUUGUAUGCUUGAUCUGCAUUUGAGUUUCGUAUUGGUAGAACCGUUACAUCCUAUUUAGUAUGUGUUUUUAUUGUUGAUGUUUAUGCUGCUAGCUAUUUGUGCUUUGUACUAACGUGUUAUCUUCCAUGAACUCGCGUGUUGGAACAAUUCAAUCUUUGUUCUUUGAAUGUUUAUAUGUUGAAUCUUCGAAUGCAAGUAAAAAUAGAUGUACUCAGUCAAUGUAUGUAAAUUGUGUUGUGCUAAGUUUGGCGCACCGAAACUUACACGGAUUUGAAAGUACAAGUUAGUUACAGAAUAUGAAACUUAAUCUCUAUGUUUGUCUUCAUUUAAUGUAGAGUAAAUCCUAGACCUUAGACCUUACGCGAUUACCAUAAACCCUAACACCCAAACCCAAAACACUAAACCCCUAAUCUCUAAACCCUUGUAAAAUCGGUAAACCUUUAACCCUAAAAUGUAAUUCCAUAAGCGUUAUAACUUAAAAACAAUGAACUCUUAACAUUAAAACCUAAACCCUAAAUCAUAAAUCGUAAACCCUAAAUGUUCUAAAUUCUUACAGUAAACGAUAAGGCUAAACCUUAUACACUAUGAAGGUUAAACCAUUAACCCUGAACCAAAACCCUAAAAUAUAAGAGCCAUAAUAUUGUAAACCCUAAAGACUAAACUGUAACUGUACAAAACUUAAAGUACCCUCAAAAACCUAAACCCUAAUCUUAAACGGCAACCAUAUACUUUAUCCUAGAUAAUAAUGCUACAACCUAAAUGAUAAAUGUUAAAGUGAUUUCAAAACUUAUUUAGAAAUAUAAUCUAUGAUGUAACAUGACUAUGUUCAUUGUUUAUUAGAAUGGUAGUUAUUCUAAAUUUGAAGGCUUUCAUAGAAUGUUAAAAAAUGUAGAGGCGUCACAAAGUAGUAUGUAGAACAACUUUAAUGAUUUGUCAAUGCAACACGGUGGUUAGCCUGGUAAUAGUUGCCAAGUUUCAUUGAACAAAACUUAUGGAUUUUGGGUAUACAAAAGAUGAUAUAAAGUAUCAUUUCAUAUUUUGAAUCUUUAUUACACUGGGAAUGGGGUUAUAUUUGAACAGUAGGAUAAAUAAAGCAAGUAAGAAAAGCAAGUAUGUUUGAAGAAUGGUGAUAAAUUGAAAAUUAGUAAGGAACAACAAUGUAUUUUAUUGAAGGAUAUAACAGGGUAGUUAAAAGUUCCCGCAAGUUUUGCCUGAAAAAACUUAAGUAAUGAGAAAUAUAGUUUUACAUAUAAGUUUAUUACUUAUAUAUUUAUCCCGUCAAAAACCUAGCGACUAUGUAUAAGGUACCUACCUAGGAAACACAUAUUGGCCGUGUAGCAAUUGUUGCUUAUUAUAAGUUGGUCGGCCCUUUUCAUGUAACAAUCGAGCCAGAAUGGAUUGGGGAACAAGUUCUAUGCUUCCACCAUGCCCUUGAUUAAGCUUAGUCUAUGGGUAGGUCGUAGAAGGAAAAGUGUGGUUGGGAUGGAAGGUAGCAGACUGUAUUUGCAAUCUUGGUCACUCGGUAUUCAAUGAUAGAUCAGGUGAAUUUGUUCGUUGUUUGCCAUAUAUAACCUAAAUAUUUUUUCUUUAUCUUCGGUGGUGGUGACAUACAUGUUUUCGUAAUAUGUAGGAUGUUGCUUUGGAGAUUCAUAUCCGUUGGAGGCCGACACUGCUGCAGGUUAUAAAAGACUUAGGAGGUAUGUGGCAUGUUUACUAUAUGGAGGAUGCAUUAGACAGUAUGCUUUAUGUCAAAAUGUCAUUUCGUAUACCACUAGACAGAUUGAAGAAGAUGUUUGAAACAAUAAGUUGUUCUGGGACGAAAUGUUACACAGGUUACAAGGGGAUAGUUUUCACACAAGUGUCAUUGAUAUAAGCGAAGUGAGGCAACAAUACAUGGAGUAUAGGUGCAGCAAGCUUUUGCUCAACGCUGGCGGGAUGUCAGGGCACAAAGAUACUUCUUUUAUGAUUAUGCAGAUGCAGCACAAAUGAUUGACACUUUGUACCAUAAGCUGUAUAGGAGACUCAUUGGGGAUAUUUAUCAUGGUGCUAAUGAUGAGUACUGUGAAACUAAAGCUGAACUUGUAGACCACCUAGUUUUAAUAUGAAAUUCAAACUAUUUAAAGGUGAUGGAAUUGGUGAAUGAACCAAAGUAAAUAAAAUUUAUUGCUUCAAACACAUGUGCUUGGUUGUUUAGGGCCUUUCCCUUAGCAACCCAUUUCUUUACUACUUUUUGGGCAGCCAUUUGCUUUCCUGCAACUUUUGUAGCCUUUUUCUUCUCUGCCUCUUCGGCGGCCUUUUUCUUCGCAGCUACCUCGACAGCAAGUUUCUUUGCUUCCUCUGUCCUACGGGCAGAUUCAAUUUCCAUAGCACAUUUCUGUGCUACAAGUUCUUAUUCUUGGUGAGUUCUUCCUCGCGCUUUUUCGUGUUGGCUAUGGCUUCCUCAAUAGCUAAUAUUGCUUUCUCAGCCUUCUCACAGACUAGGCAUGCAAUGAUUGCAUUGUAGUCUCUCAUAGUCUUUGUGGCCAGCUGAAAAUAAACCGGGUCCUGACCUUGGAGAUAACCAUGUCCAUUUGCUUCAAGGCUUCUUGCUGUCGGGAUAGUUUAGCCUCAUGGAUUUCCUUCUCUUCCUUGAACAUGUUUCCACAAGCAAUACGCUCAUCAUAUUCAACAGAUAGACAAUUGAAUAGCUUUGCAUGUGACUUGAACUACUUAGCUUUGAAUUCUUCUGCAGCCAUACAGUUUGUAAAGACUUCUAUCGGGCCAUGUGGCAGAGGAAUUUCAUCAAUUGUUACAUUCUUCAUGUCCUUUACCCAGUGAGCAAUGAAGGCUUUGAUAGUUUCUAAGUCAAGAAGCUCAUCAACAGAGGUAGUUGAACCUUCUCCGGUGCCUAAGCUAACGUUGUAGAUCCAUGAGAAAGGAAUAUUGUCCACGACAUUUUCAUCAUCAGCAGUAGAGGGAGGAACUUCAGACUUAUGAGGAGGAGGGGCAUUCUCUUUUGGUACGGUAGCAGCAUCUUCUUCAUUGGGGGUGGCAUUUGGAACCACAUUCUUCAACAGUUAAUGUUGCAUUUGCUUCAUCAAGGUCAGUAGAAGUAUCAGGAUCAUCUUGAGUGAAAUUAAUAUCUUCUUCUAUCAGAGGUGGCGGUGUAGAGUGAUGAAUACAUCACUUGAUCUUUAUUUUCGUCUGCCUCUUGGGUUUAGGGGCAGUCUGUUGGUGAUUUGCCUCGGUGGGUGAGUUGGAUGAUUCAUACAUAGGCAUGAAGCUGGAGGUGGGGGCACUUGAACUAUUUGUGCGGACCUAGCCUUCCUCUUCUUUUGGGAGGUAGUGGUGUCGGGUUCUCCUUGGGAAACCUUUGCUUUUGCUGAAGACUUACCUUUCUUCUGGGCUUUGAUACGUCUCUAACGUAUCUAUAAUUUUUUAUUGUUUCAUGCUAUUAUAUUAUCAUUCUUACACACUUUUGCAAUCAUUUUAUAUUAUUUUCUAGACUAAUAUAUUAAUGCAGUGCCCAGUGUCAGUUGUUGUAAUCUGCUUGUUUUCGUUUUACAGAAAAUCGAUACCUACUACGGUCCAAACAUGAUGAAACUUUUUGACGAUUUUUUCUAGAACAUAAGAAACACCAAAAGCUUUAUGGGGAGACCACAAGACCCACGAGGCUCCCAUGAGGGUGGAGGCACGACCUGGGGUGCCACCCAAGCUUGUGGGGCCCCUGUGGCUCCAUUUUCCCUAAUUCUUGGCCUAUAAAUUUUAUUGCCGUAGGAGGAAGCCAUUGGGGUGGCCAUGUUCAUUGACAGUGUUGCCUCCAUGAUGGUGUGUGAGUAAUUCCUUCAGGUCCUACGGGUCCAUAUAGUAGUAGCUGGAUGCCUUUGUCCCUCUCAUUUAGAUCUUCAAUACCAGCUUCUCUUUUGAGAUAAAUUCAAUGUAAUUCUUGUGGUGUGUUUGUUGGGAUCCGAUGAAUUGUGGAUUUGUGAUUAGAUAAUUCAUUGAUUUCUAUUGAAUCUCCUGAAAUUUCUUUACUGCACAAUUAAAUAGCUAUGUAUGUUUUCCGAUCUAUUAUUCUUAUCUGGCCAAGAUAGAUGAGUAGUUCUUCAAAGGAAGUGGUGCAUAGUAGUGGGUUCAAUUUGGCGGUGAUUUUGAUAUCACGGUGAUAGAAAGGGACAAGACACAUCUUUGUAUUGCUGCCACCAGGCAUAAAGCAUGGGGGUUUAAUCUCUAGAUUUCUUCUUCUCUACAUUAUGUCAUCUUGUUUAUCGCAUUACUCUAUUUCUUGUAAACUUAAUAUCUGAGAUGCAUGCUGGAUAGCAGUCUUGGGGUGGAGUAAUAGUAGUAGAUGCAGUUGGAUUAAUGAUCUACUUAUCACAAAUAUAAUGCAUAUAGGAGAUUAUGCCAUGAAUGAUCAUAGUUACAAAUUGCCAUUAUUCUAUCAAUUGCCCAAUAGUAAUUUGUUCAUGUCACUACCUGCUUCGAAGAGAGAUGCCACUAGUGAAACUAUGGCCCCUAGGUCCAUUCUCCAUUAAUACAAAGGUCUUAUAAUGUUGGCCUUUUAUUUUUCCUUUACUUUUUUCCGUUUACUAUUAUCACUAUCUAUUUGUUUUUAAUCUUGUAAGUGGAAAGACAAGGGCACUGACAACCCCCUUGACAAGUUGGGUGCAAGCAUUUGUUUUGUGUUUGUGUGCAGGUGUUGUCUACAUUGUUUGUUUGGUGACUCCUACUAGUUCGACAGAUCUUGGCUCUUAACUGAGGGAAAUACUUCCUGCUAUUGUGCUACAUCACCUUUUCUCUUCUGGGAAUACAACAACUCCUACGAGAGUAGCAGGCUUCAGCAGCCUUACUCUGAUUUUCCUCUCCAACAACCAUUUUUCUUGACUAGCCAGCCACUUUUCAUACUCAUCCACAUAAAUUUGACAUACAAACAAAAACCCAUUAUAGGAUCAGGUGCAUAGAGUGAAAUGACUAGAUCUUGUUUGGAAGCCUUCGUUGGUGAGGAAAUGCUACAACGUAUCUGCUACGUCUUGAGCUUGCGUUGGUUUUCCUUGAAGAUGAAAGGGUGAUGCGGCAAUAGUAGCGUAAGUAUUUCCCUCAGUUUUUGAGAACCAAGGUAUCAAUCCAGUAGGAGGCUCCUCAAAAGUCCCACGCACCUACGCAAACAAACAAAGAACUCGUAACCAACGCAAUAAAGGGGUUGUCAAUCCCUUCACGGCCACUUGUGAAAGUGAGAUCUGAUAGAGAUAGUAUGAUAAGAUAAAUAUAUUUUUGGUAUUUUAUGAUAUAGAUUGGAAAAGUAAAGAUGCAAAUAAAAGUAGAUUGAAAGCUUAUAUGAUAAAAGAUAGACCAGGGGGGCAUAGGUUUCACUAGUGGCUUCUCUCAAGAUAGCAUAAGUAUUACGGUGGGUGAACAAAUUACUGUUGAGCAAUUGAUAGAAAAGAGAAUAAUUAUGAGAUUAUCUAGGCAUGAUCAUGUAUAUAGGCAUCACGUCCGCGACAAGUAGACCGACUCUUGCCUGCAUCUACUACUAUUACUCCACACAUCGACCGCUAUCCAGCAUGCAUCUAGAGUAUUAAAUUCAUAAAGAACGGAGUAACGCAUUAAGAAAGGUGACAUGAUGUAGAGGGAUAAACUCAUGCAAUAUGAUAUAAACCCCAUCUUUUUAUCCUCGAUCGCAACAAUACAAUGCGUGCCUUGCUGCCCCUGCUGUCACUGGGAAAGGACACCGCAAGAUUGAACCCAAAGCUAAGCACUUCUCCCAUUGCAAGAAAGAUCAAUCUAGUAGGCCAAACCAAACUGAUAAUUCGAAGAGACUUGCAAAGAUAACUUAAUCACACAUAAAAGAAUUCAGAGGAGAUUCAAAUAUUUCUCAUAGAUAAACUUGAUCAUAAACCCACAAUUCAUCGGAUCUCGACAAACACACCGCAAAAAGAGUUACAUCGAAUAGAUCUCCAAGAAGAUCAAGGAGAACAUGGUAUUGAGAUCCAAAAGGAGAGAAGAAGCCAUCUAGCUAAUAACUAUGGACCCGAAGGUCUGUGGUAAACUACUCACAACUCAUCGGAGGGCCUAUGGUGUUGAUGUAGAAGCCCUCCGUGGUCGAUUCCCCCUCCGGCGGAGCACCAAGAUUUGAUAUUGCGGAUACAAAAGGUUGUGGUGGUGGAAUUAGGUUUUCGUGGCUUGUUCUGAUGUUCUCGGGGUGCGUGGGUAUAUAUCGGAGGAAGAAGUAGGUCGGUGGCCGCCCGAGGGGCCCAUGAGAUAGGGGGCGCGCCCUCCACCCUUGUGGCCGCCUUGACUGCUUCUUGACUUGCACUCCGAGUCCUCUGGAUCAUGUUUGUUCCAAAAAUCACGCUCCCGAAGGUUUCAUUGCAUUUGUACUCCGUUUGAUAUUCCAUUUCUUCGAAAUACUGAAAUAGGCAAAAAACAACAAUACAGGCUAGGCCUCCGGUUAGUAGGUUAGUCCCAAAAAUGAUAUAAAUAUGUAAAGUAAAGCCCAUAAACAUCCAAAACAACUAAUAUAAUAGCAUGGAACAAUCAAAAAUUAUAGAUACGUUGUAGACGUAUCAAGCAUCCCCAAGCUUAAUUCCUGCUCGUCCUCAAGUAGGUAAAUGAUAAAAACAUAAUUUUUGAUGUGGAAUGCUACCUAACAUAACUCUCAAUGUAAUUUUUUUUAUUGUGGCAUGAAUGUUCAGAUCCAAAUGAUUCAAUAUAAAAGUUCAUAUUGACAUAAGAAAUAAUAAUACUUCAAGCAUACUAAUCAAAGCAAUCAUGUCUUCUCAAAAUAACAUGGCUGAAGAAAGUUAUCCCUACAAAGUCAUAUAGUCUGGCUGUUGCUCUAUCUUCAUCACACAAAGUAUUUAAUCAUGCACAACCCCGAUGACAAGCCAAGCAAUUGUUUCAUACUUUAGCAAUCUCAAACUUUUUCAAUUUUCACGCAAUACAUGAGCAUGAGCCAUGGACAUAGCACUAUAUGUGGAAUAGAAUGGUGGUUGUGGAGGAGACAAAAAAGGAGAAGAUAGUCUCACAUCAACUAGGCGUAUCAACGGGCUAUAGAGAUGCCCAUUAAUAGAUAUCAAUGUGAGUGAGUAGGGAUUGCCAUGCAAUGGAUGCACUAGAGCUAUAAAUGUAUGAAAGCUCAACAAAAGAAACUAAGUGGGUGUGCAUCCAACUUGCUUGCUCACGAAGACCUAGGGCAUUUUGAGGAAGCCCAUCAUUGGAAUAUACAAGCCAAGUUCUAUAAUGAAAAGUUCCCACUAGUAUAUGAAAGUGACAACAUAGGAGACUCUCUAUCAUGAAGAUCAUAGUGCUACUUUGAAGCACAAGUGUGGUAAAAAGGAUAGUAGCAUUGUCCCUUCUCUCUUUUUCUCUCAUUUUUAUUUUUUUAUUUCUUUUUUUCUUUUUUCUGGGCCUUUUUCUUUUUUUGGCCUUUUUCUUUUUUUCUUUUUUUUCCUUUUUUUUGUAAAGUCCGAAGUCUCAUCCCAACUUGUGGGGGAAUCAUAGUCUCCAUCAUCCUUUCCUCACUGGGACAAUGCUCUAAUAAUGAAGAUCAUCACACUUUUAUUUACUUACAACUCAAUACUUAGAACAAGAUAUGACUCUAUAUGAAUGUCUCCGGCGGUGUACCGGGAUAUGCAAUGAAUCAAGAGCGACAUGUAUGAAAAUUAUGAAGGUGGUCAUGCCACAAAUACGAUGUCAACUACAUGAUCAUGCAAAGAGCAAUGUGACAAUGAUGAUGCGUGUCAUAUAAACGGAACGGUGGAAAGUUGCAUGGCAAUAUAUCUCGGAAUGGCUAUGGAAAUGCCAUAAUAGGUAGGUAUGGUGGCUGUUUUGAGGAAGGUAUAUGGUGGGUGUAUGGUACCGGCGAAAGUUGCGCGGCACAAGAGAGACUAGCAAUGGUGGAAGGGUGAGAGUGUAUAAUCCAUGGACUCAACAUUAGGCAUAAAGAACUCAUGUAUUUAUUGCAAAAAUCUACAAGUCAUCAAGAACAAAGUAUUACGUGCAUGCUCCUAGGGGGAUAGAUUGGUAGGAAAAGACCAUCGCUCGUUCCCGACCGCCACUCAUAAGGAAGACAAUAAAUAAAUAAAAUUGUGCUCCAACUUCAUCACAAAGCGGUUCACCAUACGUGCACGCUACGGGAAUCACAAGCUUCAACACAAGUAUUCUUUUUAUUCAUAAUCACCCAACUAGCAUGACUCUAAUAUUACCACCUCUAAUAUCUCAAAACAAUUAUCAAGUAUCAAAUUGAUCAUAGCAUCCAAUUCACUUUCUAUGAUAGUUUUAUUAUACCCAACUUGGAUGCCUACCAUUCUAGGACCAAUUUUACAACCAUAGCAAAUACCAUGUUGUUCUAAGAGACUCUCAAAAUAAUAUAAGUGAAGCAUGAGAGACUAGCAAUUUCUAUAAAAUUAAGCCACCGUCGUGCUCUAAAAGAUAUAAGUGAAGCACUAGAGCAAAAACUAUCAAGCUCAAAAGAUAUAAGUGAAGCACAUAGCGUAUUCUAAUAAAUUCUAAUCAAGUGGGCUUCCCCCAAAAGGUGUGUACAGUAAGGAUGAUUGUGGAAAACUAAAAAUCAAAAACUAAUAUCAUACAAGACGCUCCAAGCAAAACACAUAUCAUGUGGCGAAUAAAAAUAUAGCUCCAAGUAAAGUUACCAAUGAACGAAGACGAAAGAGGGGAUGCCUUCUGGGGGCAUCCCCAAGCUUAGGCUUUUGGAUAUUCUUGAAUAUAUUGGGGUGCCUUGGGCAUCCCCAAGCUUAGGCUCUUGUCGCUCCUUAUUCCAUAGUCCAUCAAAUCUUUACCCAAAACUUGUAAACUUCACAGCACAAAACUCAACAGGAGAUCUCAUAAGCUCCGUUAGUGAAAGAAAGCAAAACCACCACAUAAGGUACUGUAAUGAACUCAUUCUUUAUUUAUAUUGGUGUUAAACCUAUUGUAUUUCAAGUUCUCUAUGGUUCAUACCACUUAAUACUAGCCAUGGAUGCAUCAAAAUAAGCAAACAACACGCGAAAAACAGAAUCUGUCAAAAAUAGAACAGUCUGUAGCAAUCUGUAACCCAUGAAUACUUCUGGAACUCUAAAAAUCCUACCAAAAUAGGAAGUCCUGGGAAAUUUGUCUAUUGACUACAGCAAAAAGAAUCAACGCAAAACCACGUUUCUGUGAAUUAACAAAACUAAUUUCGUGCGCGCAAAGUUUCUGUUUUUCAGCAGAAUCAAAUUAACUAUCACCAUAGGUUAUCCUAUAGGUUCUACUUGGCACAAACACUAAUUAAAACAUAAAAAUACAUCUAAAAAAGGUAGAUGCAAAAUUUAUUACUAAACAGAAACAAAAACAAAAAACACAAAUAAAAUUGGGUUGCCUCCCCAACUAGCGCUAUCGUUUAACGCCCCUAGCUAGGCAUAAAAGCGAGGAUAGAUCUAAGUAGUGACAUCUUUGGCACUCAAUUCAUAAGUAGCUCGCAUGAUAGAUUCAUAAGGUAAUUUGAAUUUAUUUCUUGGAAAGUGCUCCAUGCCUUUCCUUAAUGGAAAUUGGAAUCUAAUAUUCCCUUCCUUCAUAUCAAUAAUCGCGCCAAUCGUUCUAAGGAAAGGUCUACCAAGAAUAAUAGGGCAAGAAAGAUUGGAAUCUAUAUCAAGAAUGAUAAGAUCUAUGGGCACCAAAUUUCUAUUUGCAAAAAUAAGAACAUCAUUGAUCCUUCACAUUGGCUUUUUAAUGGUGGAAUCGGCUAGGUGCAAAUUUAAAGAGCAAUCAUCAAGAUCAUGGAGACCUAGAAUAUCAUAUAAAGUUUUCGGAAUCGUGGAAACACUAGCACAAAUCACACAAAGCAUAACACUCCUGAUCUUUAAUUUUAAUCAUUAUAGUAGGUUCCCACUCAUCAUUAAGUUUUAUAGGUAUAGAAACUUCCAAAAUAAGUUUUUCAUCAAAAGAUUGCAUCAAGGCAUCAACGAUAUGUUUGGUGAAAGCUUUAUUUUGACUAUAAGCAUGAGGAGAAUUCACAAUGGAUUGCAACAAGGAAAUACAACCUUCUAAAGAACAAUUAUCAUAAUCAAAUUCCUUGAAAUCCAAGAUAGUGGGUUCAAUGCUAUUUAAAGUCUUGACCUUUGCAAUCCCACUUUUACCAAAUUUAGUAUUAAGAUCUAAAAACUCCGAAUUAUUGGGACGCCUUUUAACUAAAGUUGACUCAUCUCCAGUCCCAUCAUUAUUAAGAUUCAUAAUGUAAAACAAAGAUAUAAUAGGGGACACAUCAGUAACUUUAAGAUCUUCAUCAUUAUUUUCAUGAAAACUAGAAGAACACACCUUUACAAAACAAUCUUUCUUAGCACGCAAUCUAGCAGUUCUUUCUUUGCACUUAUCAAUGGAAAUUCUCAUUGCUUUGAGAGACUCAUUGAUAUCAUGCUUAGGAGGAGUAGAUCUAAGUUUAAGAGAAUCAACAUCAAGCGAAAGUCUAUCAACGUUCCUAGCCAAAUCAUCAACUUUGAGCAAUUUUUCUUCAAGCAAGGCAUUAAAAUUCUUUUGAGAGAUCAUAAAUUCUUUCACACUAUUCUUAAAAUCAGAGGGCAUAUUAUUAAAAUUACCAUAAUAAUUAUUGUAGGAAUUUCCAUAAUUAUUAGAGGAAUUACUAGGGAACAGUCUAGGAUUAAAGUUUCCUCUAUAAGCAUUGUUUCCAAAACUAUUCCUAGCAACAAAAUCCACAUCCAUAGAUUCAUUAUUAUUCUCAAUCAAAGUAGACAAAGGCAUAUCAUUGGGAUCAACAGGAGCACUCUUAGUAGAAAACAAUUUCAUAAGUUCAUCCAUCUUCCCACGCAAAACAUUAAUAUCUUCUAUAGCAUGCACUUUUUUACUAGUAGAUCUUUCGGUGUGCCAUUGAGAAUAAUUAGCCAUAAUAUUAUCAAGGAGUUUUGUAGCAUCUCCUAAAGUGAUUUCCAUAAACGUGCCUCCCGUGGCCGAAUCUAAAAGAUUUCUAGAAGCAAAAUUCAAGCCGUCAUAAAUUUUUUAUAUGAUCAUCCGUAAAGUCAAACCAUGAGUAGGGCAAUUGUGAAUCAUCAAUUUAAUUCUUUCCCAAGAUUGGGCAACAUGCUCAUGAUCAAGUUGUUUAAAGUUCAUAAUAUCGUUCCUAAGAGUGAUAAUCUUAGCGGGAGGAAAAUACUUAGAGAUAAAAGCAUCUUUGCACUUGUUCCAAGAAUCAAUACUAUUUUGGGGCAAAGAAGAAAACCAAACUUUAGCACGAUCUCUAAGUGAAAAUGGAAAUAACUUCAAUUUAACAAUAUCAUUAUCCGUAUCUUUCUUCUUUUGCAUCUCACACAAAUCAACAAAGUUGUUUAGAUGGGUAGCGGCAUCUUCACUAGGAAGGCCGGCAAAUUGAUCUUUCAUAACAAGAUUCAGCAAAGCAGUAUUGAUUUCACAAGACUCAACAUCAUUAAGAGGAGCAAUCGGAGUACUAAGGAAAUCAUUAUUGUUGGUAUUGGAGAAAUCACACAAUUUGGUAUUAUCUUGUGCCAUGGCGACAAGUAAUCCAACACACAAGCAAAAAAACAGAGGCAAGCGAAAGAGAGAGAAGAUUCGGAAAGAGAGGGCGAAUAAAACGGCAAGGGUGAAGUGGGGGAGAGGAAAACGAGAGGCAAAUGGCAAAAAAUGUAAAUGCGAGGGAGAUGAGUUUGUGAUGGGUACUUGGUAUGUCUUGACUUGAGCGAAGACCUCCCCGGCAACGGCGCCAGAAAUACUUCUUGCUACAUCCUGAGCUUGCGUUGGUUUUCCUUGAAGAGGAAAGCGUGAUGCAGCAAUAGUAGCGUAAGUAUUUCCCUCAGUUUUUGAGAAUCAAGGUAUCAAUCCAGUAGGAAGCUCCUCAAAAGUCCCACGCACCUACACAAACAAACAAAGAACUCGCAACUAACACAAUAAAGGGGUUGUCAAUCCCUUCACGACCACUUGUGAAAGUGAGAUCUGAUAGAAAUAGUAUGAUAAUAUAAAUAUAUUUUGGUAUUUUAUGAUAUAGAUUGGAAAAAUAAAGAUGCAAAUAAAAGUAGAUUGAAGCUUAUAUGAUAAAAUAUAGACCCGGGGGCCAUAGGUUUCACUAGUGGCUUCUCUCAAGAUAGCAUAAGUAUUACGGUGGGUGAACAAAUUACUGUCGAGCAAUUGAUAGAAAAGAGAAUAAUUAUGAGAUUAUCUAGGCAUGAUCAUGUAUAUAGGCAUCACGUCCCGGACAAGUAGACCGACUCCUGCCUACAUCUAGUACUAUUACUCCACACAUCAACCGCUAUCCAGCAUGCAUCUAAAGUAUUAAGUUCAUAAAGAACGGAAUAACACAUUAAGAAAUAUGACAUGAUGUAGAGGGAUAAACUCAUGCAAUACGAUAUAAAUCCCAUCUCUUUAUCCUCGGUGCAACAAUACAAUACGUGCCUUGCUGCCCCUGCUGUCACUUGGAAAGGACACCGCAAGAUCGAACCCAAAGCUAAGCACUUCUCCCAUUGCAAGAAAGAUCAAUCUAGUAGGCCAAACCAAAAUGAUAAUUCGAAGAGACUUGCAAAGAUAACUUAAUCACACAUAAAAGAAUUCAGAAGAGAUUCAAAUAUUUCUCAUAGAUAAACUUGAUCAUAAACCCACAAUUCAUCGGAUCUCGACAAACACACCGCAAAAAGAGUUACAUCGAAUAGAUCUCCAAGAAGAUCGAGGAGAACAUGGUAUUGAGAUCCAAAAAGAGAGAAGAAACCAUCUAGGUAAUAACUAUGGACCCAAAGGCCUGUGGUAAACUACUCACAACUCAUCGGAGGGGCUAUGGUGUUGAUGUAGAAGCCCUCCGUUGUCGAUUCCCCCUCCGGUGGAGCACCGCGAAGGCUCCAAGAUGGGCUCUCGCGGAUACAAAAGGUUGCGGCGGUGGAAUUAGGUUUUCGUGGCUUGUUUUGAUGUUCUUGGGGUACGUGGGUAUAUAUAGGAGGAAGAAGUAGGUCGGUGGCCGCCCGAGGGGCCCACGAGAUAGGGGGCGCGCCUGGUAGGGGUGGGCGCGCCCUCCACCCUCGUGGCCGCCUUGACUGCUUCUUGACUUACACUCCAUGUUCUCUGGAUCACGUUCGUUCCAAAAGUCACACUCCCGAAGGUUUCAUUGCAUUUGGAGUCCGUUUGAUAUUCCUUUUCUUCGAAAUACUGAAAUAGGCAAAAAAAUAGCAAUAUGGGUUGGGCCUCCGGUUAGUAGGUUAGUCCCAAAAAUGAUAUAAAUAUGUAAAGUAAAGCCCAUGAACAUACAAAACAAGUAAUAUAAUAGCAUAGAACAAUCAAAAAUUAUAGAUACAUUGGAGACGUAUCAGUAUCAUACGAGCCCGAGGUGCUUGCCUGAGACCAUAGUUCCUUGUGAAGCCUAUAGACCAUGUGAGGAUGCUUUGGGUAUUCAUGAAGGAAAUAUGCCCUAGAGGCAAUAAUAAAGUUAUUAUUUAUUUUCUUAUUUCAUGAUAAAUGUUUAUUAUUCAUGCUAGAAUUGUAUUAACCAGAAACAUAAUACAUGUGUGAAUGCAUAGACAAACAUAGUGUCACUAGUAUGCCUCUACUUGACUAGCUCGUUGAUCAAAGAUGGUUGAGUUUCCUAGCCAUAGACAUGAGUUGUCAUUUGAUUAACGGGAUCACAUCAUUAGGAGAAUGAUGUGAUUGACUUGACCCAUUCCGUUAGCUUAGCACUUGAUCGUUUAGUAUGUUGCUAUUGCUUUCUUCAUGACUUAUACAUGUUCCUACAACUAUGAGAUUAUGCAACUCCCGUUUACCGGAGGAACACUUUGUGUGCUACCAAAUAUCACAACGUAACUGGGUGAUUAUAAAGGAGCUCUACAGGUGUCUCCAAAGGUACAUGUUGAGUUGGCGUAUUUCGAGAUUAGGUUUUGUCACUCCGAUUGUCGGAGAGGUAUCUCUGGGCCCUCUCAGUAAUGCACAUCACUAUAAGCCUUGCAAGCAAUGUAGCUAAUGAGUUAGUUACGAAUGAUGCAUUACAUAACGAGUAAAGAGACUUGCCGGUAACGAGAUUGAACUAGGUAUUGAGAUACCGACGAUCGAAUCUCGGGCAAGUAACAUACCAAUGACAAAGGGAACAACGUAUAUUGUUAUGCGGUUUGGCCGAUAAAGAUCUUCGUAGAAUAUGUGGGAGCCAAUAUGGGCAUCCAUGUUCCGCUAUUGGUUAUUGACCGGAGACGUGUCUCGGUCAUGUCUACAUAGUUCUCGAACCCGUAGGGUCCGCACGCUUAAAGUUAGAUGAUAGUUAUAUUAUGAGUUCAUGUGUUUUGAUGUACCGAAGAUAGUUCGGAGUCCCGGAUGUGAUCGCGGACCUGACGAGGAGUCUCAAAAUGAUCGAUACAUGAAGAUUGAUAUAUAGAACGACUAUAUUCGGACACCGGAAUGGUUCCGGGGGUUAUCGGAUGUAUACCGGAGAACCGGGGGGUUAGCGGAACCCCCGGGGGGUUAAUGGGCCUCAUGGGCCCAAAGUGGAGCAGAGGAGGGGCGGCCAGGGCACGCCACACGCCCCCUCCCCCUCUAGUCCGAAUAGGACAAGGAGGGGGGGCGGCGCCCCCCUUUCCUUCCUCUCCUCUCUCGCCUUCCUUCCCCCUCUCCUACUUGGACAAGGAAAGGAGGGAGUCCUACUCCUGGUGGGAGUAGGACUCCUCCUGGCGCGCCCCCACUUGGCCGGCCGCCCCCUCCCCCUUGCUCCUUUAUAUACGGGGGCAGGGGCACCUCUAGACACAACAACAAUUGAUCCUUGAGAUCUAUUAGCCGUGUGCGGUGCCCCCCUCCACCAUAUUCCACCUCGAUAAUAUCGUAGCGGUGCUUAGGCGAAGCCCUGCAUCGGUAGAACAUCAUCAUCGUCGCCACGCUGUCGUGCUGACGGAACUCUCCCUCGAAGCUCGACUGGAUCGGAGUUCGAGGGAUGUCAUCGAGCUGAACGUGUGUUGAACUCGGAGGUGUCGUGCGUCUGGUACUUGAUCGGUUGGAUCAUGAAGACGUAUGACUACAUCAACCGUGUUGUGCUAACGCUUCCGCUUUUGGUCUACAAGGGUACGUGGACAACACUCUCCUCUCGUUGCUAUACAUCACCAUGAUCUUGCGUGUGCGUAGGAAUUUUUUUGAAAUUACUACGUUCCCCAACAAUUCAAAACCUGGAGGUUGUUUGACAUAUACUUCUUCCUCAAUAUUACCAUUGAGGAAAUGUGCUCUUAACAUCUAUUUUAUAUAGCAUGAUAUUGUUAUAGGUAACAUAUGCAAGUAAGGUUCGAAUUGCUUCAGAUCAUGCAGCAAGUGCAUAUGUUUCACCGAAAUCAAGACCUUCAACAUGUGUGUAGCAUUGAGAAACAAGACAAACUUUGUUCCUCACAACAAUGCUAGCUUUGUGUUGUGUUGCUUGUUGCAAAAUAUCCAUUUUGUGACAAUGAUAUUGUGCAACAAAGGAUUGGGUCAUUUGACCAAAGUACACACUUUGUUGUGCUCAAAUUAUAGAAGUUCUUCUUGCAUAGACAUCAUCAAGUCUCGAUCUGGUAUGGCUUCAUCAACUUUGGACGACUCUAAUAUUGAAACCAAAUAUAAAUGUCCAUAGAAGUUAGCCAAUCGAGCACAAGAUCGAGUUUGAGGACCUGGAGCAUUUAUGUUGUUGAGGAUUUUCUCGAUGUCAACUUCUUUUGCGAUGAGAGGAAAUUGUGGAUUAGCAUUAUCUCCUUGCUAAUCUUCUCUGUAUUCAUUUUUUAUAGGGUCAACUUCUUCCUGCUCAAUGGCAUCAACAUCAUUUUAUUUGUUCUCCUGAGGUGGAGCUCUUGCUUGGCAAGGAGAAUCAAGAGCAUUUUCUUCAACUGGUUUGACUUCUUUUAUUCCCACCAUCUUUAUGACUUACCUUAGUUCAGGUCCAUCUAGCACACGAGGAAAUUCCACUUUUUACGAGCCAUUAGCUUCAUCAAACCGUAUAUCUAGAGUCUUCCAUAACAUUGUGAUAGUGAAGGUUAAAGACUAUGUAGGUAUGCGAGUCUGGACCAUAACCAACGAAAAUCCCUUUGAGUGUGGUGGGCACAAAUUUAGAGUGUACAACAGUAUCUCUAAUGUACCAUGGUGAACCAAAUACUCUAAUUUAUGAAACAUUGAGCAUAUUACCAGUGAUGACUUCAUAUGAAGUUUUUUGGACGAAUUUGUGAAGAUAAACACGGUUGACGAUACGCCACGAAGUGUUGCUAACAUCUGCCCAGAAACAAAUUGGGGUAGCUUAUGUGUGUGCCAUCUCAAUGAGAGUCCUAUUCUUCCGUACCACACCCCUAUUUUUUCACUCCUGGCAUGCUUGAUGAGGACGCCAUAAUCAGUUUGAGUUCAUGGUGCAAAUUUCUUGGAGCAAUCCCGUGUCUUGCUUUUGUACACAAGAAAAUAUACCCAAUUGGAUCAAGAAAAAUCAUCAACAAUUAUGAGGCCAUAGUGACUACCACCAAAGUUGGUGUAGUGUUGCCGGCCAAAUAAGUCCAUGUGAAGCAAUUCAAAUGGAUGCGUUGUAGUCAUGAUAGUCUUUGCAGGAUGCUUGGCUUUUAAUUGCUCUCCCGCUUUCAAUUAGUUAUCAUCCAAACGAAGGGUAAAGGAGAGUUGGCAUUUUUGUCGCACAAAACUUGGCACUAGUCUUGUGUGAAUUAACUUUUUGGAUCUCUAUUGGGAUUACUAUCGUUGGAAAAACAAAUAAACUAAGGUUGAAGCAAAUUUACAAGUGCGCCAAGUAAAGAACAUAGAAGUAGAAGUCUGGAAAUAAAUUAUUGGUUUGUCUGUAAUAGAGAGGUUAGGCGCGGGGAUGUAGGAUAAUGGUGUACAGGAAGUGGGUUGGUGCAACUGUAAUACCAGUUACCUUGUGAUGUGAUUCUACAUCGUUGAUUAUGCAUUCAAUAUGCGGUUCACCCUUGAGUAGUUUAACUCCUUCAUACAGGGUCGGAUCGACGCUUUAAGUGUUGUGGAUUUCCUUUAUCCUCGUAUUGUUUCGCUCCUCGUAGAUACCAACACCUGGAGGUCACGAAUUCACUAAGCAAUAUGUCCUACCUUUGUAGGUCGUUCGAUCAUGUUGCCCGAGCCCUUAAACAUGCACUACACACACAAUAGAUAGUCAAGUUAAUAAUCAAUCAUAGAACUAGUUUCACAAAUAACGACAUCUAGAAUAGAACCAAAUGAAUUUCACCACCCUAAACGCCUAUGGGGGAUUACUCAUGCAUCAGAGAGGAAUAACCAAUAAACACUAAGAUCAAAUAGGGGAAACCAUAUCAAUGAUAUUGCAAAUUACCGCAAAUAAGUUGCAUGAUUAGUCUGAUCUCAAUCUCUGAUAAAGUAUGAAUAGAGCUACAAAUCCUAGUCUUACAAGUUGGAACUACUCUCUCUCUCUCUCUCUCUCUCUCUCUCUCUCUCUCUCUCUCUCUCUCUCUCUCUCUAAUGUUUUAACGGCAAUUGUGGCGUCUUCCUCUCCUUUCUGUGAAUGCAUCCCCUUUACAAAAGUUUUUUGUAUAGAUGAGAGGGAAGCCACAACGGCCGGAAUGAGUGCAAGCUCUCGUACUACGCAUCGUCUUCUCUCCUAGUGUGCUUGUUGUAGUUUCGUUUAAAAGGGAAAAUAUCACUGAUGUCCCAUUUAUCCGGAUAUUGAUCCAUUUCCUUCCAAAUGUGUUUGGGCAUACACAACAAUUAAGGAAACGAGGUUUCUUCGUUUCUUAAGUGCUGUCGUUAGUAAAAAGGCGGGAACCGAUAAAAACCCCGUUGCAAAAAGGAUCAAAAUACUCAUUUGAAAGGUCAAAUUAUAGAGCCACCUACUUCCCCAAGCUUGCAGUGUUACUCGCACUCAAGCAAAUAAGAAACAUAAAAACGAAGGAGAAUUUGACAAUUUAGUGAAAAUGGCUUACCAGCUCGCGAAGAUAUAAUAUGCACAUUCUCAUAGAUCUUGCAAUCUUAAUUAAGAGAAUAUUUGCAUUCGAAUGGUUGCACCAAAGCUCGCUGCCUAGCAAUGAAUAGUUUUCAUAACUCCCAAAAAUGAUUAGAGGGUACGAAUGUGUGUGCGCGUUAAAAGGGGGGAGGAAUCCAUUUAUUAUUUAUUUCUUAGCCUGGGUCCAACUAUGUACAGAAAUCUAUCUAUUAUUUUUGGGCAUACACAACAAUUAAGGAAACGAGGUUUCUUCGUUUCUUAAGUGCUGUCGUUAGUAAAAAGGCGGGAACCGAUAAAAACCCCGUUGCAAAAAGGAUCAAAAUACUCAUUUGAAAGGUCAAAUUAUAGAGCCACCUACUUCCCCAAGCUUGCAGUGUUACUCGCACUCAAGCAAAUAAGAAACAUAAAAACGAAGGAGAAUUUGACAAUUUAGUGAAAAUGGCUUACCAGCUCGCGAAGAUAUAAUAUGCACAUUCUCAUAGAUCUUGCAAUCUUAAUUAAGAGAAUAUUUGCAUUCGAAUGGUUGCACCAAAGCUCGCUGCCUAGCAAUGAAUAGUUUUCAUAACUCCCAAAAAUGAUUAGAGGGUACGAAUGUGUGUGCGCGUUAAAAGGGGGGAGGAAUCCAUUUAUUAUUUAUUUCUUAGCCUGGGUCCAACUAUGUACAGAAAUCUAUCUAUUAUUUUUGGGCAUGCACAACAAUUAAGGAAACGAGGUUUCUUCGUUUCUUAAGUGCUGUCGUUAGUAAAAAGGCGGGAACCGAUAAAAACCCCGUUGCAAAAAGGAUCAAAAUACUCAUUUGAAAGGUCAAAUUAUAGAGCCACCUACUUCCCCAAGCUUGCAGUGUUACUCGCACUCAAGCAAAUAAGAAACAUAAAAACGAAGGAGAAUUUGACAAUUUAGUGAAAAUGGCUUACCAGCUCGCGAAGAUAUAAUAUGCACAUUCUCAUAGAUCUUGCAAUCUUAAUUAAGAGAAUAUUUGCAUUCGAAUGGUUGCACCAAAGCUCGCUGCCUAGCAAUGAAUAGUUUUCAUAACUCCCAAAAAUGAUUAGAGGGUACGAAUGUGUGUGCGCGUUAAAAGGGGGGAGGAAUCCAUUUAUUAUUUAUUUCUUAGCCUGGGUCCAACUAUGUACAGAAAUCUAUCUAUUAUUGCCUGCAUUAGUAGCAAAGUAAACUCUCGCUGAUGAUAGAAGAACAAUUCUUAGGGCAGUUGCAAUGAAAUAAUCGUGGAUAAUGAAAGAAGAGUCAGCUUCAUAGGGGGUGAUUAUAUGUGUGUGUCUUGGUGUACUCCCUCCGUUUUCGCUCUUAUAUUAUGGGAUGGAUUGAGUAUUUUUCAAGUAAAAUAUAGAUUAUAAGGCGUACAUUUGUUUUCCAGCAAAAGAAAAAGGGUCUCCAUUGCCUACUUUGGUGUCACCGGAUACAACGGUCUAUCAGUUAGACAACUAUACUAUACAUGAAAGACAAACUUAGCGUGUAAAUAGGCGGAUCACGCUAGAGAUGAAAAGUUCAUACGUUGAAAACAAGGAUGUUGAGCAUAUACAAACAAACAAACUUUAAUUCAUUAUUUCUAAAUUGACCGAGCACUAAAUAGAACCUAGUUUGGACGCUACUAGCACGCAUGUGCGCAUGUAGAUAAUACAUUGACCAAAGAAUCUAAUCUAUGCUGCUACUAGGGCAAUGGUCAAACUGUGAACGGGCCGCCAUAUGUGCGCCCAAGCGAGUCGAACUACUUGUAAACGACGCUCUCCUACUGGUGGAUGCGACGAGGAAAUGGAUGAUGCCGCUUCAAACAUUUGCUCCUACGACUGACGGAUGUCAUGUUCAUACACAGGAGACAGGACACGAGUCGUCCAUCAACGAUCUGUAGUGAAGUGUUGACACCAGCAGUAUGAUCUCGCUUUCGUGUGCGAUAUUCUGCCGGGCUAGUGUCAUUAAGUAAGUCUAGUUAAGUUCAUGAGCAGAAAGUUGACGCUUGCGACCUCGUUUUUCUUGUGCGGGGACUUGGGUGCUUCAACCACAGUAGCUAAGACAAAGGAGCAGUGCAUGUAGUCCAGGCAUGAAACUGACGAUGAAACCGGUGCAUCCGGACAAAAACUGAACACUCAUUCCUCUGGACCGGAGAUAAUACUACUACCAAAGGAUAACAGUCCUACUCGAAUAUUCUACAUCCAUGGUAGGAUCCAGCACAGGACAAGACACGAGCCCGUGCGCAACAUACUACAAGUCGUACGCCUGCCUUUCCCUCUCCAUCUCGUUGCCAACUUGACAUACAAUACAAGUAAUCAAAACCGAUGCAUCCAUGCAGACGCAACUACCAGGCUCUUUCCAUUCAAAAUUUAAUACUAGCAAGCACUACUGAUCCACAGCAAUUAGCAGUACUCGUGAAAGGGGGCUGCCUGCCCCACGACAAGAUCCGCGACGUCUGUCGCCCCAGGCAUGAAAGCGGUUCUCGGCACAGCAGGAAGUCACAAUCUUGCUCUCUUAAAGAAGAGAAAAAUCACAAUAGCCUCGUGCAGGGAAGAGAAUGGUAUUGUACCAGCCAGUAGUCCAUUGUAUAUAUACUCUGUAUAUAGUGCUAGUAUUACUAGGUCGUAUUGACUGGCAUGCGUCCUUACUUAGCUUGACAAUAGAUAUAGAGUCGCGUAGAGCGUAGAGCCAGUCCAAGCAAGUAGGACUGCAGGCAAGUAGGACCCGCUGCCGCAACUGCAAGAGGCGCGUAUUCACACCAGAGCUUCUCUGUAGCCUAGUAGAUUUAUAAAUAUCUAUAUAUUCUCAUAACAGGACAAGGCCGUUGUCUUAUAUUACUAAAAGAAGGAUAAGAAACGAGUAGGGGAGUUAGCUGGACAUUAUUUAGGAGGCGCAUACGUUCACACAUGCGCCUUUCUUUCCAACCGCAGACUUGAUUUCGGGCGAACCUCGGCUUGUGCUUUACAUGUGCUCAAAGUAAGGACGACGAUGUGAUGGUAAUAAAGUGAACGGUAACAUACAUCAUAUGGUUCAAAAGAAAAUGCCAUCAUGGAAGGAGACUAAUACCUAGUUGAAGAUGGAUCCGGGUCAACAAACUCUACAUUGAGCGGCCUUGACAGGGUGAGAACGUAUUCUCCAAGAUAGAAAAGCAAAGCUUGACCGGAUCUAAGAAAACAAGUUAAACAUUCGCCCGGCAGGUUGCCGCCGUAAAUCUGAUUCGGUUUUACCAUGACUCAAGGCUAAAGACUUGGCCUAACAGAGGCUGCUCAGCAUAGAUUCUUACGACUGGUAAACUUUUGUCUCUGGUAGGUGACUAGCAUUUCUUUUCCUUCAUCGAGUGAAUCGUCAAUUUUGUGCCAGUGUUGAACUCGCAGAACUUUGGACAAAACGAAUCACGCUGGUGGUAGCUUUUGGUUAUGUGUUCCUAGACAAACCUGCCAGCCCAUUUAUUUGCUCGUUCCCUAGACCGAAAAACUGAUUGAAGUAAACAAGGGAAAACAUAUUUGACGCUCUUGGAAUGCGCAAAGACUAUAUCUCACUUAUAGCAAAUGUGGUUCCCUAAAAAAAAUGUAGCAAGUGUGGGUUCCGUCUCGCGUGAAGAUUUUCUCUUCCCCCAUCGUAACUGGGCCGGCCUGUUUAAUAUUUUUUUUCAAUUGCUCCCUACGUUCGAUCUGGUUCCUGUUGUACUCUUCGCACGGUCCGCAUAGAGGUUUGGUCCAAUUUUUCUUCUUUUUUAUUUAUUUUAUUAUUUUUCUUUCGGUUUCCACUUUUUCUUCAUCGGUUUCUUUUUUUUCUAUUCUUCUUCUAACACCGGUUUUCUUCAUUUCUUUAACAAUUUUCACUGGGUUUUUUCUUUCUAUUUUCCUCGUUUUUCACUGGUUUUUUUCUUUAUUUCUUUCUUUGUUAUNNNNNNNNNNNNNNNNNNNNNNNNNNNNNNNNNNNNNNNNNNNNNNNNNNNNNNNNNNNNNNNNNNNNNNNNNNNNNNNNNNNNNNNNNNNNNNNNNNNNNNNNNNNNNNNNNNNNNNNNNNNNNNNNNNNNNNNNNNNNNNNNNNNNNNNNNNNNNNNNNNNNNNNNNNNNNNNNNNNNNNNNNNNNNNNNNNNNNNNNNNNNNNNNNNNNNNNNNNNNNNNNNNNNNNNNNNNNNNNNNNNNNNNNNNNNNNNNNNNNNNNNNNNNNNNNNNNNNNNNNNNNNNNNNNNNNNNNNNNNNNNNNNNNNNNNNNNNNNNNNNNNNNNNNNNNNNNNNNNNNNNNNNNNNNNNNNNNNNNNNNNNNNUAUUUGUUUCUUUGUCAGUUUUUUUUAUUUUUACAAGUUUUCAGUUUUUAUUUACUUUUUUUGUUUUGUUUUUAUUGGGUUUCUUUUUUUUUGUUCCUUGGUUGAUUCUCAUCAGUUCCAUUUUUGUUCAACAUGCGUCAACCUUUUUUCAGCAAACGUUAAACAUUUUUUGUAUAAAUCCAAAAUAGAUUUUCUUAUACAUGUGUAAUAUUUUAAAAAAAAUGGUUAAGUUUUUUGAAAACUUAUAUUUUGUGUGUCUACUUUUUUUCGGCACACCUUCCAGAUUUUUUGGUAUAUAUCAAAUAUAUUUCUUAAUGUAUGUUUAACACUUUUCAAAUACAGGAUUAACAUUUUCUUAAUACAUGGUCGAUAUUUUCCAGUACACGGUGCACAUUCUUUUAAUGUCAACAAACAUUUUCUUUGCACACACACUGUACAUAUUGGUAUACAUCAACCACUUUUAUAUACAUGUUCAGCCUUUUAAAAAUAUAGAGUCACACUUUUUUAAAUAUAUGAGUUUUAUGUUUACUUUUAUUUAGUGUGCAUUGUACAUUGUUGGUAUACACCAGGAACAUUUUUUAUAUGUGUUUAACAUUUUCAACUACAUAAUAAAUGUUUUUAAAUAUAUUUUUGUAUGCAUGACAAAUAUUUUUUCUAUACGCAUUUAACAUUUUCAAAUGCUUGAUUAACAUUUCUCAAAUACCUGAUUAAUACUUUCCAAAUUCUUGAUUAACAUUUUGGAAAGACACAAUCAACUUUUUCAUACAUGUUGUAUAUAUUUUUAUAUACAUUUUCUAUAUACAUGAGAAAUAUUUUCUCUAUACACAUUUAAUAUUUUUCAAUUGCAUGGUUAAAAUUUUCUUGAGAUGUUUUAUUUAAAGUGUUUUGUGUAGUAUAUUUAUUUAAAAUAUCUGAAAGUAUUUUUUUUUAUGAAAAGCAAAAAACAGAAGAAAAAAUAUAUGCAUGUGGCUUCCCGCGCGCUUAGCUGGCCCGCCUGACGCGAGUGCACCCUAUGUCUCUUUUUUCUUUUUAUUAAUAUUUUUUAUUGUUUCGUGCUUCUUUUCUUUCUACUAAUAUUUUUUAUUUCAAAUAUAUAUUUUGAGACUGUGAACAUUUUCAAAAUAGUGAAUACUUUUCGAAAACCUUAACACUUUUCUCAAAAUUCAUCAAAAAAUUCAAAAUCAUGAAAUCACAAACAUUUGUAAAAGAAAACAAUUCGAAUUCAAGAUUUUUUUUUUGAAAUUCAUGAAUUUUUUUGCUCAAACUCGUGGACAUUAGUUUGAAAGUCGUAAACAUAUUUGAAACUCAUGAUUUAUUUUUAAAUUCAUGAAAAUUUCCUGAAUCUUCGAAUAUUAAUGAAGUACUGAAGAUUUUUUUGAAAUUUGUGAACAUUUAUCAAACUCACUACAAUUUUUUAAAAACAUGGAAAACUUUUGAACUCAUGAUUUUUUUAAUUCAUAAAAAAAUAGAUUCAGGAAAAACUAUCGUGAACAUUUUGUGAACUCAUGAACAUUUGUUUUAAGUUGUAUCAUUUUAUUGAAUUUAAAAAUAUUUUUGAAAUUUAUGAAGAUGUUUUGAGUCCAAAAACAUUUUUAAAAUUCAUAAAAAGUUGCCCCCAUGCACCAGCAAAAUACCAACGAAAAGCGAACAAAACAGACAAAGACAACAAAGGAAACCAAACUAAAAUGUAGAAAAGAAAAUUUUGAUAGAACCCAAUGAAAAAACUGAACUAAAAUGUUCAACGUGUAUUUGAAAAAAAUGUCUAUAUAAAAAAUGUUUAGAAUACUUAUUUAAGAAUAAUGCACAUCGUAUAUUUGAAAAUUCUUCAAUGUGCAUAAAAAACUAGAUAUGUGUUAUAAAAAGUAAAACCAUUGAAAACUGACAAAAAAAUACAAGUGAAAACCAAGAAAGAAACAAAAAAUCCGGUGAAAAAGUAAAAAUGGAAAGAAAGAAAAUAAAAAGAACCAUGGAAAACCAAAGAAGAAACAAAGAAAACUGGUGAAAAAACAAAAAGAAAAAAUGGAGAAAACCGGUGAGGAAACCUAAAUGCUUGUUAGUGCAGCUGCACUAUUUGGUUGCAGCGAGCACACCCGUCCAAGCCGUCCAAUCUGAGUAUUCUUAAUGCGACUGCAUUGCUACUAGUCCCCCACGUUUUGAAAGAGCAUACCUGACAAAAGAGGAAAGCACCUGGGGCUAGUUCCCUCACGUCUUCACGUUCCCCUCCGCCGCUAUUUCAGCAAGAUCCCACGUGCAUGCAUUUAUUUGGGGCUUCAAAGUUUUCUAAAAUCUGUAACUUUUGACUCGAGCGUCGAAUUCAAAUCCAUUUUCACAUUUGUGUUUGUCGUGAUGGGUUCUUCAAAACUAGAUCUUAUAUGGGUAUGUUUCGACAAACCUUUUUUUAAGCAACUUUGGAUCCUUCAGAGGCAACUUUAGUGCUAUAAAAAAACUUCUUAUUAGUCUGCACAGUAUGAUCACCUAUCUGUGAAAAUCCCUUUGAAGUUAACUACCAUGACUACCAAGUUAACUAGAUUCACCAUUUAAGUUUCCUACCAUAACUAGCAAGUAUUCUAUCAUAAGUAGGUUCGCCUCUAAGCUCAUAGUAUUGUAGGCAACUUUGUUUUCAAGGUAGGCUAAUAGUAUUCUAAGGUGGCUACCAUGACUAGUUAGUAGUUUAACAUCAUCCUUAGUUGCAUGCAAUAUAUUUCGGUAUGAUAAGAAACUUAGUUUCAUACAUAGGCGACUUAGCAACAUUGAUGCACAACUUUUCAUUGUACUGUAGGAAACUGAAAUAGUAAUGGCAGGCAACUAAGCAUCACCGGUUGGCAACUUGAUGCGGAGCAUCCUACGAUCAUCCCCAUGUACACUAUGACUACCCCCAAGCCCUAGUGUCCAUACGAUGAGACCUCGAGAAUACGCCAUUGGACCUAAGGUGAACUCGCUCCUUUCCGAAUCUUCCCUUUCCGCAUGUAAGAAAUAGAUGCUACUUCAAGCGCGGACCUUGUGCAUACUCAGGUACACCCGAGGAGACCAUGCAGAGCCCAAGGACCAAGGCCAAGUGAUGUAGGGUAGAAUCCUAGAGGCCGAUCUUUCACGUUUGGAGAGGAUCUCUAUGAGUAACACGAAGAACACGAGGAGGGGAACGAGAGAAAAACACGAGAAAUCACUCAACCAACAAGAACAAAGUCACACAUGUGCUAGAUCAUCGAAACAUAAGAGAGGUACAAGAUCCAAAUCCAACAAGAGAUGAUAAAAAGGGUAACCGGUUCUUCUCCGUGAGGAGGUCUUGAUGAGGGUCUUCUCCAGAUGGAGGUCUUGAAUCCAGGUGGAUCUUCUCCGAAAAGGUGUCGGUCCCUCACGAGGAGUAGAUCCGAAUGGAUGAGUGCUACGUCUUGAGCUUGCGUUGGUUUUUCCUUGAAGAGGAAAGGGUGAUGCAGCAAUAGUAGCGUAAGUGAAAGGAUCGAUAUGGUUGACUAGAGAGGGGGGUGAAUAGGCAACUAACAAUUUUUAAGCUUUUCUUUACCAAAUUAAACUUUGCAACAAACUAGGUUGUCUAGAUGUGCAACUAAGUGAGCAACCUAUAUGAUGCAAUAACAACUAGCACAUAAGCAAGCAAUGGAUAUAACACAAGUAGGCUUGCAAAAGUAAAGGCACGAAAUAACCAAGAGUGGAGCCGGUGGAGACGAGGAUGUGUUACCGAAGUUCCUUCCUUUUAAAAGGAAGUACGUCUCCGUUAGAGUGGUGUGGAGGCACAAUGCUCCCCAAGAAGCCACUAGGGCCACCGUAUUCUCCUCACGCCCUCACACAAUACGAGAUGCCGUGAUUCCACUAUUGGUGCCCUUGAAGGCGGCGACCGAACCUUUACAAACAAGGUUGGGGCAAUCUCCACAACAAUUGGAGGCUCCCAACAACACCACGAAGCCUCACCACAAUGGAGUAUGGCUGCGAGGUGACCUCAACCGUCUAGGGUGCUCAAACACCCAAAAGUAACAAGAUCCGCUAGGGAUAAGUGGGGGGAAUCAAGUAUUUUGUGGUGGAAGUGUAGAUCGGGCCCUUGUCACCCAAUCCCGAGCAAAUCAACAAGUUUGAUUGGCUAGGGAGAGAGAUCGGGCGAAAAUGGAGCUUGGAGCAACAAUGGAGCUAAGAGGUGGAAGAGGUAGUCAACUAGAGGUAGAAGACACCCUUUAUAUAGUCAUGGGAAAUAUCCAACCGUCAUCCACAUGUUCAGCCCGCGACACGCGGUACUACCGCUCCAGGGGCGCGGUACUACCGCGAGGCCGCGCGGUAAUACCGUGGCAGACCACGGUACUUCCGCGACAGCAGCCGAGGCCGGAACUUACCUGACUAGGGGGCAGUACUACCGCUUGCGCGGUACUACCGCUCCCCCUUGCGGUACUACCGCAAGGCAGAAAAGUCAUCGCCUGGGAAGGGCGCGGAUGAAAUAAAUUACAUCCGUGCCUACUUCCGCUGAACAUGAGGUGGUACAAAAAUCCGACGCGGUACUACCGCACGCGAGGCGCGGUACUACCGUUGAGGGCGCAGAUGUAAAAAAUUACAUCCGCGCCUACUACCGUGACACUGCAGUACUAGGUAGGAGGGCCACGGUACUAUGACUCCUGGGGAGCGGUACUACCGUGGGCCCCCGCGGUACUACCGCGCUGGACGAGCGGUACUACCGUGGGUGGCGCAGAUAUAAAAAAUUACAUCCGCCCCUACUACCGCACCGGAGCGGCACUAGGCCUGGGAGUCGCAGUACUACGGCUCCAGAGAAGCGGUACUACCGUGACACACAGCGGUACUACCGCUUGUACUUGUGGUACUACCGCAAGUACAGCAGUAGUCGUCAGAUUUCCGCACAACCAAGAUAACGAAGGGAAGCUCCAAAAUGUAGGGAAAGGUGGGACAAGUGUACGUGUUGAUUCCACCCAAACCUUUACGACGCAGACCCCCUCUUAAUAGUACGGCUCUCCUACGACUCAAAUCCACCAAAGAGAAACGUAGAACAACGCCGACUUCAAUAGUCUCCGAGGGGCAUCGAAUCGUCUCGUGCCUAGUGAUGAAGUAUCUGAGAAACUCAGGGCACGCGAUUAGUCCGCAAAAGCAUUGUCAUCAAUCGCCAAAACAUCUAAGGGAUAAAUAUGCCCUUACAAUCUCCCCCUUUUUGGUGGAUUGAUGACAACACGGGAUUUGCACAUAGAUAAGAUAAUUUAGAGCAAGGGCAAACCCCACCUCUCUAAAAUAUAGACGGGCUCCCCCUAGAUGUGUGCACUUUAGAUGAAUGCUUUGGACUGCAUAGCACACGGACUAGGAUCAACACUCCCCCUAUAUUUUAGAGACCAAGGCACAAUAAAUAACAUAGCAUAGCAUAAAGAUAGCACAAUAUAACACAAGCUCGCUAGGAUAGAUAGAGUGCACAAGUCUUACACCAAACAAAGUAAAGCAACGAGGUUCAAACGAAAAAGCAGCAAAUAGUUCAACCGAGAAAGCAGCAAACACAUGACACACACGACUCGCAAACUCGCAAAUCCCUACAGUCUCUCCCCCUUUGGCAUCGAGACGCCAAAAAGGCAUAGAGGACACCUACACACAAGAGGUGGCUCAAGCAGGGAACUCGUCCCAACCCUCUCCGUCGGUCUCCUCUGCAGCUGGGAUGGUCUCCUCGACAUCCUCCUCAGAAUCAGUCCACCUGUAGCCUUGCUUCUCCAUCCACUCAACCUCUGGAGUGAUGCGCUCCUCAGACCCGCCAGACACUUCCUCACCAUAGAGCUGCAUGAUCUUGUUGUCCCGGCAUCGACUCUCCUUGGACGCCACGUGAGUCAUGUACUGCCCCUUGGCUUGCAUGCAGAAAAGAGUCUUCAUCUUGUCCUUCAGCUUCUUGGCCCAUGAUGGCAUAGUGGCACUCUGGGAAGGCCUAGCAGCACAGCCCUCAGCAACAUCCUCGGCGCCAGCAUCCUCCUCAUCAACAGCAGCCCUAGCAGCAAUCGCCUCGGCACGAGUAGUGGUGUUGGCCCAGUUGGAUUUGAUACGCAGAUAGAUGGGCUCAUGACGAAUCCAGUCUGGAGCAAGGAACUCCUCACCAGGGAACAUCUUCUCCCAAGUCUUCGAGAUCAGCAGAAACAGAUAGGGCCCAUAGAUAGGCACCUUGCGGUUGAACACUGCAAACCGAAGCUCACACCACAUGAUGUGUGAGACAUCAAGUGGCUGAGACUGAGACGAGCGAGCCUCCUCGCAAAUAAGCAUCAUGUCCACCAUAUAGACAUGAACCUUGUCUUUGUCACCGAUGCGAGGGAACAAGGAGAUGCGGAAGAUGCGAUACAUGAUAUCCAGAAAGGAGUUGAGCACCAACGUUGUCUUGCCAUUGGCGAGCGCCUUCUCAACCAUGAACGGAGCAAGCUUGUCCUUGUUGGCAGACUCAGCAUUGCCAUGGGGGCGAACACCCACUGGAGUGUUGAGCCCAUCAUCAGGAACAUGGAGCAGAUCCAUGAACUCCUUCCAGGUAGCAGACAGUUGACGACCAUUGGUCAUCCAGGUCAUCCUCCGCUCUUCAUUAGGGUGAAAAUAAACUGAGGCAAAGAACUGACAGAUAAGCUCAGGGUCAUAGUCAAGAUGGAAGGAUAUCACAUGCUCAAUGCCAAACUGCUCCACCAAGUCCAGAGCCUCUCCAAAGUAGUCACGGAACUUGUCCUUCCUCAUGUGAUGCAUAUCAAUCCACUUCACCUCCAUGUAGGUAUUCUGCUUGUUCUUGAUGACAUCCAGAUAGAUGUUGGUCUAUUGCUUGUUCCAGAACAGCUCACAGCCUCUGACAGUGGAACGCGGGUGCACAUAAGGGUGAAGCUGCCUAAGACGGACAUACUCAUUUGGGGCUAUCUCAUCCAUGCCCUUAGCAGGCUCCUUGUUCUUACUAGCUGAGGUCUUGACAUUGCGCUUGGAGGCAGACGAGCCCUCUGGUACAUCACCUGGGUUGCACAGACGCUUGGAGCCAGUGUCACGACUGGGAUUGGACCGGCAAGAGCCACCACCUGAGAUACAAACGCAAAACACCAAAGACGCGAGGAAGAUCAAUGCAAAGGCCACGAUAAAGCACAAGAAGCACAUAGAAGGCAUACGAGAAAGUUGGCAUGCGAUAGAUGUGAGCCACGGUAGAACUGCCACUGCCUGCGGUACUAAAAUAUUAGUACCGCUCCAAAUGCGGUAGUACCGUGCGAGGUCACGGUAGUACCGUGGUUGGAACGGAUAUAAAAUUUUAGCACCGCACAGAGCGCGGUAGUACCGCGCAAGACGGGCGGUAGUACCGCGUCGCGUCAGAUCCAACCGGCAGUUUGAAUCUGAAAAGAACCGUGAAACAACGGCGGUGCUAGGGUGAUCAGAUCUAGCGCAAGACAACAAUACAAGUAUAAAUCCUAUGCAAUACCACGCUCCUUCAUCCUACUCUUGCAGAGAUUAAGCCUAUGAAUCUCAAGAAACACAAGCCUCCCCCAAAACCUAGAAACACCAAACACAAUCAACACGGAGAGGGAGUAGGGGAAAAACCUUGGUCCAUAGCAAGAGCACGUGGUGGGGAACGAUCCCACCGGUCGGAAUCACCGGAGGGCAGCCGGUGGACGAGAUCCGGCGACGAACGCCAGCUCCGUUCUUGAGCGAGGGAGAGAAGGAGGCGACGUGGAGAGAGGACUGUGAAUGGGUACGGGGAGUUAGAACUCCCCCUGCCCGUCCUUAUCCCCACGCGCUCGAACCGGCGCGGUAGUACCGCAUAUCAUCGCGGUAGUACCGCUCGGGCGGAAGUACCGCACCGAGGCGGUAGUACCGCUCAACCAGGCGGCAGUAAAAAAUUACUGUUGUGUGGAGGCGGUAGUACCGUGCUCCCGCAAGCGGUAGUACCGUGGCUGGCUGCGGUAGUAUCGUAGCUGUCCGCGGUAGUACCGUGAACUCAAGUCACCGCAAGUUUCAACACGAGAAGAAAAGCCUUUGCACGGAAACUUUUCACACACAAGAAACCACAAGAACACGCACAAACCAGAGGCAGAAAGACAACAAGAAACCACCAAGCGACAAAGCCUCUUGAAGAGAGAGGGCGAUGGCCGAAGCCACCUAUGUUUGAGUUGGAUGGUAUGGCACCGCGAAGAAUUAUCCUUGGGCCCAUGACCAAAACUCGUCUUUGAAGCACAAGUACCAUCAAAAAUGGCUAAUGUGAAAGAGGUGAUCGAUUUAUGCAUAAUGGGGGGAGGGAGAGUUCAUUGAGAGAACAACACUCCCCCUAUGUCCAUGCCUACACCUAAACUAAACAACAAGUUGAGUGUGGUGGGGGGUACACGGGUUCAAGUCACAUUGCUCAAAUCAAUGAUAUUUAGCUCAUGCCUUAACUCGCGAAAUCUUGCUUCAUCCAAGGGCUUCGUGAAAAUAUCUGCAAGGUUAUCAUGAGUGUUGACAUACUUGAGCUCGAUCUCCCCACGCCUAAUGUGAUCCCGGAUGAAGUGAUACCGAAUCUCAAUGUGCUUCGUCUUGAAGUGUUGCACCGGAUUGAGAGAAAUCUUGAUGGCACUUUCAUUAUCACACCAAAGAGGCACUUUGUCACAAAUGACACCGUACUCCUUUAAAGUUUGCCUCAUCCAUAGGAGUUGAGAACAACAACUACCGGCUGCCACAUACUCCGCUUCGGUGGACGAGAGAGACACACAACUUUGCUUCUUGGAGGACCAACUUACCAAAGAGCAACCAAGAAAUUGGCACCCUCCGGAAGUGGACUUCCUAUCCACUUUGUCUCCCGCCCAAUCGGAAUCCGUGAAACCUUCAAGCUUGAAGUUUGCUCCUCUUGGGUACCAUAAGCCAAAGUUUGGGGUAUGAGCCAAAUAUCGAAAGAUUCGCUUGACCGCCACAUAGCGACUUUCCUUUGGUGCGGCUUGAAACCGUGCACACAUCCCUACACUCAACAUGAUAUCCGGUCUAGAUGCACAAAGGUAAAGCAAGGAGCCAAUCAUGGAGCGAUAUACCUUUUGAUCCACCGCUUUACCAUUGGGAUCAAUGUCAAGUUGGCACUUGGUAGGCAUUGGUGUAGUAGCCGGCUUGACAUCACUUAGCUUGAAUCUUUUAAGCAUGUCUUGAGUGUAUUUGGCUUGGUUGAUGAAGGUUCCUUCUCUUCUUUGUUUGAUGUCAAAACCAAGGAAGAACUUCAACUCUCCCAUCGAAGACAUCUUGAACUUGGAGGUCAUGAGAGCGGCAAAUUCCUCAUUGAAAGAUUUGUUAGGAGAACCAAAGAUAAUAUCAUCAACAUAUAGUUGGCAUACAAACAACUCCCCUUUGACCUUCUUAGUAAAAAGAGUGGGAUCGAUUUGUCCUACUUCAAAUCCACGAUCUUGUAGCAACUCGGUAAGGUGGUCAUACCAUGCACGUGGGGCUUGUUUAAGGCCAUAGAGUGCCUUAUCGAGUUGAUACACAUGAUCCGGGAAGUAGAGGUCCUCGAACCCGGGGGGUUGCUUGACAUAGACCAACUCAUUAAUAGGACCAUUAAGAAAAGCACUUUUCACAUCCAUUUGUUGCAACUUAAAGUUGUGAUGGGAAGCAUAAGCAAUCAACAAACGAACGGAUUCAAGACGAGCAACGGGGGCAAAGGUUUCACCGUAGUCGAUACCCUCGACUUGGGAGUAGCCUUGUGCUACCAAUCUUGCCUUGUUGCGAAUGAUGUUCCCAUGAGCAUCUUGCUUGUUCUUGAAGAUCCACUUGGUUCCAAUGACGUUGUGGUUCCCCGAUGGUCUUGGCACCAAUCUCCACACCUUGUUGUACUCGAAGUUGUUGAGUUCUGCAUGCAUGUCAUUGAGCCAAUCCGAGUCUUCGAGCGCCUCAUAGACCUUUUGGGGUUCAACACAAGAGACAAACGCGUGAUGUUCACAAUAGUUUGCUAAUUGUCUACGAGUGCUUACCCCCUUUCUUAGGCUUCCAACCAUGUUUUCCAUGAGAUGGCCUUGGGUGGUGAGCUUGGAAGCAAUCUUCGUGGCACGACGCUCUAAUUGCUCCUCGGGUGUGGAAGGAGGAGGGUUAACUUGAUCAUCUUGAGCGCCGUCUUGAGCUUGUUCUUGAUCUUGAGAUUGCUCAUGAUCUUGAACUUGCUCGAGGGGAAGAACUUGACCUUGGGCAUCAUUUAGAGGUUCACCACCAUCUUGAGGUUGAUCUUGCCCUUGGUCUUGUUCAUGAGGGUGAUGGCCUUCACUUUGUUCUUCGGAAGCGUGUGGGUCUUGGGGAGGUGAUGGCUCCACUUGAGUGGAGCAUUGUCCUUCUCCUUCAGCCACAAGGGGUUCCUCAAUGGGUAGGAUUUGACCAAUACCCAUUCUUCUUAUGGCUUGGGGAGGAAUUUCAUCACAUACAUCACAAGUACCACUUUGCUCCACUUGGGAGCCGUUAUUUUCGUCAAACUCCACGUUACACGUCUCCUCAAUGAGUCCGGUGGACUUGUUGAGGACACGGUAAGCAUGAGAGUUUGUAGCAUAACCAACAAAUAUGCCCUCAUGAGCUCUAGCCUCAAAUUUAGACAAACGAACACCUUUCUUGAGAAUGAAACACUUACAACCGAACACCCAGAAGUACUUGAGGUUGGGCUUGUUGCCGGUGAGUAUCUCAUAAGGAGUCUUGUUCAAGCCUUUGCGAAGAUAGAGCCGAUUGGAUGCAUGACAUGCGGUGUUGAUGGCUUCGGCCCAAAAGUUGUAUGGAGACUUGAACUCCGCCAUCAUGGUCCUAGCCGCAUCCAUCAACGUCCAGUUCUUCCUCUCCGCAACACCAUUUUGUUGAGGGGUGUAUGGAGCAGCAUAUUGGUGCUUGAUCCCCUCAUCACUAAGAAACUCAUCCAAGGUGUAGUUCUUGAACUCGGUGCCGUUGUCACUUCUUAUUGGCAAGAUCUUUGCAUUGUGUUGAUGUUGAGCUUCAUUUGCAAAGUCGAUGACGGUUUGUUGAGUCUCACUCUUCCUCUUGAAGAAGUAUACCCAAGUGUAUCUUGAAUAGUCAUCCACAAUCACCAAGCAAUACUUUCUACCUCCAAGACUAUCAAAAGAUGGAGGCCCAAAGAGAUCCAUGUGAAGGAGCUCCAAGGGUCUCUUCGAGUAGAUGAUGGUUGAUGGAGGGUGAGCCUUUUCAUGAAGCUUUCCAUCGAUACAAGCACUGCAAGCACGCUCUUUGGCAAAACUAACAUUUGUUAGUCCACGGACAUGGUCCCCCUUGAGAAGACUUUGCAAAGAUCUCAUAUUGACGUGGGCUAAACGGCGAUGCCAAAGCCAUCCCACGUCAACUUUAGCCAUUAGGCAUGUCGCGGUCUUAGUGGGUCGCUCCGAAAAGUUUAUCACAUAGAGACCGUUCUCGACAUGCCCAACAAAGGCUACUUUAAGAGUCUUGCUCCACAAGAGGGCCACGGUAUCAAUGUCAAAGAAUGUAGCAAAACCCGUGAGUGCAAGUUGACAAACGGAAAGCAAAUUGUAUGCAAGGGACUCAACAAGCAUGACUUUCUCGAUCGUUAGAUCAUGAGAAAUGACAACCUUGCCGAGACCCAAUACCUUAGAAUGUGAUGCAUCACCCCACUCGACAUUGGUGGGCAUAGAUGGAAUCUCUUGCACAUCCACCACCAAGUCCUUGCUCCCGGUCAUAUGAUUUGUUGCUCCACUAUCGAGCAACCAUGAUCCCCCACCGAGAGCAAACACCUACAAGAGAUCAAUGCUUGGUUUUAGGUACCCAUUUAGUAAUGGGUCCUUUGAUGUUAGUAACAAGGGUCUUGGAAACCCAAAUAGACCAUUCAAUGUACUCAUAAGGAGAACCAACAAAUUUAGCAUAAACAUGUCCAUCACUAGCACGACACAACACAUAUGACGGGUUAAAGUCACCGGCUUUGUUUGAGGACAUGCUUUUGCCCUUUUGGAUGUCAACUCCCUUCACCUUUUCCUUCUUCUCCUUAGGAGCACCCUCUCCCUCUUUCACAAACGUUUGCUUGAGAGGAGGAGGACGUUUGGUCUUGUUGUUCUUCUUCUUCUUGCUCUUGGAUUUGGGUGCAAACCCAAUUCCUUCCUUGGCCACAACUUCCUUUUGAUUGCUCAAAAGGUCAUUGAGGUUCUUCUCACCUUGAAUGCAUGUCACAAGGCCUUUCUCAAGUUGAACCUUCAACUUGGCAUUCUCCUCCACAAGAUGCACAUGCUCACAACACGGGUUAGUAGCACAUGCAUUAUCAAUUAAUACCAUAUGAGGAAAGGUGGCCUUUUCCUUGAUUAGCUUAACUUGGAGUUGAGCAUGAGACUCCUUGAGGUUAGCGUGAGCACCCUUCAAGACCUUGUGGGCCUUGUCAAGUAUCUCAAACUCCUCUUUGAGUCUAGCAUGAUCAACCCCAAGCUUAGCCUUCUCGGAAGUUAGCACACGAGACACGACAAGAGCAUGAUCAAGAUCUUUCUUUAACUUAGCAUGGUCAUCAUUGUGUGACUCCUCAAAAGUCAAACGAUGCACACGCUCUUCCUCGAGAGCAUUAGAGAGAUCCGAUAUCUCAUCGGCAUAGUCACGACUAUGACUUUCCAUCUUAGAGAUGGUUUCUUCGUGAGCCUCGAUCAUGUCAUUGGCCUCACCAAGUUGUUCCAAGAGAGCAACAAAGUGCUUCUUGGACUUACCCUUGAGCUUAUUCAUGAAAGACUCAAAUUCAUUCACUUCCUCAUUAGACUCAACAUGUUCAUAAAUGCAAUCCUCCAAGGAGGGAUUAGUAAUGAUGGUGGUUGUGAUGUUGGGGGUUACCUUGUUUGAAGCUUUAUCCAUGAGGCACUUGGCGGUGAUGUUUUCAUUGGGUGAAUCAAAGAGAGACACCGGGGGAGUAGUAGCAAUGGCAACGGAUGCCAUGGCCAUUGCUUCUCCACUUUGAUCAUCAUCGUCAUCCUCCUAGUAUUCUUCUUGAACCACCAACCCUCGAGUUGGAGUCUUCUUGGCGAAGUUGUUCUUUCUGGGGAAGGACUUAGCUUUGUCUUUUCGAAUGAAUUUGCCACCAUUGUCUUCCCGCUUCUCGUAAGGACAAUCCGCAAUGAAAUGGCUCACAUUGCCAUAGUUGAAGCAAGUUCUAACUCGUUGCUUGCCCUUGACGCCACUUGAAUUGUUCUUGUUGAAGUUGGGUCUUGUAUUCUUCUUGCUCCAAAAUUGUCUUGAAGCAAGGGCCAUGUGCUCAUGAUAAUAAUACUUGGUGUCUUUGGGAUUGCUCUCCUCAUCUUCCACUUCUUCCUCUUCUUCCAUGAUGACCUUGGCCUUCAAAGCAAGGUUGGGCUUCUUUGCCCUUUGAGAAUGGAGCACCGCAUUGUCGGCGGUCUUGUCCAAGAUGCUCAUUGCAACGAACUCAUCCAACACUUCACUUGAGGUCAUGGAGUGGAAGUCCGGUCUUUGACGAAUGACGGAGGACAUUGCCUUGUUGUAGGGCAUCAUGGCCUUGAGGAACUUGCGCUUGAUCCAAUUGUUAUCCGUGUCCUUGCUUCCAUGAUCUCGGAGUGAGACCGCGAGUUUGGUCACUCUUCGAAGAGCUCACGAGGUUCUUCAUCUUCUUUCAUUGCAAACUCAUCGGCUUCAUCUUGCACCACUUCAUAGUUGGAGCGUUGGAUGCUAUCACUUCCUCGAUAGAGAAACUCAACACAUUUCCAUGCUUCUUUCGCCAUGGCAUGGGGUCGAAGAUGAGGGAGUUCUUCGGGAAGGAUUGCAUCUUGGAUGAUGAAGAGAGCACUCUCAUUGAAUUGAUUGUCCACGGCUUCUCGAGGGGUGAAGUUGCUUGGGUCAUGAGGAUAGAAACCUUCUUCAAUGAUUCUCCAAAGGUUAGUGUUCACAUGUUUUAAAUGACGCUUAAAGCGAUAGAGCCAAGAAUCAAAAUCUUCAUGUUUCUCAUAUUUAGGAGGAGGACCGGCAUGAUUCAAAUGAGUGGAGGGGAUUGGCCCUCCAUAAAUUGGGGGUUCCAUAUGGGCAAAGAUGCCGGUACCAUUUCUACCACUAAUAGAAGGACUCUUUUCAAUGUUAGCUUCCCCCUUGUCGGAGGUAGCAUCCGUCACCUUGUUGGUGGGAUCACCCACUUUCAUCGGCGAGGUAGAUUGUUUAAGUCCUUCUAGGAAUUCUUUAAACAUGUCCUUGACCUCGGUCGUCAUGGAGGUUUUCAAUGUUUCCAAAGCCACAUUGAAUUCCUCACGUGAGAUCGAGUUGCCCCCAUCUCCCAUAGAUGAUAUCGGAUUCGCACCGAAGUGCUCUCCCACCUCAUCUACGACAUCAACCAUACUCUUCGGAUGGUAAAGUCCUUAAAAACAGACCAGGCUCUGAUACCAAUUGAAAGGAUCGAUAUGGUUGACUAGAUGGGGGGUGAAUAGGCAACUAACAUUUUUAAGCUUUUCUUUACCAAAUUAAACUUUGCAACAAACUAGGUUGUCUAGAUGUGCAACUAAGUGAGCAACCUAUAUGAUGCAAUAACAACUAGCACAUAAGCAAGCAAUGGAUAUAACACAAGUAGGCUUGCAAAAGUAAAGGCACGAAAUAACCAAGAGUGGAGCCGGUGGAGACGAGGAUGUGUUACCAAAGUUCCUUCCUUUUAAAGGGAAGUACGUCUCCGUUAGAGCGGUGUGGAGGCACAAUGCUCCCCAAGAAGCCACUAGGGCCACCGUAUUCUCCUCACGCCCUCACACAAUGCGAGAUGUCGUGAUUCCACUAUUGGUGCCCUUGAAGGCGGCGACCAAACCUUUACAAACAAGGUUGGGGCAAUCUCCACAACAAUUGGAGGCUCCCAACAACACCAUGAAGCUUCACCACAAUGGAGUAUGGCUUCGUGGUGACCUCAACCGUCUAGGGUGCUCAAACACCCAAGAGUAACAAGAUUCGCUAGGGAUAAGUGGGGGGAAUCAACUAUAUUUUGGUGGAAGUGUAGAUCGGGCCCUUAUCACCCAAUCCCGAGCAAAUCAACAAGUUUGAUUGGCUAGGGAGAGAGAUCGGGCGAAAAUGGAGCUUGGAGCAACAACAGAGCUAAGAGGUGGAAGAGGUAGUCAACUAGAGGUAGAAGACACCCCUUAUAUAGUCGUGGGAAAUAUCCAACCGUCAUCCACAUGUUCAGCCCGCGACCCGCGGUACUACCGCUCCAGGGGCGCGGUACUACCGCGAGGCCACGCGGUACUACCGUGGCAGACCACGGUACUUCCGCGACAGCAGCUGAGGCCGAAACUUACCUGACUAGGGGGCAGUACUACCGCUUGUGCGGUACUACCACUCCCCCUUGCGGUACUACCGCAAGGCAGGAAAGUCAUCGCCUGGGAAGGGCGCGGAUGAAAUAAAUUACAUCCGUGCCUACUUCCGCUGAACAUGAGAUGGUACAAAAAUCCGACGCGGUACUACCGCACGUGAGGCGCGGUACUACCGUUGAGGGCGCGGAUGUAAAAAAUUACAUCCGCGCCUACUACCGUGACACUGCGGUACUAGGUAGGAGGGCCACGGUACUAUGACUCCUGGGGAGCGGUACUACCGUGGGCCCCCGCGGUACUACCGCGCUGGACGAGCGGUACUACCGUGGGUGGCGCGGAUGUAAAAAAUUACAUCCGCCCCUACUACCGCACCGGAGCGGCACUAGGCCUGGGAUUCGCGGUACUACGGCUCCAGAGAAGUGGUACUACCGUGACACACAGCGGUACUACCGCUUGUACUUGCGGUACUACCGCAAGUACAGCAGUAGUCGUCAGAUUUCCGCACAACCAAGAUAAUGAAGGGAAGCUCCAAAAUACAGGGAAAGGUGGGACAAGUGUACGUGUUGAUUCCACCCAAACCUUUCCGAUGCGGACCCCCUCUUAAUAGUACGGCUCUCCUACGACUCAAAUCCACCAAAGAGAAACGUAGAACAACGCCGACUUCAAUAGUCUCCGAGGGGCAUCAAAUCGUCUCAUGCCUAGUGAUGAAGUAUCUGAGAAACUCAAGGCACACGAUUAGUCCGCAAAAGCAUUGUCAUCAAUCACCGAAACAUCUAAGGGAUAAAUAUGCCCUUACAGUAAGUAUUUCCCUCAGUUUUUGAGAACCAAGGUAUCAUUCCAGUAGGAGGCUCCUCAAAAGUCUCACGCACCUACACAAACAAACAAAGAACUCACAACCAACGCAAUAAAGGGGUUGUCAAUCCCUUCACGGCCACUUGCGAAAGUGAUAUCUAAUAGAGAUAGUAUGAUAAGAUAAAUAUAUUUUUGGUAUUUUAUAAUACAGAUGCAAAAAGUAAAGAUGCAAAUAAAAGUAGGUUGGAAGCAAAUAUGAUAAGAGAUAGACCCGGGGGCCAUAGGUUUCACUAGUGGCUUCUCUCAAGAUAGCAUAAGUAUUGCGGUGGGUGAACAAAUUACUGUCGAGCAAUUGAUAGAAAAGCGAAUAAUUAUGAGAUUAUCUAGGCAUGAUCAUGUAUAUAGGCAUCACGUCCGCAACAAGUAGACCGACUCCUGCCUGCAUCUACUACUAUUACUCCACACAUCGACCGACUCCUACCUGCAUCUAGAGUAUUAAGUUCAUAAGAACAAAGUAACGCCUUAAGCAAGAUGACAUGAUGUAGAGGGAUAAACUCAUGCAAUAUGAUAUAAACCCCAUCUUUUUAUCCUUGAUGGCAACAAUACAAUAUGUGCCUUGCAACCCCUACUAUCACUGGGUAAGGACACCACAAGAUUGAACCCAAAGCUAAGCACUUCUCCCAUGGCAAGAAAGAUCAAUCUAGUAGGCCAAACCAAACUGAUAAUUUGAAGAGACUUGCAAAGAUAACUCAAUCAUACAUAAAAGAAUUCAGAGGAGAUUCAAAUAUUUCUCAUAGAUAAACUUGAUCAUAAACCCACAAUUCAUCGGAUCUCGACAAACACACCGCAAAAAGAGUUUACAUUGAAUAGUUCUCCACAAGAGAGGGGGAGAACAUUGUAGUGAGAUCCAAAAAGAGAGAAGAAGUCAUCUAGCUAAUAACUAUGGACCCGUAGGUCUGUGGUAAACUACUCACAACUCAUCGGAGGGGCUAUGGUGUUGAUGUAGAAGCCCUCCGUGGUCGAUUCCCCCUCCGGCGGAGCGCCGACGAAGGCUCCAAGAUGGGAUCUUGCGGAUACAGAAGGUUACGGCGGUGGAAAUUGUGUUUCGGUUACUCCCUGGAUGUUUUCGGGGUACGUAGGCUUAUAUAGGAGGAAGAAGUACGUCGGUGGCCGCCCGAGGGGCCCACGAGACAGGGGGGCGCCCUAUAGGGGGCCUACCACCCUCUCGUGGCCACCUCGGCUGCUUCUUGACUUGCACUCCAAGUCCUCUGGAUCACGUUCGUUCCAAAAAUCACGCUCCCGAAGGUUUCAUUCCAUUUGGACUCCGUUUGAUAUUCCCUUUCUUCAAAAUACUGAAAUAGGCAAAAAACAGCAAUACGGGCUGGGCCUCCGGUUAGUAGGUUAGUCCCAAAAAUGAUAUAAAUGUGUAAAAUAAAGCCCAUAAACAUCCAAAAGGGGUAAUAUAAUAGCAUGGAACAAUCAAAAAUUAUAGAUACGUUGAAGACGUAUCAAUGAGCGAGGCUCUAUCUCACAAAUGAGCUAAAGCAACGGUAACCCUAAAACGUAGGUGGAGAGGGAGUAUAUAUAGUCUAAGGGGUGAAGGGGUACAUGGGCCUCGGCCCGGAUGCGCUGCAUGCAGGCAGGGGGGCCGGAUGUCUGGGCGUCGGGCCGGAUGUCCGGGCCUUCCCAAGAUGCCGGAUGUCCAGGCUAGGGGGCCGGAUGUCCGGGCUGGGUGAGUCGGCCUUGGUGCUCUCUAGAUAGGAGGGGCCGGAUGUCCGGGCGAAGGGGCCGGAUGUCCGGGGUUUCGGGAGGAGCCGGAUGUCCGGGGUGAUGGCCGGAUGUCCGGGAUAUCGAGGCAGCCUUCUGUGCUCCCUGGAUGGUUUGUCCGGAUGUCUGGGCUGGGAGUCGGAUUUCCGGGGCGACGGGCUGGACGCCGGAUGUCCGGGCCCUGUAGCUUCGGCUGUAGAUCCUUGGCUGCGGGGUAGAUCUCCAGGGGCCGGAUGUCCGGGGCCAUGGCCGGAUGUCCGAGGCCUGGAAGCUAUUCUCGCCUUCUUUCGUUGGUUCUCUUCUUCCGUGGACUUGGGGGCUUGACCAUCUUCAUGUUCAUCUUCGCGAGGGUCCUCUUGGUACCUAAUCAUGCACAACAUUCUGGACUUAGGCAGUAGCCAUGUCUCGAGAGGAUCGAAUGAGAUAUCACUAAGGAAAGAAGUCACCUCAUCUCAAGGGCUCUAGCUCAUGCUCUUGUCAUGGGUCCUCUUGGUGCUUGGUGAGACGAUGGUAGGUCCAUGGGGAUGACCGUAGGAUGCUCCGCAUAAUCUCCCCUCCCUUGGGAAAGAUCCGACCUCGGAUCGAAAUCCUCAUCACCAUGGUACGGGGAGGCAUCAUUGACAUUGAAGAUAUCGCUCACGGAGUACUUGUCGCGUGGGAUGUCGAUCUUGUAGGCGUUGUUGUUGUAGCGUGCUAGCACCUUGAAGGGUCCAUCGGUUCGAGGUAGAAGUUUGGACUUACGUUCGUUGGGGAAGCGGUCCUUACGAAGGUGUAGCCACAUGAGAUCUCCAAUGUUGAAUAUCAUGGGGUGCCUGUUGAUGUUGAGCUUGGUCGCUAGUCGUUGUACUUGGCGCUCGAUGGUUGUCCUUGUAUCUUCAUGCAUCUUCUUGAGGUAGCUUGCACGUGUGCUCGCGUCGAGGUUGGUGCGCUCUUGUAGACGAAGAGGUAGAAUGUCCAAUGGGGACAACGGGUUGAAGCCGUAGACGACCUCGAAGGGGGACUUGCGGGUAGUCAAAUGUCUUGCUCGGUUGUAGGCGUACUCGGCGAUGGGUAGACACUCCUCCCACUCCUUGAUGUUCCGCUUGAUCAAGACGCGAAGUAGAGUGGAGAGUGUACGGUUCGUCACCUCCGUUUGGCCAUCGGUCUAAGGAUGGUAUGCCGACGAGAACAAGAGCUUGAUACCGAGCUUGGCGCAUAGCGUCUUCCAAAAGUAACUCAAGAACUUAACGUUGCGGUCCGAGACGAUUGUCUUUGGUACUCCAUGGAGUCGCAAUAUUUCCCUACAAAAGAGAUUGGCAACAUGUGAAGCAUCGUCUAUCUUGUUGCAUGGAAUGAAAUGUGCCAUCUUAGAAAAUUGGUCCAUGAGAACAAAGAGGAAUCCUUUCCAUUUUGGGUUCUAGGCAAACCAAGUACAAAAUCCAUGCUAAUGUCUUCCCAAGGUUGAUAAGGAAUAGGAAGAGGCAUGUAAAGACCAUGGGAUUGAGCUUUAGACUUAGCUUUGCGACAUGUAGAGCAUCGGUUGGUGAAGCAUGAGACGUCACGGAACAUCUUGGGCCAAAAGUAGUUCUUGGAGAGCGUGGCGAAUGUCUUGUCGCGUCCAAAGUGUCCCAUGAGUCCGCCUCCAUGAGCCUCUUGCAAAAGGAGCAAACGAAGAGAAGACUCAGGAAUGCAAAGUUUGUUAGCUCUCAUAAGAUAAUCAUCUUUGAUGUAAUAUCAUUCCCAAGAAGUAUGCAUCAAACACUUGGCAUAAGGAGUAGCAAAGGUAGGAUCAAUUGCAUACAAGUCUUUGAUGUGCUCAAAGCCAACAACAUUCAACUCAAAUUUAAUGAAAAGCGUGCAUUUGCGGGAAAGUGCAUCCGCAACAAUAUUUUCCUUAUCCUUAAUGUACUUGAUCACAUAGGGAAAAGAUUCAAUAAAUUCACUCCAUUUGGCAUGACGCUUGUUUAACUUAGUUUGGCCUUUCAAGUACUUAAGCGUUUCAUGAUCGAUAUGGAUGACAAAUUCAUGAGGUCUAAGAUAAUGUUCCCAAACAUGUAGCACACACACUAAAUCAUACAAUUCUUUGUCAUAGAUGGGAUAGUUAAGUUGAGCACCGGAGAGUUUUUCACUAAAAUAUGCAAUGGCUAGUUUUUCUUGCAUCAAAACUCCGCCAAUUCCGGUACCACUUGCAUCACAAUGAACCUCAAAAGUUUUGUCAAAGUUGGGCAAAGCGAGAAUCGGAGCAUGAGUAAGCAAAGAUUUGAGCUCGGCAAAAGCGGUAGAUUGCAAGGGUCCCCAAACAAAUGGAGCAUUUUUCUUACUCAAGGCAUGCAAAGGAGCUGCAAUAGUGCUAAAAUCCUUCACAAAGCGACGAUAGAAACCCGCAAGGCCAAGAAAGCUACACACUUGUUGCAAAUUGGUGGGUUGGGGCCAAGUUUUAAUUGCCUCAAUUUUAGAUUCAUCAACAUGGACACCCUUGGAAGAAACAACGAAACCCAAGAAAACAAGCUUGUCAACACCAAAUGUGCACUUUUUCAUGUUGGCAUAAAGACGUCCCUUGCGAAGGGUUUGCAAAACAGCCCUAACAUGAUUUAGAUGCUCUUUCAUAGAUUUGCUAAAAACAAGAAUGUCAUCGAAGUAAACCACAACAAACACUCCAAUGAAAGGACGAAGCACAAAAUGCAUAAGACGCAUGAAAGUACCGGGAGCUUCCGAUAAACCCAUAAGCAUAACCAACCACUCGUACAAGCCAAAUUUGGUUUUGAAAGCGGUUUUCCAUUCAUCACCUUCUUGUAUGCGGAUUUGAUAAUAGCCACUUUUAAGAUCAAUUUUUGAGAAAAUGGUGACACCGCUAAGUUCAUCAAGCAUAUCAUCUAGGCGAGGAAUGGGAUGCCUAUAACGAACGGUAAUAGCAUUGAUAGGUCUACAAUCCGAGCACAUGUGAAAACUACCAUCUUGCUUGGGCACAAGUAUAACUGGAAUGGCACAAGGGCUUAAGCUUUCACGUACAUGUCCGUUGUCGAUGAGUUGUUGUACUUGCCAUUGGAUCCUUAGUUUCUUUGGGGUUGACGCAGUACAGAGCUUUGUUUGGUAGAAGUGCUCCGGGGAUGAGGUCGCUUCAGUGCUCGAAGCCUCGUAGUGGAGGUAGUCCCGGAUGUAGCGCAUCGGGGAAAACAUCUUGGAAUUCCUGCAAAAGAGAAGAUAACACUAAAGGUAGAUCGUGAGAGGUGUUAGUUUUUGGUGCCUCAUCCUUGCACACAAGGACAAAGUGCAUAACACUCGAUGGGUUCUCACACACUUCUCUCAUCUCUCUUUUGGUGGCAAAUAGGACGAAGUUUUUCUUGUCGCUCAUCGUGGAGGCACUCGGUUUUGGCUUGUGGCUCUCACUCUCUUUUGGGUGGAUCACUUUCUCACUCUUUUCUCCACGAUGGGUUGCUUGCUUGUCGACGAUCACUUGGCUAGGAGACACAGGUCGUAGCACAUACUCCUUCCCUUUCAUCUUGAAGCUAUAGUGAUUGGUAUGCCCAUUGUGGAUGACGCCGCGGUCAAAUUGCCAUGGUCGACCAAGAAGGAGGUGGCAAACGGACAUCGGGACGACAUCACACUCCAAAGUGUCCUCAUAUGCACCAAUUUUGAAGGAGACUUGGACCGUAUGCUCAACUCGUAUAGUGCCUGAGUCGCUUAGCCAUUGGACUUUGUAGGGGUGCGGGUGCUUCAUCUUGACCAAUUGUAGCUUGGAGCAUAUUUCUUCACUUGCCAAGUUGUGACAACUACCUCCAUCGAUGAUGACCUUGACGGACCUUCCAUUGAUGCCAGCCUUGGUGUGGAAGAUGUGGCAUCUUUGGUCUUCGUCUUGUUGAUGUUGAAGAGUCAAGACUUUGGAGACAACGAGAGCGGGGCUCGGAUCCUCAUCACAAAAGACUUGAUCAUCUUCAUCCUCGUUCACGCGCUGGUGCAUGGCCACUUACUCAAGGGCUUCCAUCUCCUCUUCACUCAUGGAGUCAUAGGUUCCAUCAUCGUUGAGGAUCAUGGUGCGCUUGUUGGUGCAUUGGAAAGACUUGUGGCCUCGGCCGCCGCAAGUGAAACACUUGAAGGAGCUUGUCUUGACGAUCUCAUCGAUUGGAGUAGAUGAUGAAGCGUGUGGCUUGAAGUUGCUUGUAGUAGGAGGAGGACGACUUGAGGUUGUUGAAGCUUUCUUGUAACUUGACUUGUCGUCUUUGCUUGUAGAUGGCUUGGUUGAGGUAGAAGUUGGAGGAGUCGUUGAAGCUUGGUUGUUGGAGAAGCCGUAGGUCUUGGAUGAGUACUUGGUGUACUUGAAGUCAUCUUGCACUUGAUGUUCCGCUUUGGUAGCUUGAUGCACGAGCUCGAUGAGGUUGGAGUAGGGUUGGAAGUCGGCAAUCUUCUUGAUGGGAUGAUUGAGGCCAUUCAAGAAACGUGCCAUAGUUUGCUCAUCAUCUUCCGUGACAUUGGCUCGUAUCAUGGCUAUCUCCAUUUCCUUGUAGUAUUCCUCAACACUCUUUGUUCCUUGCUUGAGUAGUUGGAGCUUCUUGAAGAGGUCGCGGUUGUAGUAGGUGGGCACAAAACAUGCUCGCAUGACAUCUUUCAUUUGAGCCCAAGUGGCGAUUGGAGGUUCACCUCUUGCUUCUCGGCUCUCAAGGACUUGUUCCCACCAUAUGAGCACAUAGUCUUGGAACUCAAGGGAUGCCAUAGCGAUCUUCUUCUCUUCCUCAUAGUUGUGCAAACGAAAGAUUUUGUCGACCUUCAAUGCCCAUGAUAGGUACUCUUCGGGAUCAUUGCUUCCAUUGAACUUGGGCAUGGUGAAUUUUAGCUUGCCGUAGCAUUUCUCUUCAUUGUGUUGUGGUCGAGGAUGAUGAUGAUGCCCUUGACGUGGAGUAUAAUCAACCUCAUGUUGCUCUUGGUGUGGGAGAUGACCAUAGUCAACUUGAUCUUGUUGAACUUGAGGUUGUGGAGGAGCUUGUCGAGCUUGAGGAGGAGGUGGGGGAACUUGACGUUGCACUCUUGGUUGGUAGUUCCGCUCUUGGAUUUCUUCUCGAAGUGCUUCCUCUUGAUUGCGCCUAUCGCGGUUGUGCUUGGCAAUGGCUCGACUUGAUUCUUGAAGGGCACGUUGCGCCUCAAGAGCUUGUGCUUCACGUUGUUGUUGUUGAAGACGUUGAGCCUCGGCGUCUUGUUCCUCUUGAUGUAGACGUGCUUGUUCUUCCUCUUGGCGACCUUGACGUUGUCGUUCUUGAGCUUGUGCAAAACGAUGUUGGUGAGGUUGAUGACGAAGGACUUGCUCGUCAACUUGCUCUUGCAGAUGAUUUCCGUGUAGAGGACUGCGGGAUGCAUGAUGGUCUUGACGCGCGGCUCGUCGAAGAGUGUUUGAUGUUGGUGUACUUGAGCCAGAGAAGGUGUCGCCGGAGUGUCGACUUGAGCGGCUUCGUCUUGAGUAUGAAGAAGUGGACGGAGGGCAGUUCAUCAACAAGGCACGGAUCUCGUCCAUUCUUGCAUCGUUCUCUUGCUUGUGAGCGUCGAGCUUAUUGUCGAAGUAGUCCCUUGUACGUUGCUCGGAGAGUCACAAGUCGGUGGCGAGGUUGUCGAUGCGGUCGGUCAUCGCUUGUUGCUCUUGAUGCAACGCUCGUUGUGCACCGAAGAGGUGUCUCUUGGUGAUGAAUGAUGACAUGUCGUCGUCUUGCUCGAUGAAGAGUGGGUUGGUAGAAGAACUUGGCCUAUCCAUCAUUCCAAGCAAAAUGUGAGUGGGAGAAGGAGAAGAACUUAUACCAAAUGUACCUUGACCGAUGUUGGAUAUGGAUCAAGAUCACUCAAAUGCAGACAAUUGAAUAGCACAACUGGUACCAAUUCUUGUCGGUUCUCACACCUACACAAGUAAAAGCUUAUGGUGGAGCUUGGUUAGGAUGGUGGCACAAAAUUUGAUGCAAUUGUAAGUGAGCGUCAAUAAUGUUGGAAAAGAUUCACAAAUUUGCAAAUGCAACAAGUAGACCAAGCAAGUAGAGGUACACGGAAACACACACGCAAAUAGAUAAGUGGGAUUGUGCAAACCAAAAAUGAGCCAAAAUGUGGAGUCCACGAAAAUGCUCUUGUUGCACAAUACUAGAGAGACGCUAGCACGAUUGCACAAUAGGCGGAUACGUGCUUGUGCACAACCUACUAGGAAAAAUGCAACGACCUCUAUCCCACGUAUUCUAUAUGUAUGGUAUUUCGGUGAUAUGAUCCAAGAUGAUCGGAUAUGACAAUCUUAAUGUAGUAUGAUGCUAUGGUUCUUGCUUAUAAGCUCUUUGCUUAUCUUUCCCUCUUUGCUUAAAAGCUUGUUUGGCUCUUUCACUUUUGAGCUCUUUUCUCAUGCAAAACUUCACGAGCCAAGAUAGCUAUUGUGUAUGCGAUGACAACUUUGUGACACAAAAGAUGAUGCCAAGAUAUGCACCACUAUGGUAUGGUAUGUAUGCUAUGGAGUAUGAUCACUAAUGUGCACAAGUCACGUUGCCAGCAAUACUCAAAGGCUAGUCUCGAUGGGUAAGCAACGCAAAAGUAAGGCUAUGUGGUUAUCAAUGCAAUGGCAUGGGAUGACAAAGAUGUCAUUGAAGUUACCAUCCUUGGCGAUGAUGAGUCCUUUGCGAAGAUGAGCGGUGGUGAUGUUGAUCUUGAACCGUACCUAUAUAGCCGAAACACAAUAGGACAAGGGAACCACAACCCAAAAUCUCAAAGACCAAAACGUGUCAAAAUCGUCAUAGGUGGAAACGGUAAGCGAUGGUGGUGCUUGCGGAAAGUGGUGGUGGUAUGCGGAAGUAUGCGUGGGCACCGGGGCAGAAUUGGGUGAAAAGUAGGCGGAAAACGGGGCGGUGGAUGGAGUUGCUGCAGUCAGGGGCCGGAUGUCCGGGCCAGGGGCUGGAUGUCCGGGACACCGGAUGUCUGGGGGACACAGCCGGAUGUCCGGGCGCCUGGAUCGUGGCCGAACGAGAUGAACUCCACGGGAAAAGGGCAACUCCGGGGCAAAAUUCGAAUGAUUUAGUGGAUGAAAAUUGCGGAGAAGAUGGGGGAAAGCUAGAUCCACACGUGGGAAAGCAGAUUCGUGGAUCAAAUCCAAGAAAACUUCAUCACAAAAAAAUUGGGGCUAUUUUUGGUUGGGAUUUUCGGAUAUAGGACAAAAACAACAAAAUCAAGCUAGAAAACACGUGGUAGGGGCUCCAAAAACGUGAUCAACGUGACUCUUGAUACCAAGAUGAUGUAGGGUAUAACCCUAGAGGCCGAUCUUUCACGUUUGGAGAGGAUCCCUACGAGGAACACGAAGAACACGAGGAGGGGAACGAGAGAAAAACACGAGAAAUCACUCAACCAACAAGAACAAACUCAUACAUGUGCUAGAUCAUCGAAACACAAGAGAGGUACAAGAUCCAAAUCCAACAAGAGACGAUACAAAGGGUAACCGGUUCUUCUCCGUGAGGAGGUCUUGAUGAGGGUCUUCUCCGGAUGGAGGUCUUGAAUCCAGGUGGAUCUUCUCCGAAGAGGUGUCGGUCCCUCAUGAGGAGUAGAUCCGGAUGGAUGAGCAAGGCUCUAUCUCACAAAUAAGCUAAAUCAACGCUAACCCUAAAAUGUAGGUGGAGAUGGAGUAUAUAUAGUCUAAGGGGCGAAGGGGUACAUGGACCUCGGCCCGGAUGCGCUGCACGCAGGCAGGGGGGCCGGAUGUCCGGGCCUUCCCGAGACGCCGGAUGUCCGAGCUAGGGGGCCGGAUGUCCGGCAUGGGUGAGUCGGCCUCGGUGCUCUCUGGAUAGGAGGGGCCGGAUGUCCGGGUGAAGGGGCCGGAUGUCUGGGGCUUCAGGAGGAGCCGGAUAUCCGGGGUGAUGGCCGGAUGUCCGGGAUAUCGAGGCAGCCUUCUGUGCUCCCUGGAUGGUUUGUCCGGAUGUCUGGGCUAGGAGCCGGAUUUCCGGGGCGACGGGCCGGAUGUCCGGGCUGGACGCCGGAUGUCUGGGCCAUGUAGCUUCGGCUGCAGAUCCUUGGCUGCGGGGUAGAUCUCCAGGGGCCAGAUGUCCGGGGCCAUGACCGGAUGUCCGGGGCCUGGAAGCUGUUCUCGCCUUCUUCCGUUGGUUCUCUUCUUCCGUGGACUUGGGGGCUUGAACAUCUUCAUGUGCAUCUUCGGGAGGGUCCUCUUGGUACCUAAUCAUGCACAACAUUCCGGACUUAGGCAGUAGCCAUGUCUCGAGAGGAUCGAAUGAGAUAUCACUAAGGAAAGAAGUCACCUCGGUCUCAAGGGCUCUAGCUCGUGCUCUUGUCAUGGGUCCUCUUGGUGCUUGGUGAGACGAUGGUAGGUCCAUGGGGAUGACCGUAGGAUGCUCCACCUCACCAAGUGUGCAUGGGAGCGAAGAGAGGAGAAGGAAAAAGAGCCAGCUAGUACAGCAGCCGGACAUCCGACCAUGUUCCGGACAUCCGACCACCUCCGGACAUCUGGCCCCUUCACUAGACAUCCGGCUACAUCUACUCAGAGAGCUCCGGAAGUGACCCCGACAGCCCGGACAUCAGGCCCCAUGCCCCGGACAUCCGGCCUCUUCGCCUGGACAUCAUGCCCCGCCUAUCCAAAUAGCACAGGAAACGAACUAGUCUAGCCCAGACAUCCGGCUCCUUGCGAGCCGCCGGACAUCCGACCCCCAGCCCGGACAUCUAGCGCCUGUCUGCGCAUAGUGAACGGGCCAAGGGCCCAUGUACCCCUCCAACUCGUCCCACUUUGCACUACGACUAUAUAUAGACUCCUACCCCCUCCUAGCUAGGGUUAGCAUUGGUUUAGCUCAUUUUAGAGAUAGAUUUUUGCUCAUCCUUGUGCUUCUCCUCCAUCGAGAGACCGCGGCCUCUACGGAGAAGAUCCACGCUUGGAUUCAAGACCCCUCACUGAAAGAUCGCUCGCGGACUCAAGACCUCCUCACGGAGAAGAACUAGUUACCGUCUGUAUCGUCCUUUGUUGACUUUGGAUCGUGUAUCUCUUUGUGCUCAUGGAUCUAGCACAUGUGUGAUCGUUUCUCGUUGAUUUGAGUGAUUCCUCUCGUUUCCCCUCAUGUUUUCCCACGUGUUCUUCAUGUUCUUCGCGGGAUCCCCUCCAUUUCGUGAAAGAUCAGCCACUAGGGUUCCACCCUACAUCACAACUUCAUAGUGUUUUGUAGACAACUUAGAGAAUCCAAUGAUAAGCAACUUCACAAUAUUUGUAGCAACUAAUUUGCAAAGUUAUGCAAUUGAGCAGUAAUAAUAGCCAACUAAUUACCAAUAAUAGGGAAUUGCAUCAAUGGUAGUCAAUUUCAUAGUUUCUAUAGGCUUACAAUUGUAGGCAACCGACCAUCAACAAUAAGCAAUAGGCAACUAAGCCUCAAUUGUAGGCAACUGGCCAUCAACAAUAAGCAACUAAGCAUUCAUGAUAGGCAAGUCAUUAUAAUGUUACCAAAAUUCACAGGUAUACAUAGUGUAGUGAAGUUGCUUUUGUAUGUAGCUAUAAAGGUGCCUCAUGUUUUGUGUGAUUUUUCUUGUUUUUACACAAACUAACCUAAUAGGAGUCCUAUUAGGCCAGAAAGAAGAAGUUGCUUCUCCAUAGCACUAAAAUUGCCUCCAUUGCACCCAAAGUUGCCCACAAAAGAUGUUCAACGAAACCUAUCAAUAUGAGAUCUAUUUUUGAAAGACUCCUCGUGAGAAACCAAACAUUGAAAACGAAACUGGAUUUCAACGCUUGAAUUAAAAGUUAUGUCUUUUUAAACUUUCUGAACGCCCAAACAAAUGCAACGUGGGGACAAGAUCUAGACUGAUUUCUUGCUUAAUGUUUCUGGAUCACGUGGGUACGCAAGGAGGUGGUGGCAAGGGACUAAGAUGCUUCCUUUUUUGAAAGCAUGUGCGGAGGACCAAUUGUACUUUUCAUAUUAGGAGGCAUCUGCUCAAUUUAACCAGGGAGCACAUGUGCGCUAGCAAGCCACGUCCGAAAAAAUGGAGAAAAAAGGGAAAAUCCCAGGGAAGGAAACCGAGCGAAAGAAACCAAGGGAAUUCGGUCGAAACCCAACGAACAAAAAAAAUCGGACUAGGGUUUUCUUUCCUCCGGCUCUGGCUGAACUUAUUCUGUGUUGGUCCACAGAAGCAGGGCAUGUAUAAGAGCAUCUCUAGCAGACCCCUCAAAACACGUGGAUCCGCAAAAUUUCGGCGACUAUACUGGCUCGGCCCAUUUUUUGGCCAGAACAGAACCCGUAUACUCGCUCGGCCCGUAAAAUAUUUUACGGUGGCCCGCAAACCGCCCCCCGACGUAGUAUAUCUACGGGUUCACGACGUCAAUACGGGUCGAAACCCUAUCUCAUGCCCGCCGUGAUUCCCCCAAUCCUCCCCAAUCCCCCUUUUAUUUCUUGCUGCCGGUGAGUCCAAUCCCGCCACCGAACGACAUCAUGUGGGGCGGAAUGUGGAGCUGCAGCCGCAGCUCUGGCGGGAGGGACGACCCCGAGUGCCAGCGGUGUGUCCGAGCGGACAGUGCGAGGAAGCGCGCGGCGAAGAAGUACACCAAGCACAACCUCCAGCUGUCGGAGUCGCUCCUCCGCCGCGAGGCGGAGGAGUACGACCGCCGGCACGGGCCCCGCACGCCGCUCCUCACACCGGUGAAAAGGGAGCCGGUGGAUCUCCCAUCCCUCCGCGUGGUGAAGCGGGAGCUCGAGGCAGAGCCGAUGCCGCCAGGCGGUGGCGUCAUCGGGCCGAAGGAUUUCCUCCCCCCGACCGAGGCGGACAUCUUCAAGCGGGCAAUCAUGGCGCGCAACGUGCGGGAGAAGGAGGAUGAGGAGCAGCACCGACGAUCUCUUGCGAACCACGACGACGUCCUCCUCGAGCAGGGGCUCGCCAAGGAGAAGGAGUUCGCCGACAACCAAGACGCAUGGCGCCCUGAGAAGAAGGCGCAGAACGACAUCUACAUCGACCUCGUCUCCGACAACGGCGACUAAGGAAGUAAGGAUGUCCGCCGCCGCUGCGUCGCCGCCGCACCCGGAUGGCUCCGGUGAGCCAUUUUUUGGCUGUAGGGUUACGGUGGCCGCCUAUCCCCUUAGCUAUUAGUGUAAUUUAGUGUAUGUAUGAACUAUGUAUGAUGAUCAAGAACUAUGUAUGACUCAUUCUAUUUCUCCUCCAAAGUCUUGAAUUCAAAAUCUACAGUUCGAUUUGAGGUUUCUAUUUUUUCGCGGAGGUUUUCAGCACGUAUCCGAGACAACGAGCGAACCGUAAACUGUGUUAACUGAUCCGCAUUCCGAGAGAUCUGUUAGAGAUGCUCUAACCUCGUAACAAAAAAGCAGAACAUGUGCCUUGAAGGUGCGCAGCCGUCCGACCUUUCCAGGUCGGCUCCAUGUUCCUUCUCUCAAGCCAACGCGAUCCACCUGUAGGCGCAGAGUUGUAGCCAUCGCCGUUCGUCUUGGACUUGAACGGCCAACGAAAAUUCCAAACUCCACACUCUCUUUGACGGAAAGGAAAACGGGCGCUGCGGGAAACCGUCGUUGCUCCUUCCGCCGCUUCCUCGGCUCUUCGCCGCGCUUUCCCCCCUCCACCGCCUCUCUCUCUCUCUCCUCCCCGCGGCAACCGAUCCGGCCCGGCCCGGCUCGCGAUGCGGUGGAGGCCGCGCAAGCUGGGGCUCUGGGCCGCCCUCCUCGCCGCGGUGGCCCUGCUGGCCGUCGGCGGCGGGGGCGGAGGAGGCCUACGUGACGCUGCUCUACGGGGACGAGUUCGUCCUGGGCGUGCGCGUCCUCGGGAAGUCCAUCCGCGAUAUGGGCACCCGCCGGGACCUUGUCGUGCUCGUCUCCGACGGCGUCUCUGACUACUCUCGGAAGCUCCUCGAGGUAUGCGCGCACAUCUGUGCUUUCUUGAGUCAUCUAUUUUGGAACGGAGGGAGUAUGUAUUAGUUUAAUGUUGGACCGCCCACCGGGGAAUUUGGCAUUAAAAUGAAUCAUCUACAAGCUGGUAGAUGGAGCUCGCAGCUUAUGUUUCUAGUUUGAACUUAGGCUCGUCUCUCUCUCUCGUACUUCAGUAAUUCAGUUGUGCAGUUGUGCUUCAUCAUGAUGUAGUUUCAAAUAACUGUGCGUGCACUGUGCAGUAAUGUCUCAUUGGUGCAAAAAGCUCACGGAUAGAAAUACAACCCAUCUCAAUUCUCAAUUUUACUUGCAUUUUUGAAGUGCAUGCUUUGGCACUUAACUGCCGAAUGCAUCUAUCUUUUCCUCCAAUAUGUGUAGUGUGGUGUGAAGAUGAAGUGUUAGGGCUGGGAACAAACCCUGUGAAUUGUGACUGCGCAAUAUUGGUGUAGUGAGUAUGCUGAUGAAGCAAACUCGUGUUACAGGAACACAAGUAAAUAUCUGACACAUUUAGUAGGUCUAAGGAACUCUGUUAAAAGGAGAUAUGGUUCUAUUUGUGUCAAUCCCAGGAUGAGUGUAGCAGUCAUUAGUACCACUAUUUAGAGGGAAGACUAUGAUGGUGCAAAUCCAUCCGCUCUGGUAGACUUUAUGGGAUUUUAGGUUCAUUACUUCAUUUGGUAGAUUGCGGCUGUGAGGGCAUUUUUAUUUCUUUGUAAUCCAAUCUUUGACUACAGUAAGAUUAAGGAGUACCUACGUGUUAUCAUAAUAAAUACUUCAGCAGAUCCCCGUCUGAUUGGCUUUAAAUCAUAUUCCCCACCCACACAGUUUCUACACUUUGUGAUCAGGGUCUUAAGUUCACCUGUGUCUAUGGAAUGCCCUUUUAAGUUAUAAUGAGGAAGCUUAGGUUAUCUCCAAGGGGAAGUCACUUAAUAUGGGUCACCAAAUAUCCAUGGACAGCCCAACCAUCCAACUGUAUUCAUCAAUUCCGGAUGAGUAAAUUGCAAGAAACCACCACAAUUGGGUCCAAGUUAUCAAUGCUUCAGGAAAAAAACCACCAGAAAACAUGCAUUUUGGUGGGUGUUUGAUGACUUCUGCACAAUUGUGGUGUUUUUUUUUUUUUGCAAUUUACUCAAUCCGGACUGUAGGCUAUGACUGACAGUGGGCCAGGCGGACCGAGAGGGAAAAGAGAUGACUAGGACACAUGGGCUGUAGGAAUAUGUGGUCCAACUGACAGUGAGCCAGGCGGACAUCUGGACUCCCGCAAACCUCCCCUCGAUUUGGUGCCAGUUUGUAGGAUUUCGGACUUCCGGACCGGUCCAGACCAAUCUGGUGACCCGGGUUGGAUGGCUAAAAGUGUCUGGACUGUACGGUCUGGACAAUUUGGUGACUCGCGUUGGAGUUGCCCUGAGAGCUUGAGAGGUUGUAGGGAUAAGACACCGGAGGAGGGGUUGUACUGUACACUUUGGUGAGUGAUCAGGUGGUGUGAAUGGUGGCAGGGAAUAGACAGAGAAACUAGGGGUAUGGUAAUGCUCUAGAAAGUGACUAGUCGUUCUUGUUCUUGUUUAAGACCUGGAUUGUGCAACACUUGAUACUUUAUUGGUACUCUCCUUUGGUAAUUUGAGAAAAAUUCUAGAAUCUACAUCCCUCCUGUGUCUUCUUUGCUAUACAUAUAUACAUGGGCUUCAUGGGCGUAGCUCUAACACACAAAAUUGAUCUCUUAUACCUCUUAUCACACCAAAGCUUCAAUAGUCCUCCCCUUGGUAGCCUUAACUCUGAUAGCAGACCGCACGAUCAUAUCAUCUUACUCAAGCAUAACAUAGCUCAUUACUCCCUUAAGCUGUUUACAGGGACACUGAUGAUUGUUUCUUGCUCCUCUAGGAUACUAGAUUUCCACCAACAAAACACAAAAAAUAUGUUUAAUAACACGCAUGCACGCACACACAAUAUCUUAGCUCUGAGGUUAUAUUAUGUCAGUGGUUAGCGAUUCAGAGUAUGUAUAAAAAAUAAAAAAAAUAUCGAAAGGUUAUACCUUAAAUACUGUAUCAUUAGAGCUUUAUGUGCCUAAAACCUCCACGGCCAUCCACUAACUGGAAGCGGGUCCUAAGUGAGAUACGACGUGGACCCUGUUAUAGUUCUUUACUUUGGAAUUUGACAUGAUUUUUGGAGGCAACUUCACUCAGCAGACCAAAGAGGCCCAGCAUUCUCUUUAUUUUUUGUGACAUCAAUUUUUUUCAAAUUCUGUUGCAGAUUAGUACCCACUUCAUUUUUGAUAUAUGACAGGCUGACGGUUUUAUAGUGAAGCAUAUAACGUUGCUGGCUAAUCCUAAUCAAGUGAGGCCAACAAGGUUUUGGGGUGUGUAUACCAAAUUGAAAAUAUUCAACAUGACUACCUACAGAAAAGGUAUGCUUGGAUAACAUUUUUUCUACCCUUUCAUGAUUUUUUUUUCAUUUUUUUUCAUAUCUUUUUGGUUUAAUUAGAUAUAUGCUAUUCUGAUUCAGUUUUACUUUGUUAUUUUUAUUAUUGUGACACAACAUUUUUCUCAUAGUUUACUGUUUUCCAGUUGUUUAUCUCGACGCAGACACCGUUGUGGUGAAAAGUAUCGAGGAUCUUUUCAACUGUGGAAAGUUCUGUGCAAACUUGAAACAUUCUGAGAGAAUGAAUUCUGGAGUAAUGGUUGUUGAGCCAUCUGAAACUCUUUUCAAGGAUAUGAUGAACAAAGUUGACAGCUUACCUUCUUACACGGGAGGUAAGUGCAUUACCGUACUUAUCGUGCAUGUUUUUCUUGCUAUUUUGUUUCCCUUUUUCUUUUUGAACUAGGCUUGAGUAACUCAGUGCUCUAUAUUCCUCCAACUGAAAAUUACCCUGCACCUUCUGUCCUUUGGGACAUGGUAUGUCAAGGAAAACAGUAGUCCUUGUUUGAGUAAUCGAGAUGAACAAUAUGAAGAAAGUGCUUUUGCUACUCAAUAUUUGUAUUACUUGCUUAGAGAUUUCUGCAUACUCUGGGAACAUCUUUUCCCUCAAUCACGUGAUGGUUGGAGCUUUCAGUUAAUUUAGAGGAGCUGUUGGUGCUGCAUAUGUACAUAUGUGAAAUGUGUUUGUUGUUGUCCUUUCUGUUCUACCCCUAUCAUUUUUUUUCAUGUUUUAUAUCUUAUAACACUGAAUUAGUAUAUUGACUUGAUCAUGCAGGAGAUCAAGGUUUUCUCAAUUCGUAUUAUGCUGAGUUCGCCAAUUCCCGUGUUUAUGAUCCCAAUAAACCUUUAACACCUGAACCUGAGACGCAACGCCUCUCCACAUUAUACAAUGCUGAUGUCGGCCUUUACUUGCUUGCGAAUAAGGUUAUACUCUAUGCACUCACAUAUUGAUCAUAUAUUUGUUUUGCAUUCUAUGAUACUGAUGGUGUUGUUACUACCCUUCCCCGGACCCUGCGCAAGUGGGAGCUACAUGCACCGGGCUGCCCCCUUACUAUUACAUUUUUUUAGGCAGCAUGACAUUAGGUGCCCUGUAUACUCAAUCCAUCAUUCAAGUUUUUUCUCUUCUUGUGUUAACAAAGAAAAAAAAAUCUCCUAGAAUUCUAGUAAUACAUAUUAGAUUAUCUUUUAUCCUGGAGUAUAUUCGAAUAUGUUAACAAUACAUUGAAAAGGUUUUUAUUCGCUAAGCAUUUGAUGUUUUGUUUGAAGCCUUCUAUCGUAUCUUAUUUGAACCUUCUAUUAUACUCCCUCUGUAAACUAAUAUAAGAUCUUUCAGAUCACUAAAGUAGUGAUCUAAAAGAUCUUAUAUUACUCCCUCCGUCCCAUAAUAUAAGACAUUUUUGCAAGCUAUGUUAGCUUGCAAAAACAUCUUAUACUGUGGGACGGAGGGAGUAGUUUACAGAGGGAGUACUUGACUAGAGGUAUUGGAAUUAUUAUUUUCACUAAACAUUAGAAUUAGAUAAUGUUCCACUCCUUGAAUGGAAUCUUGUGUUAAAACUGAAAGAAGAGAGUUUGUAUCAAGCUCUCGUGAUGUAGCACACCAACACAGCUGGUGCUGAGUUUUGUUUGAUUCCUUGAAAACUAGCUCUUUUUACUAUAUCUUCUACCGGUUCUCCCUUUCAAAUUCAACUUGACCUGGGUUCGAAUCCUCAGUUCCUCCUCUAUGUAUAUGCCAAGGGGUUUCUUCCCCUUCAGCCUUCAUUUUACGUGUCUUUGGAAAAUUCAACUUAACCUAAAACUGAUCGAACCUAAUUUCUGACUUGGUUCAAAGGAAAACACGUAUUAUUUUGGGAAAAACAUAUGGAACCAAGUUUUGGUUUUCUGUUUUUAUGUAUAACAGUAUGAUUGGAAGCAUCUCACCUGUUGAUUUUCCAAAUCCCGGCCCUUUCCUGUGGAUCUGCCUACUAGCAGUAACUGGCUUCCUAGCAGCGGUUCUUCCAUCCCUGUUUUUGAGAUAGCCUUGUCUUAUGUUUCUGUAGAGCUUGAUUAAUUUACCAAUGUGGCAUUAGUGCUCAAAGCACAAAUAUUUCAGUUUUGGACACAAACUUUUCAAUAUCGCACUAACACGAUCACGAGAUUUAGGACACAAAAUCCUUUUGUGAAUUUGUUGUCACAUACCAUCGACGCCCACCUGUUGAUUAUUUGUGAAACUUACCUUCUUACAUUUGCUUCAGUGGAUGGUCGAUGAGAAAGAACUUAGGGUUAUUCACUACACACUUGGACCUCUUAAGCCGUGGGACUGGUGGACAGCUUGGCUUGUUAAACCUGUAGCUGUAUGGCAGGUAAUAAGCUACUUCUUUUUGUCGGGCUAAUAAGCUACUUCUCGUGUGGUUCAAAAUGAAACGUUAAGUAGCAGCAUGAUACCAAUGAACUUGUGUUAUUUAUGGUUGCAGGAUGUUAGGCAAAAUCUUGAAGAAUCUCUUCCUGGAACUGGUGGAGGGAAAAACCCGCGUGACCAGUUGGUGGUCAAAAUUCUCUUCAUUCUUCCCUUUUGCAUGCUGUUAUGUGGUUAUUAUGGAUCAUGCUUUCAGGUUAAAGUCCUUUUCUUGCUGAAAGUAUUUCCUUUAAUUUCAUAGAUAUUUGCACUCAAAAGCUGAUGCUUGUUUUAUGUUUUUUUGACAGACUAAUAAGGAGCUGUUGAGUAUGAGAACUCUAUGUGCUUUUGCUAGACAAGCUCGUUACAAAUACAAAUCUGAAGAGGAACUUCCGUCUUAUUCAACAGUUGGAGUGGCUUCAUCUUCCUUUGGUAUAUCAAAUCAAAAGGUUGGUUCCUUUUCAACUGUAAAUGGUGGAUUGUAAUUCUUGCUACUAAAUAAGAACACAAUGGUGUCUUGCUAUAGCUAAUUGAGUAAAGUUAAAGAAUAUAAGAUGGCCAUUAUUGUCCUAUAAGAAAACAUUUUUUUAUCAAUUUUCGCUAGCCACUUUUAAGUAGUAGCCCUUUAUGCGCUGUUAGUAAAUGGUAGCAUGCUAAACAGCUGUGGCAUCAAUAUACCAUUCAAACUUCUUGUUUAUGAUAAUAAUUUCGUCUAUUGAAAACCUGUAGAUUCAUAUGAAUGGCAAGGUUUCGUUUUCUUAAACAAACUAUUCAAGUGUUCACAUGGUCACAGACAGAGGAGCUAUCUUUAUACCACUUUCACUAUUUCAAUUUAGUCCUGACUGUGCUCGCACGUAUUAUAUUUCAUUCCAUCUUUCUAGUAAAUAAGGUUACAUUCAUGACCAUAUCUUGAUGACUUCUUAACUCUCGCAGUUAUCUACUGGAGCACAUCUGAAGUUGCCUUCUUAUUUUGGUGCAAUCGCUGUGGUAGUCUGUUUCAUUUGUGCAUUGAUAUCUCUUGCAUUUGCCUUCCUUGUUAUUCCACGGCAAGUGAUGCCAUGGAUGGGUUUGCUGCUGAUGUUCGAGUGGACCUUUGUGACAUUCUUUUUGUUGUUCGGGCGCUACCUUCGUUUUGUAUACAAAUGGGGAAGUUUUAGUGCAAAUCAAGCUGGGUAUGGCAGUUUGGAUUUAUCGGAGAAUCAUACUGGCACAGGUACGUUAGCUUCUACUCCCUCCGUUCCUAAAUAUUUGUCUUUCUAGACAUCUCAAAUGAACUACCACAUACAGAUGUAUGUAGACAUAUUUUGAAGUGUAGAUUCACUCAUUUUGCUCCGUAUGUAGUCAUUUGUUGAAAUGUCUAGAAAGACAAAUAUUUAGGAACGGAGGGAGUAGAAAUUUCGUGUCAACUUAUAGUUUCUUGUUCAAGCUGAGCUAACGGACGCUCUGGUCUGUUUGCAGGCCAUCAGCGGAAUACGUCUGAUUGUGACACAGCUUCAGCUUUCUAUUGGAUGGGGAUGGCUACCAUCUCUACGAUAGCACCAUUAUCACCAACCGUCCUUGGCAUAACUGCCAUUUUUGCAAAGUAAGAUACUACUCCCUCCGUUCCAAAAUAGAUGACCCAACUUUUGUACUAACUUUAGUACAAAGUUUUUUUUUCUUCUUCUUGUCUAUGUCUAUGCUUCUUGAUUUCAGGGUACGACAAAAUAAUUUGACUUUUAACUUGGAAAUUCUUUUAUUCCGCUUCGAACCCGUCCAAACUGUACUCAGUUGUGAUUAAAUUCAAAAUGUGGAAGUUGCUCCUGAGCAUGAGAUAUCUUAAUUUGACACUUCGCCAUAGGACUUUUUACAUGGGCAAUUGCAAGCUUGCAACCAUGAUGUUUUUGUCAUGUGUUUGUACCGUCUUAACAAAAUUCCGUUUCCUUUGGCAGACUUGGGUUGAUGGUAGCGGGUGGUGUGGUGCUGGCGUCAUUUAUGACAUACGCUUCGGAGCAUCUGGCUAUGUCCGCCUUUGUCAAGGGUCAAAGAGGUAGAUCGAAAAUCCCCGAGAGGUAGAAGCAAUUUUUUUGUAUUAUGUGUUCCAUGUGCCCAUGUUGUAUCAUAAGUCUGUAAACACAAUGUUCUAUGAUUCAUUUAUUAGUAGAAAAAUGCCCAGGAAAUUGGAUAGUUGCACUUAUGUGCAACUUUAGUUUUACAAGCUGUAUUUCUUCUUUUAACUCUAGCUCUCGCAGCGAGUAAAGAUAAUGGCAAAGCGACGCAGAACACACGCUCGACAGGAAACAAACCAGAAGAAAGCCAAACAAAGGUAAAGCAAACCUAGUGAAAAUCAAAACGAACGAACAAAAUCGUCAACCCCCUCAAGGAUUUCGUUUUUUCUCCGGCGGCGGUAACCUGGCUGAGAGUGGUUUCUCAGCUGAUCUCGUCCGCAGUUUGCUUGGUCUCUCUUGGCAGAUUGGAAAGGGUGACAGAUUCGAGACGACAUAUGGCAGACGAUGUAGAAGCUAGUGGCUAUUGCCAAAGUACACACAAAGUAACUACUUUCUCUGUAAACUAAUAUAAAAGCGUUUAGAUCACUAAAAUAGUAAUCUAAAUGCUCUUAUAUUAGUUUACGGAGGGAGUAGGGUUUAGCCAGGAACGGGCAUUGUUCAACGACAUGUGAUCUGCAUGGAAUCUGGCAAGGGACGCCACCCGGAAGAAAGUGGACGGCAGUUUGUUUACAUUCCAAUUCAAUUGCUUGGCAGAUUGGGGUAAGGUGUUGUACAGGGUCGUUGCUGUAUAUGACGGGCUCUCAAACCCUGGUUGAUAUAGCUCGAUAAAACCACGGUCUGGACCCAAAUUUUCAAGUUCCUUGACAACUUUUUGAAGGAGGCAGUAAUUAGAGGUAUGGCUAAAGGUAUUGAUGAGGUUAAGCCGUUAAGGAUGUCCAGAUCAAGCCGAGCUUUGUAGGGCAAUUCGUGUUGAGUUAAGGUGAAGUUGGAUUUUAACAGGAAGUUGAGUCGUUUUGUGUCAAUAACGAAGGAUCAACAGUAGGAAUUUUUCAAGUACGAGAAGCUGUCGAUUUUGUGGUAAAUGUGGACCGAUCGGACAUUUGUAUCAAGAGCGCGGACCGGGUGAGCAUGAUCCAAGAAAGCUUGAAUGGGGAGAUUUCAUUAUGGCUAGUGGAGAUAGAGGCCAUGGUCGAAGCAAUGGCUAUGGGCAAGGUGGCCGAGAACAAGGAGGGAGAUGGAGUGAUCAAACUGGAUGGGGUUAUGGCUGGCAGAGGGGAUAUUCAAACCCUACAUAUGAUGAGGAGGACCCAAAAGUGGAUACAAAUGGGAUUGAGAUGGAACUUGAUGCGUAUGAUCAUUAGCGUGGAAGGGGGGAGGUUUGGGAAUAUAUAUGAUAUGAACCCAAUUAUAUGCAAGAGGCUUGCGAUUGUUUCUUUAGCUAAGGAGCUACCAAAUAAACAGAACUAAGAUUCAGAGAAGAACAAGAAGGUGUCUGCUAUGGUGGGACUUUUUGAAGAUGUCGACAACGUUGAUAAAGAAGUUGAUGGUGAUGGUACACCCUAGAAGUCAUUUCACAAUAAGAAGUGAAAGAUUGGUGGUGGGGACGAUGAUAUAAGUCAAAACAAUGAGAUAUCAGGCAGCAAUAAAAAAAACUAAAAUUGAAACUGUCAAAACAAUGAGAUAUAAGGGUGCAACAAAAAAACUAAAAUUAGAACUGUCAUGAGUUGAGCUCAGCCCGAGCAGUUCGUGCGCUCCUAGAGGUACAUAAGCAAAUAAAGUCGGAUGUAACUUUCCUGCCCGAGACACAUAUGUCGAAUGCUAAGGCAGGAAAAAUUCUGAGUCAUACAUGGUUCCAUCACAUGCUUAUUGAUGAGAGUGAUGUGAAAAGUGGCGGUCCUUUGAUGUUGUGGUAGAAUCAUGUGAAAAUAACCGAGUUAAGUAUGCCAAAUCAACAUAUAGAUGUUAUCGUGGAAGAAAGAGAGAAAUGGAGGCUCAGAAUGUACACGCUGAGGCCCAAUUGGGAAUUCAAGGGAAGAACAUAGAGAAAUCAUGUGGACCUACAUGCGUUGUUAAACAUCCCAUGGAUGGUCCUAGAGACUUCAACGAAAUUUGAUUAAAUAGUGAAAAGGAAGGGGGGGGGGGGCAAUUCAAGACAUCCCAAGUUCAUGGAAGCUCUUCAAGAUUGCUUGGACUGGUGUGGCCUAAUGGAUAUGGACUAUAUUGGUGAUAGGCUUACUUAGAUAAGGGGGAAGAUAAGAGAGAGCCUUGAUGUGGAAUGUGUCGAUGAAUAAUGCUCCAUUGAUCCUAUGAUCUAAAAGUAGUCAUGGAAUCUCGUAGAUAGGAGGGUGGAAUCCAAAGGGAUCUCGUCGACGAUGAUGAUGACACGGUGGUUUUAUGCAAGUUUAGGCCCAUUUAUGUUGCUUUGCGAUUCAUGCUCAUGGGUUGAGUACGUUGUUGACUGAUGUUUCGUUCGUUUUCAAUCGAUUUUCUGACCGGGCUUUUUCUGUAGUUGGGCCAUGGCCGAGUGCUAGCUAAACAACAACAUUUACCUAAUAAGAAAGACCACUUGAUAAGAGUGGUAAGCUAUAUCAAAAACAUUGAACAAUCCUGCUUCAAAAAAAAAACCUAAUAAGAAAGAAGUUUAUCAAAAAAUAAAUAAAAUAAAAAAGAAGCUAGCAUAUUUGCGGGAUCGCGCGGGAUUCCCAUCAAUCACGCUCCCGAGCGCUGUGAGCCAACCCAUUUGGUCGGUUAUAUAAUUCUAAAAAAAAGGUCGGUUAUAUUAAUCGGGAUACAAAGGGCUGGGUUGACCGAGUCUGUUUUUUUAGACCAGAGCUAAAAAAAUGUUCUAGAAUUUCAAAAUAGUACGGAAGAAUUUCCAUGCAAAAAAAAAGUACGGAAGAACACCUGGCUAGAAAAUCGACUGAAAACACAUGCAACACCAGCCAACCAGGUGCUCUACCCAUGAGCACGAAUCACAUAGUAAUAAAUGGACGGUAACAGAUUUGACUGAAAGCUUAAAAAAAUCAGUUGCCUGACAAAUCAAACCGGUUAGUCACCCCUGCAUUCAACAAGACACUAUCAUCCCCGUGCUGUAUACCAUUGCGCAUUGCACCGGCCCUACGAUGAACCCUUCGCCGCACACCGGCGCCUUGGAGUUUCCACCCACUUUGUUCCUUCUCCCAGCAUUCAGCAAGUUCGUUGUCUUGUACAUGCAUAUGCUACAAGAUAGCCACAUGCAGCUAUACCACCCUCGUAUCUUGCUAUUGUUCCCAUUUGGCACAUCUAGACAAAGCAAAGCAAUAAGCCGGCUUUUAUACCCCCUUGCUCGCCUACGGUUAUUUGGCUCACAUUCCCUGUACACACACGAUCGAGGGCCGUCUUGAAUCUUGCUUUGCACCGGCCAAGAAGUGUGGACGGGGAGACGGCGGGCCAUGGCACGGCAGCAGCUACAGGUGCUUCACGCGCUGGACGUGGCGAGGACGCAGAGGUACCACGCGUGGGCGGUGGUGAUCGCCGGCAUGGGCUUCUUCGCCGACGCCUACGACAUCUUCUGCAUCACCCUGGUCACCAAGCUCCUCGGACGCAUCUAUUACCACGUCCCGGGCCAGCAAGUGCCCGGGAUGCUCCCCCGGCGGAUCGAGGCGGCCAUCAACGGCGUCACCUUCUGCGGCAUGAUCGUGGGCCAGCUCUUGUUUGGCUGGCUCGGCGACAAGGUCGGCCGGAAGAUGUUCUACGGCAAGACCAUCAUGCUCAUGAUCAUGGGCUCCUUCCUCUCCGGCUUGUCGUUCGGGAACACGGCCGACGGCGUCAUGGCCACGCUAUGCUUCUUCAGGUUCUGGCUCGGCGUCGGCAUCGGCGGAGACUAUCCGCUCUCCGCGACCAUCAUUUCCGAGUACUCCAACAAGAGGACGCGCGGGAGCCUCAUCGCGGCCGUGUUUGCCAUGGAAGGGUUUGGCAUCCUUGCAGGUUGCAUUGUCACCUUGGUCGUGUCGGCCACGUUCCAGGCGCGCUUCAACCCGCCGGCGUAUGACGAAGACCACAUGGCCUCGGUCCCGCCGCAGGCUGACUACGUGUGGCGCAUCAUCCUCAUGGUGGGUGCCAUCCCAGCCGUCUUCACCUAUCGCUGGAGGGUGAUGAUGCCGGAGACGGCGCGCUAUACGGCGCUGGUCGCGCGCGACGCCGAGAAGGCCGCGCGCGACAUGUCCAAGGUGCUCAAGGUGGAACUCAGCGGCGAGCAGGACAAGAUCGAGGGCUUCACCAAGGACAGGGACUACGGCGUCUUCUCCCGCCGUUUCGCCCGCCGCCACGGCUGGCAUCUCGUCGGCGCCGUUGCAUCCUGGUUCGUGCUCGACAUCGUCUUCUACUCCCAGAUCAUUCUCCAGGAGGAGAUCUUCAGGGACAUCAAGUGGAUCCCCGAGGCAAACAGCAUGAGCGCGCUCGAGGAAGCGUACCGCGUUGCCCGUGCACAGGCGAUUAUCGCGCUAUGCGGCACACUACCUGGCUACUGGUUCACCAUCGCCUUUGUGGACGUCGUCGGGCGGAAGGCCAUCCAGUUCCUCGGGUUCACCAUGAUGAAGGGACUCAUGCUCGUCGUGGCCGGCUUGUACCACCAACUGACGCAGCCUGGCCGGCGAAUCUGGCUGGUGGUCAUGUACGCCUUCACCUUCUUCUUUGCCAACUUUGGGCCCAACAGCACCACCUUCAUCAUACCGGCCGAGGUUUUUCCGGCGCACGUCCGGACGACCUGCCACGGGAUAUCAUCAGCGGCAGGCAAGGUCGGCGCCAUUGUCGGGACGUUUGGCUUCCUGUACGCCUCGCAGAGGGCGGACGGCAGCAAUGAGAGGGAGACCGGGUACCCGUCGGGCAUCGGCGUGCGUGCCUCACUGUUCGUGCUGGCCGCGUGCAAUGUGUUGGGAAUAAUUUUCACCUGUCUCCUGCCUGAGCCGAACGGGAGGUCGCUGGAGGAGGUGUCCGGCGAGCCCAUCAACGGGGAGGACGCAGAUCUGGGUGAUUCCAAGGUUCUUCCCUUGUAGAACCUGCCUGAACGUAGGCUGUGCGCACCACUCGAUGAAAAAGAAGCUAUUUGAAUGUGUGUUGUGCUGGGAACCCGGGAUUAGAUGCACUCCAAGGACCCUACGUACACGGCGUUCGGCAAUUAUCGCGGAGGGGAAAUGUGAAUUAAGAGGAAGGAAUUGUCGAGAUUAGACUUAGGAUUUCUCAUCUUACUAGUAUGCGUGUGCGUGCAACCCACGUUUUGAUGGAUACACAUAUUUUUUUUAGGGUACAUGGUCCAGAACCAAUCCAAUUGGAUAUAACACAAGUAUGCAACCCAACACUACUAGGAAAGACCUUAUAUAUGGAUGAUUAUCAGUAGCGCUGGUUAAAAAGAGACGCUACUGAUACUUAGCAGUAGCGCAUGGUUAUCACGAGCGCUACUGCUACAUACGCGCUACUACUAUUUUGGCCACACCAUUGCCGAGAUGCUAGGAAUAGUAGUAGCGUCGUUUUAGGACACACGCUACAACUAUUAGCAAUAGCGCUGCUUAGUACAGUCCGUUACUGCUACCCAUAUAUAGCAGUAGCGCUGAUCAACACGCGCUACUGCUAAUAGUUAGCUAUACCGUCGUAGCAGUAGCGCCGCCCCCAGCUUUACUGAUAGUCCUUUGACCCGCACUACUGCUAGGCUUUUUCCUAGUAGUGCAAAUGUGCGCACGUUAAUACUAUUCUCGUGUCCCUUCUUUCUCCUUAUGCUUGAUAUUGUUUCUCCCCUUUUAUAUUGACCGCACCAUACCUGCCUCCACAACUCUCAUCAUCAUAUGCAACCACUUGUGCUCCCAUCGAGGUCGGGAUGACAAUGGAUAGGGUAUGGGCGGGUACAACCUUCUUCUGCCCAAACCCAUACCCAUAAAAACUUUCUAUACCCACCCACUUCAAUACCCAUGAGCAUAAAUUAACACCCGUGCCCAUACCCACGGGGUAUCCUAUACCCAAUGGGUAAAAUGUAUAACAUUAAAUUUUUAAAAGGUAGAGAAAUGAGUUUAAAAAUCAAGUAGAUGGGCAAGCGGUAUAGCACAGACACAACCUCCUCAUAUGGGAGGCUUCUUGGAGGCAUCAAUGGAGUAUGAACAGCGGUUCGUGGGGAUCGCUUGAUCAUUGGACAGUCCAAUAGAGAAGAGUCGAUGUUUCAUAUUUUUGAGGAGUCACAUAGGCCGUGGGAGGAGUGGCGAGUAGGUGAUUACGGGCCUAUGAGCUAUGGGUGGUUUAAGGAGUACGAGAUUUAUGGUUGAGCCAUAGGAGUCGUAUGUUGACCCACAUGUCAUAGGAACUAUUUUCAUUUUUUAUCAUUUUCUGGGUAUCCAUUGGGUUACCAAUGGGCACAAGUUCAUACCCAUGCCCUACCCAUAGAUUUUGCGGGUAGGGAUACUGUAACAUCCCAAUUUUUAAUUUGGAUGUUAUUCAUAGAUCGUUCAUAUGCAUCCAUGAUUUAUGCAUUUUUUUGUUGCUUUGUUUUAGUUGCAUCUUGAUUCCAAGAGGCCUUAAGCAACUCAAGGACCAAUUUGAGAGAGUUGGUGGUUUCACAAAAAUCCAAUUUUGAUUUAUCAAAAUUUGGUAAAUUGGAUCAAAUUGUUUUUCAAAAUUCUUUUCCAAGUAUUUUUAAAUAAUGAGAGAAGAUAAUAUGACUUCUUCAAAAUCAGUAGAAAAAUAUUGGAAAUUGAAUUUUGAAUUUUUGGAGAGUUUAUUUGAUUUAUUUUGCUAGUUUAUUUAUUAGCUAGCAGAGUAAUUAGUACUGUAAUGUUUGUUUUUAGUUUAGGAAUUUAGGUCCAGAAAAAUGUUCACUAGUGUAAGGGCAUCUUCUACCUUAAGGUUUUGGUGAUGAUGACAACACUCGUGUGGACUAAUCACGCGUCCUAGUUUUCUCAGGUACACGUUGUGCGGCGCAAGACGGUUAGGCCUUCCCUCUAUGCGGAAAAGAUUGAAGACGGAGUUUCCGACGUUUUGUUCCUUAGGUCAUAGGAUAUUCGUACUUUUAAGAGGGAAUCCGCAUCGGAUGGUAUUGGGUGAAUCUUUUCACGUACAUGUUCUCUGCACCCACCUACACCCUCCGUUCGAGAAGAGAGGGGCUCCCCAAAGUUCUUUGUUCUGUGCAGUUUUGCCCAUGGCGGUAGUACCGCUCCUUUGGGCGGUUGUAUCGGUGGCCGGUAGUUCCGGUCUUACCACCGCCCCAAGUACCGCUCAGGGGUGACUCCCUUCUGUACCAGGUACGGUGGUAGACCGGUAGUGGAACGGAAGUUCCGGGUUUUCUUGAAAAACCAGUACUACCGGUGUUCAGGGCGGUAGUACCGCCUCGGACUCCACUACUCAGGAACUGCUGGCCCAGCGGUAGCUCCGGCCCAACCACCGCUCUAACUACCGGCCUGGGGUGAUUUCCUUCUGUGGUGAGGCGGUAGUCGGACGGUGGUGGGAUGGUAAUUCCAGUAUGUUUUGAUAUAUCGGUACUACCGGCUCUCCCAUCGGAAGUACCGCCAUGGUGCCCUAGCAGGGGUUUCCCGCAUUCACCGGUUGUACCGGUGACACUUGCGGAAGUACCGCUCCUAUGUAUUUCUGCGCAUAACGGUUGGAUCUGAGGGGACCCUAUUUAAGGAGGUGCUUCUCCUUCCUCCCACCUACCUCUUGCCCCUCUCUCUCCUCCAUUAAUGCCCUCAAAGCUUUCUUGCCCGAUCUCUCUCUCUAGCCACUCAAACCUGUUGAUGUGCUAGGGAUUGAAGGAGGAGACCUAGAUCUACACUCUCACCAAAGGAAAAUUGAUUCCCCCAUACCUUCUUGUGUGGAUUUUGUUAGUCUAGGUGCAUGGGCACCCUUGUUGGAAGAGGUCACUUCGGAGCGACAUUCCAUUGUGGUGAAGCUCCGGGGUUUCGUUGGGAGCCUCCAAUUAAGUUGUGUAGAGAGCCCCAACCUUGUUUGUAAAGGUCCGGUUGCCUCCUUCAAGGUCUCCAAUAGUGGAAUCACGGCUCUCGCAUUGUGUGAGGGCGUGAGGAGAAUACGGUGGCCCUAGUGGCUUCUUGGGGAGCAUUGUGCCUCCACACCACUCCAACGGAGACGUACUUCCCGUCAAAGGGAAGGAACUUCGGUAACACAUCCUCGUCUCCAUCGGUUCCACUCUUGGUUAUCUCUUACCUUUACUUGUGCAAGUUUUAUUGUGUUAUGUCAUUCACUUGCUUAAGUGCUUAUUGUUGUUGCAUCAUAUAGGUUGCUCACCUAGUUGCAUAUCUAGACAACCUACUUUGAUGCAAAGUUUAAUUUGGUAAAGAAAAUCUAAAAAUUGUUAGUUGCCUAUUCACCCCCCCUAGUCAACUAUAUCUAUCCUUUCAAUUGGUAUCAGAGCCUCGUCUCUUUAUUAAGGACUUUGCCGUCCGAAGAGUAUGAUUGCACCAUAGAUGGUGAGAAGGAGCACCCUAGUGUGAUUCCGUCCUCGUCUAUGGCUGAUGGGGCAUCCUCGGUCUCACGUGAGGAAUUCAAUGUGGCUUUGGACACAUAGUAAACCUCCAUGACGACCGAGGUCAAAGGCAUGUUCAAAGAGUUCCUUGAUGGUCUUAAAUUAUCCACCGCACCCUUGGAAGUGGUUGCUCCCACUAACAAGGUGGCGGAUGCCAACUCCGAUAAGGGGGAAGCUUCUAGUGAAAAGGUUCCUUUGCCUAGUGGUAAAAGUGGUAAUGGCAUCUAUUCUCAUGUUGAACCUCCUCUCACUUAUGGAGGACCGAUUCCCUCCACGCAUUUAAAUCAUGCGGGUUCUCUUCCCAAGAUUGUGAAGAAUGAGGAUUUUGAUUCUUGGGUUUAUCACUUUAAACGUCAUUUAAAUCAUGUUAAUACUAACCUUUGGAGAAUCAUUGAGGAAGGUUUCUAUCCGCAUGAUCGAAGCAACGUCACCCAGAGAGAAACCGCGGAUAAUCAAUUCAAUGAGAAUGCUCUCUUCAUCAUUCAAGAUGCAAUUCCACCCGAAGACAUUGCUCACCUCCGACCCUUUACCGUGGCCAAGGAAGCAUGGCACCAUGUUGUUUCCCUCUACAAGGGAAGCACAAGCAUUCAAUGCUCCAACUAUGAAGUGGUGCAAGAUGAAGCCGAUGAGUUUGCAAUUAAUGAAGACGAAGAACCUCGCGAGCUCUACCGGAGAUUAACCACUCUCGCGGUCUCACUCCGAGAUCAUGGGAGCAACAAUACGAAUGACAAUUGGAUCAAGCGCAAGUUCCUCAAGGCCAUGAUGCCCUACCACAAGGCCAUGUCCUCUGUCAUCCGUCAAAGGCCGGACUUCCACACCUUGUCCUCGAGUGAAGUGUUGGAUGAGUUUGUGGCAAUGAGGAUCUUGGACAAGACUGCCGACAAUGCGGUGUUGCGUUGUCAAAGAGCAAAGAAGCCCAACUUUGCCUUGAAGGCCAAGGUUAGCGUGGAAGAAGAGGAUGAAGAGGAGAGCAACCCCGAAGAUACUAAGUAUGACUACCAUGAGCACAUGGCUCUUGCGUCAAGGCAAUUUUGAAGCAAGAAGAACACAAGGCCCAACUUCAACAAGAACAACUCAAGUGGCUUCAAGGGCAAGCAACGUGUGAGAACAUGCUACAAUUAUGGCAAUGUGAGCCAUUUUGUUGUAGAGUGCCCUUACGAGAAGAGGGAAGACAAUGGUGGCAAGCUCAUCCGAAAAGACAAAGCCAAGUCCUUCCCCAACAAGAACAACUUCACCAAGAAGACUCAAACUAAAGGGUUGGUGGCUCAAGAAGAAUACCAUGAGGAGGAUGAUGAUGAUGAAGACAGUGAAGCCAUGGCCAUGGCCUCCGUUGCCAUUGCCACAACUCCACGGGUGUCUCUCUCUGACUCACCCAACGAGAACAUCACUGCAAGUGCCCCAUGGCUAAAGCCACCAACAAGGUAACCCCCAACAUUAAAACCACCAUCAUUACUAAUCCCUCCUUGAUGGAUUGCAUUGAUGAAAGUGAGGGGUUGAAUGAGGAAGCAAAUGAAUUUGAGUCUUUUAUGAGUAAGCUCAAGGGCAAAUUCAAGAAGCACUUCGUUGCUCUCUUGGAACAACUUGGUGAAGCCAAUGACAUGAUUGAGGCUCAUGAAGAAACCAUCUCUAAGAUGGAAGGUCAUAGUCGUGACUAUGCCGAUGAGAUAUUGGAUCUAUCUAAUGCUCUUGAGGAAGAGCAUGUUCAUCGUUUGGCUCUUGAGUAGUCACACAACGAUGACCAUGCUAAAUUAAAGAAAGAUCUUGAUCAUGCUCUUGUUUUAUCUCGUGUGCUAAAUUCCGAGAAGGCUAAACUUGGGGUUGACCAUGCUAGACUCAAGGAGGAGUUUGAUAUACUUGACAAGGCUCACAAGGUCUUGAAGGGUGCUCAUGCUAGCCUCAAGGCGUCUCAUGAUCAACUCCAAGUGAAGCAAACCAAGGAGAAAGCCACCUUUCCUCAUAUGGUAUUAAUUGAUCAUGCAAAUGCUACUAACCCGUGUUGUGAGCAUGUGCAUCUUGUGGAGGAGAAUGCCAGUGGAAGGAGCAACUUGAGAAAGGCCUUGUGACAUGCAUACAAGGUGAGAAGAACCUCAAUGACCUUUUGAGCAAUCAAAAGGAAGUUGUGGCCAAAGAGGGAGUUGGGUUUGCACCCAAGUCCAAGAACAAGAAGAAGAACGACAAGACCAAACGACCUCCCCCUCUCAAGAAAACCUUUGUGAAGAAGGGAGAGGGUGCUCCAAAGGAGAAGAAGAACAAUGUGAAGGGUGGUGAUGUCAAAAGGGGCAAUGCCACCCCUUCCAACAAAGCCAGCGACUUUAACCCUUCUUACGUGUUGUGCCAUGCUAGUGAUGGGCAUGUUUAUGCUAAAUUUGUUGGUUCUCCUUAUGAGUACAUUGAAUGGUCUAUUUGGGUUCCUAAGACCCUUGUUACUAACAUCAAAGGACCCAUUACAAAAUGGGUACCUAAAACCAAGCAUUGAUCUCUUGUAGGUGUUUACUUCCGGUGGGGGAUCAUGGUUGCUCGAUAGUGGAGCCACAAAUCAUAUAACCGGAAGCAAGGACUUGGUGGUGGAUGUGCACAAGAUCCCAUCUAUGCCCACCAAUGUCGAGUGGGGUGAAGCAUCACAUUCUAAGGUAUUGGGUCUUGGCAAGGUUGUCAUUUCUCAUGAUCUCACGUUCGAGAAGGUCAUGCAUGUUGAGUCCCUUGCAUACAAUCUACUUUCCGUUCGUCAACUUGCACUUAUGGGCUUUGCCACAUUCUUUGAUAUUGAUACCGUGGCCCUUUUGUGGAGCAAGACUCUUAAAGUAGCCUUUGUUGGGCAUGUCGAGAACGGUCUUUAUGUGAUUAAAUUUUCGGAGCGACCCACUAAGACCGCGACAUGCCUAAUGGCUAAAGUUGAUGUGGGGUGGCUUUGGCAUCGCCGCUUAGCCCACAUCAAUAUGAGAUCUUUGCAAAGUCUUCUCAAGGGGGACCAUGUCCGAGGACUAACAAAUGUUAGUUUUGCCAAAGAUCGUGCUUGCAGUGCUUGUAUCGAAGGAAAGCUACAUGAGAAGGCUCACCCUCCCACGACUAUCAUCUACUCGAAGAGACCCUUGGAGCUCCUUCACAUGAAUCUCUUUGGGCCUCCAUCCUUUGAUAGUCUUGGGGGUAGAAAGUAUUGCUUGGUGAUUGUGGAUGAUUUUUCAAGAUAUAUUUGGGUAUAUUUCUUCAAGAGGAAGAGUGAGACUCAACAAACCGUCAUCGACUUUGCUAAUGAAGCUCAAUGUCAACACGAUGCAAAGAUAUUGACUAUAAGAAGUGACAAGGGCACCGAGUUCAAGAACUACACCUUGGAUGAGUUUCUUAGUGAUGAGGGGAUCAAGCAUCAAUAUUCUGCACCAUACACCCCUCAAAAAAAUGGUGUCGCGGAGAGGAAGAAUCGGACGUUGAUGGAUGCGGCAAGGACCAUGAUGGCGGAGUUCAAGUCUCCUUACAACUUUUGGACCGAAGCCAUCAACACCGCAUGUCAUGCAUCCAAUCGGCUCUAUCUCCGCAAACGUUUGAACAAGCUCCUUAUGAAAUACUCACCGGUAACAAGCCCAACCUCAAGUACUUUCGGGUGUUCGGGUGUAAGUGUUUCAUUCUCAAGAAAGGUGUUCGUUUGUCUAAAUUUGAGGCUAGAUCUCACGAGGGCAUAUUUGUUGGUUAUGCUACAAACUCUCAUGCUUACCGUGUCCUCAACAAGUCCACGGGACUGAUGUCUACUACACAACCUUCUUCUUGUAGACGUUGUUGGGGCUCCAAGUGCAGAGGUUUGUAGGACAGUAGCAAAUUUCCCUCAAGUGGAUGACCUAAGGUUUAUCAAUCCGUGGGAGGCGUAGGAUGAAGAUGGUCUCUCUCAAACAACCCUACAACCAAAUAACAAAGAUCUCUUGUGUCCCCAACACACCCAAUACAAUGGUAAAUUGUAUAGGUGCACUAGUUCGGCGAAGAGAUGGUGAUAUAAGUGCAAUAUAGAUAGUAGAUAUAUGUAUUUGUAAUCUGAAAUAAUAAAAACAACAAGGUAACUAAUGAUAAAAGUGAGCGUAAACGGUAUUGCAAUGAUAGGAAACAAGGCCUAGGGUUCAUACUUUCACUAGUGCAAGUUCUCUCAACAAUAAUAACAUAGAUAGAUCAUAUAACAAUCCCUCAACAUGCAACAAAGAGUCACUCCAAAGCCACUAAUAGCGGAGAACAAACGAAGAGAUUAUGGUAGGGUACGAAACCACCUCAAAGUUAUUCUUUUGGAUCAAUCUAUUCAAGAGUUCGUACUAGAAUAACACCUUAAGACACAAAUCCACCAAAACCCUAAUGUCACCUAGAUACUCCAUUGUCACCUAAAGUAUCCGUGGGCAUGAUUAUAUGAUAUGCAUCACACAAUCUCAGAUUCAUCCAUUCAACCAACACAAAGUACUUCAAAGAGUGCCCCAAAGUUUCUACCGGAGAGUCAAGACGAAAACGUGUGCCAAUCCCUAUGCAUAGGUUCAUGGGCAGAACCCGCAAGUUGGUCACCAAAACAGACAUCAAGUGGCACGUGAAAUCCCAUUGUCACCACAGAUAAGAACGACAAGACAUACAUCAAAUGUUCUCAAAUCAUUAAAGACUCAAUCCCAUAAGAUAACUUCAAGAGGAAAACUCAAUUCAUCACAAGAGAGUAGAGGGGGAGAAACAUCAUAAGAUCCAACUAUAAUAGCAAAGCUCGCGAUACAUCAAGAUCAUGCCAUAGAGAGAACACAAGAGAGAGAGAGAGAGAGAUCAAACACAUAGCUACUGGUACAUACCCUCAGCCCCGAGGGUGAACUACUCCCUCCUCGUCAUGGAGAGCGCCGGGAUGAUGAAGAUGGCCACCGGUGAUGGGUUCCCCCUCCAGCAGGGUUCCGGAACGGGCUCCCGAGAGGUUUUUGGUGGCUACAGAGGCUUGCGGCGGUGGAACUCUCGAUCUAUCUUGAUAUUCGAUGUUUUUAGGGUACGUAGGCUUAUAUAGGCGAAAGAAGUUGGUCGGGGGAGCCUCGAGGGGCCCACGAGAGGGUAGGGCGCGUCCAGGGGGUGGGCGCCCCCCUGUCUCGUGGCCUCCUCGAUGAUCUUCUGACGUGUACUCCAAGUCUCCCGGAUCAUAUUCUUCCUAAAAAUCACGCUCCCGAAGGUUUCAUUCCGUUUGGACUCCAUUUGAUAUUCCUUUUCUUCGAAAUACUGAAACAUGCAAUAAAACAACAAUAUGGGCUGGACCUCCGGUUAAUAGGUUAGUCCCAAAGAUGAUAUAAAUGUGUAAAAUAAAGCCCAUAGUCAUUCAAAAUAGAUAAUAAAAUAGCAUGAAUGCUUCAUAAAUUAUAGAUACGUUGGAGACGUAUCAGCAUCCCCAAGCUUAAUUCCUACUCAUCCUCGAGUAGGUAAAUGAUAAAAGAAAGAAUUUAUGAAGUGUGAAUGCUAGAAGGUGCACAAGUUUGAUCAAUGAUAAUUUCAAUCACCUUUUCUAGCAUGAUAAUAUGUCAUAACAGUAGUUCAUCUCAUAAAACUUCUCAGGAUCAAGUAACAAGCAAUUCACAUGUUAAAGCAUAGACCAUAAACUUUCUUGAAAACUAGCAAACUUCAUUCUCAGUCAUCAAACAAUUGCAAUUCAUCUUAUUUUCAAGAAUAUCAAACUCCACAUACUCAACUAUCAUAUAGUCUUCUACAAGUGCUAACACUCACGCAAUAUUAAUGGUUAUGGAGUUUCAAUCGGACAUUGAGAAAGAUAGGGGCUUAUAGUGUUGCCUCCCAACGUAUUCACCUUUGGGUGAUGUCAACAAUAAUAGUUCAUGCUAACUUACAUCCAAUUGGAUAUAUAUAUCAGGAUCUUCCCAACACGAGGUGCUUGCCAAAGGAUAAAAUGAAAAAGGGAAAGGUGAAGAUCACCUUGACUCUUGCAUAAAAUGAAAAAAACAUAAAGUAAAAGAUAGGCCCUUCGCAGAGGGAAGCAGAGGUUGUCAUGCGCUUUUAGGAUUGGAUGCACAAAAUCUUAAUGCGAAUGAACGUCACUUUAUAUUGCCACUUAUUUGGAAGCACAAGUAGUAUCUCUACUUGGUGCAAGGAAUUUGGCUAUCAUGAGGGGGAAAGGCAAGCUCAACAUGUUUGAAUGAUCCAUGACAAUAUACUUUAACUGAGAUGUGCGAAAACAUAACCCAUUACGUUGUCUUCCUUGUCCAACAUCAAAUCUUUAGCAUGUCAUACUUAAUGAGUGCUCCCAAUUAUAAAAGAUGUCUAGGAUAGUAUAUUUAUAUGUGAAGUCUCUCUUCCUUCAAUAUUCUUUCAUGAAUUGUUCAAAUGACCAAUACAAUGCUUGCUAACCUUCAAUAAAUUUACAACCUACUUCUUAGAUGUGAAGGCAUUACUCCCCAUGGGAUAAGCAAAUUAAACAUAUAUAAUUUCAGAUUUAUGACAAUCAACUCAUUCAACAAUUUACUCAUAGGAUAUAAGUGAAGCACGCGAGUAAAUGAAAAACUACUCCAAAAAGAUAUAAGUGAAGAUCAAUGAGUAGCUAAAUAAUUAAGUAGCUAUAUGAAGGCUCCCUCUCAUUAAAGAAUUUCAUAUCUUGGUACUCUAAUCAAACAGCAAGCAAACAAAAUAAAAUGACAUUGCAAGGAUAGCACAACUCAUGUGAAGAAGCAAAAACUUAGGCUCAACCGAUACUAACCGAUAGUUGUUGAAGAAGAAAGGUGGGAUGCCUAACGGGGCAUCCUCAAGAUUAGAUGCUUGAGACUUCUUGAAAUAUUAUCUUGGGGUGCCUUGGGCAUCCCCAAGCUUGAAAUUUUGUGUCCCCUUAAUUCCUCUCAUAUCAUGGUUUCUCUUUUUAUCAAAAGCUUCAUCCACACCAAACUCAACAAAACUUGUGAGAUAGGUUAGUAUAAACCAAUGCAAAACCUUAUCAUUCUCUACUGUAGCAAAUCACUAAAAUUAUUAUUCAACAUUGCAUACUAAAUGCCUCUGCAUAUUUAAUACUCUUAUCCUCAAAUAGAAUCAUUAAACAAGCAAACAUAUGCAAACAAUGCAAACAUAAUAGCAAUCUGCCAAAACAGUACAGUCUGUAAAGAAUGCAAGAGUAUCAAUACUUCCCUAGCUCCAAAAAUUAUGAGAGAAAAUUCCCACUGUAGUAAAUUUGUCAGAGCUCAUUAUGCAAAGGGUUUCAUCAUAUUAUCAUUCUUUGAAUUUUCUAGGGAAUUUUUGCAACAUCGGUAAACUUUCUGUUUUCAAACAGCAACAUGUAUACUAGCAAAAUAAGCAUGGUAAAGGCCAUCCUUGACAUUUUUAUUGAAACUAAAGAUUCAAAACAUUAUUCUAAAUAACAGCAAGCUAAUACUAACAAAAUAAAAUGACGCUCCAAGCAAAACACAUCUCAUGUGGUGAAUAAAAAUAUAGCUCCAAGUAAAGUUACCGAUGGACGAGGACGAAAGAGGGGAUGCCAUCCGGGGCAUCCCCAAGCUUAGGAUCUUGGUUGUCCUUGAAUAUUACCUUGGAGUGCCUUGGGAAUCCCCAAGCUUAGGAUCUUGCCACUCCUUAUUCCAUAGUCCAUCGAAUCCUUACCCAAACCUUGAAAACUUCACAACACAAAACUCAACAGAAAACUUGUAAGCUCCGUUAGUAUAAGAAAAUAAAACCACCACUUAGGUACUGUAAUUAACUCAUUCUAAAUUCAUAUUGGUGUAAUAUAUAUUGUACUCCAACUUAUCUAUGGUUCAUACCCUCCGAUACUAUUCAUAGAUUCAUCAAAAUAAGAAAACAACACAUAGAAAACAGAAUCUGUCAAAAACAAAACAGUCCGUAGUAAUCUGUAUCAAACGUAUACUUAUGGAACUCCAAAAAUCCUACCAAAUUAGGAAGACCUAAGGAAUUUGUUUAGAAAUCCAGAUCAAAAAGAAUCAGAUCAGAAGCACGUUUCUGUGAAUUAACAAAACUAAUUUACUGGGGGCAAAAGUUUCUGAUUCUCAGCAGGAUCAGCACAACUAUCACCGUAAGCUAUCCUAAAGGUCUUACUUGGCACUUUAUUGAAACAAAAGCUAUAAGAAAUGAUUACUACAGUAGCAUAAUCAUGUGGACACACAAAAACAGUAAGGGUAAAUGUUGGGUAGUCUCCCAACAAGCACUUUUUUAACGCCUUUCUAGCUAGGCAUGAUGAUGACAAUGAUGCUCACAUAAAAGAUAAGAAUUGAAAUAUAACGGGAGCAUCAUGAAGCAUAUCACUAGCACAUUUAAGUCUAACCCACUUCCUAUGCAUAGGGAUUUUUUGAGCAAACAACUUAUGAGAACAAUAAUCAACUAGCAUAGGAAGGUAAAACAAGCAUAGCUUCAAGAUUUUCAACACAUAGAGAGGAAACUUGACAUUAUUGCAAUUCCUACAAGCAUAUAUUCCUCCCUCAUAAUAAUUUUCAGUAGCAUCAUGAAUGAAUUCAACAAUAUAACAAGCACCUAAAGCAUUCUUUUGAUGAUCUACAAGCAUAGAAAAUUUACUACUCUCCACAUAAGCAAAAUUCUUCUCAUUCGGAAUAGUGGGAGUAUCGUAAGAGACUUGAACACUAAAAAUUGUUUCCACAUUAAAAGAGUAAUGUUCAGAAAAAGGGUAAUCAUAAUCAUGACAAGUUUUAUAAAUAUAAUCAUCACUACUUUUUAUAGCAUAAGUUUCAUCACAAUAUGUUGGGGAACGUAGUAAUUUCAAAAAAAUUCCUACGCACACGCAAGACCAUGGUGAUGCAUAGCAACAAGAGGGGAGAGUGUUGUCCACGUACCCUCGUAGACCGUAAGAGGAAGCAUUAUGAAAGCGCGGUUGAUGUAGUCGUACGUCUUCAUGAUCCGACCGAUCCAAGCACCGAACGUACGGCACCUCCGAGUUCAGCACACGUUCAACUCGAUGACGAUCCCCGGACUCCGAUCCAGCAGGGUGUCGGGGAUGAGUUCCGUCAGCACGACGGCGUGGUGACGAUGAUGAUGUUCUACCAACGUAGGGCUUCGCCUAAGCACCGCAAUGAUAUGACCGAGGUGGAAUAUGGUGGAGGGGGGCACCGCACACGGCUAAGGAACGAUCACGAUGAUCAACUUGUGUGUCAUGGGGUGCCCCCUACCCCCGUAUAUAAAGGAGCAAGGGGAGGAGGGCCGGCCAAGGAGGAGGAGGCGCGCCCAAGGGGGAGAAUCCUACUCUAAGUAGGAUUCCCCCCUCUUUCCUAGUCCAAGUAGGAGAGGGGGAGGAAGGGAAGGAGAAGGAGAAGGAAGGAGAGGGAGGAAAAGGAGGAAAGGGGGGCCGGCCCCUUAGUCCAAUUCGGUUUGGGCUAGGGGGGCCGCGCGCCCUGCCUCCUCUCUUCCACCACUUGGCCCAUGAGGCCCAUUGCUUCUUCCUCGUAUUCCCGUAACUCCCCGGUACCCCCGAAAAUAUCCGAAUCACUCAGAACCCUUCCGAUGUCCGAAUAUAGUCGUCCAAUAUAUCGAUCUUUACGUCUCGACCAUUUCGAGACUCCUCGUCAUGUCCCCGAUCUCAUCCGGGACUACGAACUCCUUCGGUACAUCAAAACUCAUAAACUCAUAAUAUAACUGUCAUCGAAACCUUAAGCGUGUAGACCCUACGGGUUCGAGAACAAUGUAGACAUGACCGAGACACGUCUCCGGUCAAUAACCAAUAGCGGAACCUGGAUGCUCAUAUUGGCUCCUACAUAUUCUACGAAGAUCUUUAUCGGUCAAACCGCAUAACAACAUUCGUUGUUCCCUUUGUCAUCGGUAUGUUACUUGCCCGAGAUUCGAUCGUCG